CUUUGAUCGUCCUUGGGUUUCACUUUGAGGUCUCAUCUUCGCUAGUUCUUGGUUUUUACUAGUUUGACUGUUGACUGUCUUUCCACAAACUUAUCCUUUUCUUUGUCAGAUAAAUCCCUGGAGGCUGACGGCGUCUAUACGUACGCUCAACAUGCUCGCACUUAUAAAGAGAGAAGGAAAACAUGUCAGAGGUUUUAUCGUUGGACAAAUUUGACCCACAGUAUUCUCACUCACUCUGUCAGAGUUCCAGGCUGAAAUCUUUCAUUGUGUAACUUUAGACCCACAAUAGAAAAAUAGAGAGCGAAGAUAAAAGAAAUAUAGUCAGAAACGAGUUGAAAUGUGGAGAAUGUAUCCCGUCAUUGUUUCCCACCUUUGUGUCUCGGCUUGCUUUAAGAAAAGGCUUUAAAAAAAGAAAACCCUCCCUAGGAGCAACACGGCGUCGAAUCCAGCGAAUCCAGCGAGUGUGUCUGGAGAAGUGCCCUUUAAAAGAUUACUUUGAUGGCAUUUCUUCAUCAUUAGUCUGCUGGAAGUGAAAAGACAGAAAAGCUGUGUGAGAGGGGGUGUGUAACAAAGCGACAACGGUUCCAGGAAAAGCUACCUCUACUUUGUAAACACCUCCUCCAGCUGAGCCUCUGUGAUUCAUUCUCCUCUUUGACUCUAUUUUGGGGUUAUAAUCUUCCUCUUUGUGGGGAACAGCAGCUUGUUUUAUCCUCUUUUCAAAGAAAUAAGUUUGGAUUUUUAGAGGUGACUUGUGAAGACUUCUUUUUUCUGCCUUUUGAAUUCAUUUUGCGUUUCUUGUGGCGGGUCUCAGGCACGGCGACCUUUGAUAUUUACAGGCUGUAGCCUGUUUGGUCUGAUUUCAUUGAUCCGCAUUGAUUGGUUCCUCAUGGGACGUCUCUCUGAGCGUGUUUACUUUGAUCAAUGGGCCUAAUGGAUAAAUACAAAUAUCUGCUAUCUCUCUCCUGCUCCAGCUGGUCCAUACUAAUCUCCUUGUGUCGUCUGGAGGUGUUAAGAUAUUGCUAAGACACUAAUCGCUCAGACCUGGAGGGUAAUUCUCUUUUCUUUCCGUCUAUAUCCUCUUCACUUUUCUGUCUCCCUUCCUCUCUUAAAGAUGGGCUGCAUUAAGAAGAUAAUACUCAAAGAUGUCGUAGUCUGCGUGGUGAGGGAUUGAUUCAGUCUGGGAGAUGUUCUGCACGGACACUUUGAGUGGGAAAAUCCCAGUUUAAGUCCACCAUAAGCUGCAUAGGAACUUGUUGUUGUUUGCAAACAGCCCUGUGGUGGCACUGUUUUCCCACCAUAGAUCUCUUUAUGUCUUCUCAGAUCAGACAUAAGGGAUGCAAAGAGAGAGCAGUAUGUCUAUAUUUGUGGAUUCACACUGAGAGGGGAGGGUCUGGAGUGCUUCAACACAAUAGGACACAAAUAUUUUAAUCUCAGCCUGUUUGUGUCAUUAACAUUUCACCAAAACCUUUCAAACACUCGAGCACGUGUGUUCGUGGAUGAGCCCAAUCUGUCAAAGACAUGCUGGCGUUUCGCUGUGACUGCUGCCACUGAGGGGGUUCCUCUCAAACUCAAACAACUUGAAUGAAAUAUAAAAAAUUCACUCUGGCACAACAGCUCAAAGCACUUCUAAAAUUAACGCGGCUCAUCGGGGGACUUGAUUAAAGAGCACAAACAACAGACUGUAACACGGAGUUUGUCAGGUUUAUGAUGGUCCUGGACUAGAAUGAUAAAAUAGGGAUUCACCACCGGAACAUUUUGAGAUCAUGUAUUGUGCAUUUAAUAAAACUACAAACACACCGAGAGUCGAGUGAGAGAAAAUAACCGACCAUAUGUUUAUUUUGGCUGGUAACUCCAGCUGAAUUUUGUUAUUUCAUUAGAGAAACCAGCGAGGACGCAAGUUCUGAGUUUGUAAAGAUCAUUUCUCCACAAAACCUGAACAAUUUUUACAAACUCUGACCCAAACAUGAACGUCAGUGCGCUGCUAGUAUGAUGCAUGUUUAAGAACAGUGCAAAAACACUGAUAGGCUAACAUUGUCUUCAUUACGUAGAUGGCCUGAUUGCAGGGGUAUCGUAUUGUUUCGUAUCAUUUCGUAUCGUUUUGUUAUUGUUUUGUAUCAUAUUGUUUUGUUAUUGUAUCGUAUCGUUUCGCCUUGAUUCAUUUCGUAUCGUUUCGUAUCAUUUUGUUAUUGUAUCUUUUCGUUUUCUUUCGCAUUGAUUCAUUUCAUAUUGUUUCAUUUUGUAUCGUAUCAUAUUUUUUGGUUAUUGUAUCUUUACAUUUUGUUUCACAUCGCAUCACUUCGCAUAAUAUAGUUUUGUUAUUGUAUUGUAUCAUAUCUGUAUCGAUUCAUAUAGCAUCUCAUCUGAGUCAUAUAUUUGGUGUCAUAUCAUUUUGUUAUUGUAUCGUAUCUGUAUCAUGUCAUUUUGUAAUUGUUUUGUAUCGUUAUUCUUAUGUGAUCGUAUCGUUUCAUUUCGUAUCGUUUCGAAUCGUUUCCUGUCAUUUCACAGCGUAUUGUUUUGUUAUGGUAUGGUAGCUGUACCGUAUCGUUUUGUUAUUGUUUUGUAUCGUUUCAAAAUGUUAUUUAAUUGUUUUGUUUCGUAUCAUUUCAUAUCGUUUUGUGUCGUUUCACAUCCUAUCGUUUCGGUAUUCUAUGGUAUCUGUACCAUAUCGUUUCGUAUCGUUUUGUUAUUGUUUUGUAUCGUUUCAUUAUGUUAUUUUAUUGUUUUGCUUCGUAGUGUUUCGUAUCGUUUCGUAUCGUAUCGUAUCGUAUUGUAUCGUUUCGUAUCAGGCCGAGCUUACCAGGAUUCUCUCUGGGUAAAGUUUCUUGCGUUGAUCAUUAAACCUUUCUUACAUCUUUUAGUAUGAUUGCAUGAAAAGCAGGUUUAGGCUUGAGUCCAUGCCGCCAAAGCAAACACACAAUACCCAUAUAAAAGAGAAGCUCCUCUCUGAAUGGCAAACAUGUACGUUUCAUUUAUUUUUACACACCAGAAAGGCAGAGAGGGAAAGCAUGCCGUACUCAACCCUGUCCAACAGACACAAAAGCUGUCAUGAUCGCCCCAUACAGCAUAAGGUGAUUUUACAUACACCACUGACGUCUCCACUGCUGCACUGGUGAGAUAAAGUCUCUGUUUAAAUUGCCUCCAAUUCUAAAUUAGCUCCAAAUCUAAUAACAACUUCCAUGAUUUCUUUUCUCCACAUGAGGAAAGUCAUUAUCCGGUAUCAGCACAGUAUGUCAGCAAUAUUGCCAGCAGUUACACUGCAGCAGUUUGGAGAGAGGUCGGGGACAUUUGACAGCGUCUGGGCUUGUCAGCUAUCACUCUACACUUUUAAAGAUUAAAAAGACCCACAGGGGCAUUUUUAGACCUUGUUCUCGCCCCCCCGAAACAUGGCAGAGCGCGACAAACAACAAACAGCAGCAGCUCCAGCAUGUGUGCGACCUCAUUUUAUCAUAAUCCGCCCUUCACUGAGCCAGCUCCCAAAAGGUGCGGCGUGUUUGCGAACAUGGAAAUUGAAAAGCUGCCUAAUUGAAGGUGCGGCGCAGAAAGUGCUCAUCUCAACAAGUCACUCUCUCUUGUUUUGAAACAUGUCUCUCUGUUUAACACAAGUGGCCGGUGUCACUCGUUUCCAAGGCAAUUUAACUUGUGUAAAGAGUUCUCAUGGAUCGAUUGGGAACUUGAAACAAGUGGAGCGGCUUGUUUCUGGCUUUGAUUUCCCUUGUUUCAAAAUCCUGAUGCUUUAUUUGAGAGCCUUUCCAACAAGUAUUUAAAGUUUCAGACUUAUUGAAUGCUUUUUAGGCUUUUCUGAAGGACGCAAAGCUGUGCUGACACCGACACCUGACCAAAAUACACAGAUAAACACGACUCAGCAGAAGCUAAGGAAAUAUGGCGAUUUUGUGUAUUUUACCAUUAAAAAUAGUGACAUGGUGCACAAAAACUGGCAUAAAAAGGCUGUAACAUUGAAUUUUGUGUUUAUUAUUUUUUGAAUGGUCAGGGCUGAAGUUGUCGAAGAGAUUUGAGUCAAAAAAAGAUUAUUUUAUGAACACUUAUCUGUCCUCUUUGAGGACAAAGUAGGCUGAAUGGAGCUUAAAAUUUACAGGAACCGCGAGUUAAAUAAAACCUCCUUAACCCUGCUCAUAAAUACUUUUAAAAAUCUCGCUCCCGUUAAGAUCAGCAUUGUUUCUGCCUCUCCGUUUUUUCCUGGAGAGUAUCUUAAAAGAGACCAAUAAUGAAGCUGCCUCUGACAGUGUCACCACAGCCUUGACUCCUCAAUUGCCGAUUCAUCUUCCCACUUUUGACAACCUCAACUCAGGUAAUUUCACAGGACUGUUGCCACAAAUCAGCACAAAUGGCCUUGAGUGGGUGGGGAGUGGUGGUGGGGGGAUGCAUAUUCACAGCCAGUGUGAAAGUACAGUCUUUAGCCAUGACCCAUUCUUCUCGGCCAAUGGGAAAGAGAAGUGUGCCAGCAUGAUUAAUGGUCAUGAUUACCUUCUCAGAAAAUGUGGUUUUCUGGCCCAGCAGCUUCACUUUUAUGACUUAAACCCGGGGCGAGAUGCUUCAUCAUGUGGCGGGCGGAGCUGUGCGCAGACCUCCCAGACAGCGUGUUGUGAUGGCCAAACAUAUCACUGCUGAAGUGUUUACCAUCAGCUGUUUGAAUACGACUGUGAAGCCUCUCAACGGUCGUAAUGUGGACAGCUGUUCGACUUAAGACCUGAGAAUGAGGAUAGAUGUGGACGAGGGGCCAGGAGGGCACCCAAAAGAAAAAAGGAAAGGAACAAAGAGUCUGUAGAGAUAUUAGAUAAAAGUCUGGGGAAGAAGAGCCUAAAUGAGCUUUUUUGGGGGGGCUUAGACUCACCCCGUAUUCCCAGUUUCAAAAAGACAAAAAAAAAAGAGAGAAAACAAAGAGGAGAGUCGGAAGAAGACAAAGGAAGCAAAAACAUCCCAAGAAAUCCGUUUUGGCAAGGACUCACCCCUGCUGCUGCAGGUACCAGAUGUGUGAAGACGUCACACUACGACAAGUCCAUACAGACAAACAAACCACAUUGCACUUCAUUCAAUAAGUCAAAUGUGCUCAGUUUAAAGCCCCUCACAGUUUAUUUCCGUUUGAUCAUUCAAUUGACCUCGAACCUUUGUCUCCAUUUAAUACAGAGAAUUACAACUUACUGUUCUGCAGGGCUGCCAAGUUUCAGAAAAUACGAUACGUGAGAGUUCUGAUGUGUUCAGGAAAAAAAAAAGGCCUUUUUUAAUGUCGAUUUGUACCUUCAGACUGAUGUCCUCACCUCCAUGCCAGCUGCUCUCCCUAAUGCUCGUCUUAAUGAACCAGAAUUUAGAAAUUAGAAAGUGGGUUUUAAAUGUCGGCGCUGUUUUGUCUGAAAGAUAGUUAGAGAUGCCAAGACCCACCGUAGGUUGCUUCUGAUUGGUUUGUAUUGGGUGGUGCCUUCAGUAGUUGGUUAGAUUUAACCACAAAGGACUGAUGGAUUUGUUAUCUUGGUCAGUCAAUCUGAGUUACUCAAACUACGGCAAGGUUUCCCCUUCUCUUUAAGUAAUAAUCAUCAUAUUAAUCAUUUUGCACUGCAGACGCGGUAGUUCUUCUGUCUUAGCGUCUCGGUCUGAUUGUAUUUCCAUGAAGAAAUGAUCAUAAAUGUUCUUCCUUAAGCUGCGUCACCCCGCUGUAGUCCGUAAUGGACUGGCCUGAGGUCUCGCUACAAACAAACGGCUGCUGGAAGAGAGUAGGUGAGUUGUGUUUAGUCCCUUUGCUAAAGAAAUGAGUCAAAGUUAAAAAGAUGUUUGGUGUCUAGUACUAUGUCUGUGACCCUAUAUGUCCUGUUGAUGAAGUUAGGUGCUGUUCUGAGCAUUAUUUGUGGCUAUAGAGUGGUGUUUUGGUUGAGUGUGUGUCUCUCUGUAUUGCUUUCUGCGGUUGUUACUAAAGUUGGUAUAACUAGAGGAGCAAAGCGGUUAACAUUCAUCUCUCGAGGGGGUGUCUAAAUCGGUUUUACGGUGUGUUUGACCCUAGCUUAAUUUUACGCCAGAAUAUCCCUUUAAGUGUACACUAAGCCUACUCCAAUUUCCCCAUUCCCUGCUAGCUAGUAGCUGCCCGCCUGCUGAAGCUUUGUUGCACCAGAAUAAAAAAAACGCUCAGUUUUUACCAAGAGCAUUUGAGGUUUUUCUUUUUUUCAUUUUCUACUUUGUUUUUUUUUUUCCUGUAAAUAUUUUCAGAAAAUCAAUUUGAAGAUAGGAGUGGGGGGAUCUACGCCGGUCUGAGGAGGGAGCUCGUAACUCUCCAAGCCCCUCCCUCCUGUUGCCGUUGAUUACAGAUUGUACAGAAGCGUUCAGCCGGAGAGCGAAAAAAAGGCUCUGAGGUGAAAAUGUUUUCGAAUCUCCUCCGACACCUGAUGUGAAUCUAAAGCGGCUGGUCGGUCGGUAUCACUGAGAAGCGGCUGACCAAAUGAACCUGGAAAACCUCGAGGGUUUAAUUGACGAAACCUCAAGAUUAAUACCGUGCAUUUGCAGGAGCAAACACCCCCGCUGUGUCUGUAUGUUUUUUCCUGUUCGUGCGUGAAGGGAUAAGAGCCUGUGCAUCUGUGGGGGAUUGUGUGUGUGUCUCUUUAUUCUCACUUUUGCAGCACUCAUGUGCCAAGAAGCUCCCAGACGACAUUCUCUAAUCAUUAACCUGAAGUUAAUUUCUGUCACAAACACUACGGCGGCGCUCAUUACAACUCGACACUACACUACCUCUGCUCAAUGACUUUAUAUCUCACCGCUGAGCCUCAAAGGUUAGCCCCUCUAAAAGGUUACAGCUCCCUGUGACAUUUCCCUUGAUGACUUAUUUGGCCCUUUUGUUUUUGAUAAAUAUCAAGCAGCUUGUUGUUGCCACCAGGGAUUACUUACAUAUUAAGUCAUAAAAAAGGAUCUGCCAUGGAUUAGAAAAGGCUCUGCUUUUGAUGGUGGUGGUCCUCUGAUUAAUUAAUGAUCAAAAAGGACAAACAAACAUGAGACUUUCAGGGUUUGAUUCAUGUGUAAAAUUAAAGUCAGUGUCGGUUCAUUUCUAUGAAGUUGUUGACUCCCCUAACCUUCAAGCAGACGGGGACAACUCCGCUGUCAUGGUUUGAAUAUAGUUAAAAAAGUGAAUAAAGGUUUUUUUUUUUUUCUGCCGGAGAUGAAAACACAUCCACUUCAAGGAAAAUGUGCCCUUUGUGAAGUUUAAAGACGAGCAAAUGUAAAGAAGGUCUAUGGGCGACGCUUUCGUACAAUCAAAUACUGCUGCUUGAUCUCUCGCCCCAGGCAUCAAAAUAUGAAGAUCAAGGUCUCGCUCCGGCAUCCAAAACAAGAUUUAACAACCACCCCACAAACUUGUCGGACCUCCAUAACAAACAGCAAAGUCAGGGGGUCAGGUUUGGAUUGGAUCCGGGUCGAUAUCUGAACAAAAGCUGCAAACGUAUUUUGACUUUUAGGGAAACUUUAACGGACACAAUAAAGAUCGCAAUAAUUGAUUUUUUAUAUAUAUAUUUUUUGUUCAAACAUCAUAAAUAUCUUGUUAUGUGACAAGUUAUAUGGAGCAGUUAAAUAAAGCAAGUUUCCUCUUUAAAUUCAGCUUAACCUGCGUUUGUGGAUGCAGUGGUUUUAGUGAUUUUGUGUCUAUGCGGUGAUUUCCACUACAGAGUUAUAUCAGUUUUUUGUUAUGUUGUGGUUUUUGGAAGUGAUUUUAAGUCGGGCUACCAUGAAUAUUCAAUUAAAUUUGUAACCUUUAUUUAACCAGGUUGGUCCCGUUGAGAUAAAAAAAAACGUGAAUGCAAAAAUUAAAAAUAUACGAUCCGAUUAAUCGAUUAAUCACAACAAUAAUCGUUGUCUUGACGAUUAUCAGAUUAAUUUUAGUGGAAGUAAUUUUGAGUAGGGCUGCCACGAUUAUUCGAUUAAAAUUUUUAAUGUUUAUUUAACGGUGUUGGUUCUGUUGAGAUAAAAAAAAAACGUGAAUGCAAAAAUUAAAAGUAUACGAUCCGAUUAAUCGAUUAAUCGCAAAUAUAAUCAUAGUCGUGUUGAUUAUCAGAUUAAUUGUUUGGGGCAGUCCUAAUUUUGAGCCUGUGUGAUGAUUUCCACUACAGAGUCAAGUCCCUGUUUGUUUUAUGCAGUGCUUACUAAGCGCCAUCCUGUGUCCUCUUGGCACAGAAAUUUCUCCAGAUUCUCUGGGAACUUGAAUUGUUGAACUUUGCUCACACUAAGGCUGGGCGAUAUGUCCUCAAAUCAAUAUCACGAUAUAUUGAUCAGUUCACCUUGAUAACGAUAAACGGACGAUAACUACUCCACAAGCUGCUCACCCCCUCACACAUUAACUUUGUCUACUUCAGCUGCUACAACUUUUGAACCGUCCUCCAUCUCCUCACCUGUCUUUCCCUCUUUGUUACAGACUGGAUGGGGUGGAGUCACGUCUCUGAUGUAGGACAGCGUCUUAAAGGGACAUGAGACCAUAGCCUACCUACACACAUCCAACAACAACUUUGAUUUAUUUAUUUAUUUGACACAGAAUAUAUCGAUAUGGGCAAAAUGACGUCGGUUAUUGUGGUAAAUUUUGGUAUCUGUAAAUUUUCAGUUUAUUGCCCAGCCCUAGCUAAAUAAAAAACUCCACACUGGAGUUUUAAAAGAAAUAAACCACCUUAUAAUUUGAGUGAAUGUCCAGUGUUUGUUUCACCGAUCUAUUCCCUCUACUGCCUCCUACAGCUCCUCUUAUACUCAUCAUCCUUCAUACCUGGACUCAGACAUCACAUCUAAAGAAUUAAUUAGAGAGCAGUGUGCAGAAACUCCAUACGAGGCACCUGAAGCAUAAAAUUUUAAAGCUUUAGGCCACUGUCCAGGCCUCCGAGUUUGAUGGGUUGGGAGUGAGAAGCAGCUGUUUUCACUGACAUAAACAUUAAAGUCACAUUAAUUAGCAGAGAUAAGAGAGGCAUCAAAUGAAGAGGAAGUAUAUCAAUAGCUAAGCACUUUAAUAAUCUCCCAUUUGUGUUUUUGGCUGGAGAGCAGAUUUUCUUGUGGCGCUCACUCUCUCAUCAAUCACAGAGCUGCUGCAAAUAUGAGAACGGCUGAGGUUGUCCUAACAUCACAGUCUGAAAGUGAGAAAUCUCAGUGCCUGGCUGGGUUGCCGCUGACUCACCAGUAAUGAUCAACAACCCUUUCCAACCCUGCAGAUAUAUCAUGGUCUUUUUUGUAGUACGGGGACCUUAAAAUCUCACUUAUUGCAGUUUUAGCAGCUUUAAAUAUGUCCUGAACCUCUAUUACAUCAGUCAUUUGAAGCCUAUGCACAUAAAAAGCAGCUACAAAUCCUCCUAGACAAACACAAAUCCUAUCUCUUAAAAGCAGAGACCCACAGCCUGUCUGCGUGGAUGUCAGUCUUUACUACAGAGGUGGUUGAAAAUUCAGCUAGGCAGAGCAUAAGCCGACGGCAGCCCCUGAAAAUCGGUUGAAUCGGGGUGACCACCAGUUAAGUUUGGUGGAAAGCUUCUUUAUAACCAGACAUCUGCAAAUGCAUGCCAUCUAUUUAGGGCAGCGGCGAUUCGCCAACGUGAUGACGUAGGCAAUGGCUACUUCAGGUGACGGUAGAGGCACGGACGGCGAACGAGCUCCACCUAAUGGGGUCGAUUUAAAACCUACUUUAGUGUGAUCUACGAGCAGCUCCUCUCAAUCAAUGCUUUUGUUCUUCCUCGUUCAGAUUCCCAAGAUCACGCUGCUUUCAUUCAAGGAGACCUGCAGUGACCUGUCAAUCAAAUAACCCACUGUUGGUGCAGCCAACGCCACAGUUGACGCUGCAUCAUACGCCCUGCAUCCCAUAUCUAAUUUAUUGACUUUAAGCAGCUAGCUCGGAGUUGAAGCAUCAGUUUUGUGCUUUUAUUUCUCCGAUAACUCGCUAAUUAAUCAGAUGUGUGAUCCGUGACGAUAGCUCGCUAAUGCUAAUACUCGGCGCACGUGAGCUCCGCUGCACAUAUGUAUACUGAUACACGAGUCCGAGGUAGAGACACGUAAGAAAAAAACACGUUUUAAAAGUGUGGCGGCUUUUAUUUAACCGUGGCGGUGUGCCAAGAUCGAUUGCAUGAAGGCGAAAUGCUGUUAUCUAGCGCCGUGUCUUACUCAGCAAUGUAAACAAACACUGUUUCCAGCAUUAUGCCGACCACGGCCCACAAUGCAUUGCAAAGUAAUGUGCCUCUUUGGUUGGUUGAGUGGCACUGACUUUCUCACUAUUGAUAUAAUAAUCGAUUAAAAAAUAAUCGUUAGGUGCAGCCCUACAUCUAUUGCUUUAAACCGUGUGAGCUCUAGCGUAUUUCGUAAGGUACGUCCAGCGAGUGGAUCUGAUGAGUCAGAUAGUGAUGGCAGCUCAGGUCCCAACGCCAUGGUACACCAUGAGCCUAACCUUCCGCCUGUCUGGCUCUGAGAAAAGAGGGACGUUAAUAGACUAUUUUUGUUCUCCGUCUGGGUCAACUUGUUCGUUUUGAGAGUCAAUUGCCGUGGCCAAAACACGUCACAGUCGCAGACAUGGAAGCACCUGUACCUUCACCAAAUGGGGACAUCAUCAAGCAUAAAAUGUUCUUACCACCCAGAUCCUGACCAGAAGCAAUAAAAAAGAGCUCCGUGGAACAGCAUGGGCCUAAUCCUUCUUCGGUCUGGUUUUAGGGAACAGAUAAGUCCGCGGUCUCUGAUUGUUCCCUCACUGGGACAUCAUGACCUUUUUUUGAAGGGAAGUGUACUUUUAAGAGCGCUCGUCUCGUGUGCAACAGGAGACUCUCCUUCUGGCACACGAACAUUUUCAGCAUGGCGUUGAACAGAGUUUUCAUCGGACACACUAAUCUCGAGGUGUCAGACGCCAAAGCUUUGACACGUCAGGUUGUCUCAUUAGGAUGUACGGGGCGCCAUUCAGUGUUUGCACCAGGCUUGGAGUUGUUGUGUUAGGUUAUCCGUCUGUUUGACCAAGCCUGAGAGUGAGAUAACCUCGUAUGAGAAUAAAUUACAUUGCUCAAAUCAACCAAAUGAAAGGACUCGAUUUCCUGCGAUGGUGCUAAUUAUUUCCCAGCCAAAGUGUCUUUUUCCAUUCGAUUAUUGCGCCGUCCCAAGUGGUGUGAUUGUAGAAUGACAUCUGUUCCGCCAUUAUAUACCACUGGCACGUACCGCCCAUGUGGAACGUAACCAUCAUUGGGAAAAUCAGCACACAGCCCACAAAGGAGAGGCCUCAGUCAUUUCUGUUCAGACUCAGCCAUUCCUCUUAUGACUGGCAGCUCCUGCGUCGCUGCCAGGAGGCCGACUGCGGCAGCUCAGCACCGGCUUUACGUGCUGCAGAGCCUCUAGAGCAAUAGAGUUUGUUGCCACCAUGCAUGUGGUGUGUAAAACCCCACUGGCCAUGUUGUGGUCUCACCCCUACCCGUGCCAGAAAGUCAUUGUGGCCCUGCUGUUUGUUUUCUACUUCUCACUCCUGCUAGCAAAGCAAAAAAUAUUCCAAUAGUGCCACUCAGCAGAAUGAACCAGACUGUUGGAUGUUUAGACUAAAGAUUAGAGACAAGGGGUUUUCUGGCUUCAAUCCUCAGGCUAGAAAGAGUGAGUUAUACGCUCUUGUGCAAGGCAGGAGUCCCCAAAGGGCCCUGUGUUUCUUCAACUCUGGUGCGUAAGUCUUCGGUUUUACUAAAGAGCUCAUGAGUACAGUGUGCUGUGUGAUUGUGAAGCAGGGCGACGCUAAAAAACAAGAGUGCAUCCUCAGCAAACCUUCCUCAGAUUAAUAAACGUAUUAUGUCGGGGUGUUUAAUUCUUGAGCCCAUGCUGCUCAAUACAGUCUGUGUUCCUCUGAGCCACAUUACUGCUCCAAUUGAUGGUCUGGGAAAGUUUUAGUUUUUCAUGCAGUAGAUUAAAACCAACGCUGCACAACAGUGUAGGUCGAAUCAAAGCUAAGAGAGAAUUUAUGUCCUUAAAAUCAGAGUAAUUUGCUGCUUUUUGAUCAUUUCGGAUUCACGCAAAGCUGCUCUUGCUUGAAAUUAGAAUCAGAAGACAUACUGUAGUCUCUGCUGUUAGCUCUAAACAAAGACUGGAAAAUAAAUGCAUGAUGGAAAUGGAUGCAUAAAAGAGCUUAAAUUAAAGCUGGAAAAAUUAGACGAUGUGGGCUGGAUCUACUCCUACAACAGAGCUCUAUUUGAGUGACGAAAAGCUUUAAACCAGCGAUCAUCUAAGAAAGUGUCAGGUUUAUGUAUUUCUCAAACAGUGGCACUAUGACCGAAUCAGCAGAUGAGUUCAGGCUGAUACUGCUGUUGAACUCACAAACACCGCAUGUAAUACCAUGUCUCUCCACAGGGUGGCACUGUGACUAAAUCUGAUGAAUCGCCAUGUAGAUGUGUUAGGGGAGGACCUUGUGCUGCGUUUGAGUUACUUCGGAAGUCAGACGUCCUGAAAGCGGUAUGUUACCAAGUUUGAAAAAAGUAAAAUCGGAGGCCUGAAACAAGAUUGCUACAUCUACGAAAGUUAUUUUAUUUUCGCCUCUGAUUUUGCUUUUUUCCAUCUUUAAACUCAAAUGCUGGUAACUUGGGUGUGACGUCAUUUUCAGCUCAGACUUAUGACUUCCGAGGUAACCUGAACUCAGCGAUAAAUCACGUAAAUCUGUGGCAGAUCCAACCAUGUAUGAAGGAGUGACAAUUACCUCCUGUUUCGAGGCAAGACUUCAAAGUUUGACGAGUAGCACAAAACACAUUUUUCAGGGUUAGCCAAAUCCUUUGAUACCCUCUAAUCCUCAAAGUUGGACUGGGCGAUUAUAUGAUCCUGAUUUGUAAUUGUGAUAAAUUUCAGUUCGAUCACGGUGAUCAGCUGUGAGCAUAUUUCCUGCUCACUUCUGUAAGUUGCUGGAGAAGUAAACAGAACAACAGAACGUGGAGCUGAACGUAGAGCUGAGGGCAGCAAAAAAGAUGUCAGCCAUGACUUUGAGUUAUCCUCUGAAGACGCCAUUGUUGAGAAGAAAAGUGACUUAACAUUGGUUGUGUGGUGGUGCCGUGGUUCGGGUAUCUCCAAAGUGACGUCGAGCAAUUUAGUCGAUGUGAAAGGCGGGCGGUUCCCUUAAAACUGGCAACACAACAGAUCUGUUUAAUCAUUUGAAGUUCUUUCUGAGUGAUGAUGAGGAAAGCAUGAGAAUGUGAGCGUAGUCUGCACAGCCUGCCACUGCCGACGGCGUAUCAUCUACGUUUACAUCAUCUAAUGUUUGAAAAAAAAGAAGAACAAAAAAGUCAUGAUAUCGAGAUCAGACGACAUGACAAAAUAUGUCGUGAUCUUUUUUUUGCCAAGUUGCCCAGGCCUACCUCAAAACAAUGAGAUGAUCGGACAAAAUCCAAGACAAGGUCUAGACCUUGAACUCAACCUCAACGAUGGCGCCGUUUGUGUGCAACUGGAUCUGAUGUAUAUGUGAUGUUUGGUGGGUUUGGGUCGUGCUGAAGCCCCUUGAGACCUGAUUUAAUGUGGACAUGAAUAAAUACUAAUCAUCGCUCAGUCCUCAGAGGUUAGAUUUAUGUGACUGAUCCUAAAGACACUAGCUUAAAUUAUCACUCCUUUACUUUUGGCGAUGAUGGGUAAUUACGCAUAGGAUUACACUAUAAUCAUCAUCUUUUUAUGACCCGUGCUUUAAAACUGCAGUGCUACUGUAUAGGCCACACACCAUUGCCUCCUAUGCAAAGGUAUGUUUGACCAGGUUGUGAUGCUGAUGUGGGAUAAAAGAUGUAUAUGUUGCAGGAACCUCUGGCCCAUCUGUCCCUCUGUGUGCUAGUUUUAACCACACUACAUGGAGCGUGAAGUUAGAGUCUGUUGUUAUGGCUUGGCUGUUAUGUCUCUAAUCCCAUUACAGAGUGUGAUCACGUCUGAGGCAGCAAGGUUCAUCUCAGGCGCCGGGCUGAUUAUGUAGUAUCCAUGAACAUGUAGGUGUUUUACAGCGCCAUAAAGCGUGUUCUGGAGGCCCUUUUAUUUUAUGUUAUGACAUGCUGACAGAACAAAUUACAUACUGUGGUGAAGACAUUUGACAAGAAAUCACUAAAACGUCGGCAUGUCAGGCACCGAGACAACCCCCCAUGUUUUUAGUUCAUUAGUGAGCCUUGAGUAAUGAGUAAUCAGCCGUCCGUCCAUUUAUUUUCUGAAGCCCUUAACCCGUCCGGCGCAGUGUGAUACUUUCUGGACAGGUUUCACGUCCAUCAAAAGGUAAUUUCUGUUGGAAUUAGAAAUGUUUGUCAUGCUGAAUUGAAACCAAUUAUUCGGAAAAGUUCGGCCUCCCUCCCGAGAGUUCAAGUGUUCCCGUGUUGUGCUUUCUCGGUAGAAUAGGACAAGAUGUCUCGAACCCUGCAACACACUGUUCACAUCUGUCUGAUUCGACAGCAGUGCUCUCUCCUCCUCGGCAAGUUUGAAAUGAUGUAUUUUUCUGACCAGAAGAUUGUAGAUCGGAGUAGCUCUGAAAGCAUACCAAUGAUUGCAGCCGUAUAGAGUGGAACAUUUGGCAUCUUACAUUUGACACAGGUGUAUGUGUGUAAGUACAGAGGAGAGUAAAUCCAUGUGUGGCAACAAGACAGCGUGAAAUGAUAAGGAUUGUGUGAACAUGUUUGUAUCUGUUUGUUUUUUAACAUGAUCCGUAAACUCACCUUUACACUGUUGUAUCCUAUUUUUUGGUCAUGUAUGUUUAACUUUAAAUGUCCUUAUUCUUAAACAUGUUCAGUCCAAACUGUCAGAGGAUGUUUGACAUUUCUAGGCUGAGGCCACGAAAUAACUUUGAGUUAACAAGUCAGUCCAGGACUGAGACUUGAGUCUGAUUUGAUUGAUGAUGUUUGGUUUAGUUAAAAUUCUGAUAGACAGCAGUUGGGCUCAACUUGGGCUUGGGUGACAAGAAUCCAUAAUGGAUUCAAAAUUGGUAACAGAGACACAAUUUGGUUAUGCUCCUGGGUUGUUGGGACGAAACUUGGACUUGACUCAGAGUCUGACUUGGGAAACAGUCACUCAACUUGGACUUAGUUAACAGGGAUUCGACUUGGGCUGGGACAUGAGUAAUGGAGACUUGGACUCGGGUUCCAGGGACUUGGCUCUGAUUUGACUUGGUCCCACAUAGUCAGUCCAGGUAUAUACCCCUGAGUUGUGGGGACAAAACUUGGACUUGACUCAGAGUCUGACUUGGGCAACAGGGACUCAACUUGGACUCUUGGGUAGCAGGGAUUUGACUUGGGCUGGGACUUGAGUAAUGGAGACCUAGUUUAUAGCACUUGGACUUGGGUAACGGGAAUUUGACAUGGGCUGCGACUUCAGUAACGGAGACCUGGGACAUUGGACUUGUACUUGGAUAACAGGGAUUUGACUUGGGCUGGGACUUGAGUAAUGAAGACCUAACUUGGAUUAAGCAUUGGUUAUAAGGGGCUGGAAUAGGACUUGGACUUGGGUUUUAGGAUUGGCUCUGAUUUGACAGUCAGUCCAGGUAUGACAAGUUUAGGUACAAACCAGGGCCCUCCUCAUUGGUCCUCAAGCUAUGGUGACUUUACCUGACUUCAUGCAUAAGCACUGGGGACUUGACUUGGAAAGGACUUGGGAAAUCAGAACUCGGCUUGGUCUUUGACUUUGGAAACAAUGACUUAACCUAGACCUAGACUUCACUUGCCCUGGAAUUAGCUAACAGGAUCAAACUGUGGAUUCACUUGGUCCACAUAGUCAGUCAAGCUGAGUAGUUCUGAAUUACUGACUUGGAUUAUUCUCUGGGGACUCCGAUUCAACUGUAUCUCUGGGGGACCUGAAGUUUGGUGGCCCGACUCCAACACUGCCUCCUUUUUCAUUUCGGUGAGGUGGAACCAUCUCGGUGCGAACACAUUGCUUAAUUGCGGUAUGAUGUAGUUUGUAAUUACCUCGAUCAGUUUCUGACUCAGAAACUUCUCAUUAAUCUGCAUCAUAAUUAUCUUAGACGUUAUUAUUAUGUGUUUGAUAUCUUUACAAACAAACACGCCUGCUCGAUGGGAGUGAUUUCUAGACCAAUUUUAUAUCACUGAAGAAAAAAUGGGCACAGAGAAUGAUCAAACUUUAACACAAUGCGGUGCAAGUGGAGUAUUUUUGGAGCUCAACAUCUGGGAAUUCACCCUCAUGUCAUCACGGUUCAAAGUCCUAGAACCAAAUGGGGUUCAAACUCAGACCAUAGCUGAGGAUAUAUGACUCAAGUAAAAAGUCGUGCAAAAUAUGGAGAUUUGGUUGCAUAGCUAGUUAUAAAUGUAAAGAAUUGUAAGUUUUAAGUUCAGAGAAAGUAACUGCAUGAAAAAAGUUCAAUAGCUUCGUGAAAAUCUAAUCCCACGGUGGCAGACUGACCAUCUGGUCAUUGUUGUCACUCACAUUUGCAGAUGGUUUGCUCAGUCAUCCCUGCCUGUUUCAAACACAAACGCCGCUCUGAAUGGUUCCUGAACCCUGGCGAACAUAAGCAGCUUGUUGACGUCAGGGCGGGAAUGACGAAAACCCCUCGUUGUUGACUCACUGCCUCAGCCCUCCGAGUGUUGAUCUCAAAGUUCACUUGAGUUUCCAGGAGAAAUGGGACUUGCACUCGUCAUGGGGUUCCCCUGAGGGCUAACGCUGAGGGGGAAGCCGGGGAGGGUGUGUUUAACGAAUAAUGGAACAGCUUCUCUACCCAUGGCACUGAGACGUUCAGCAUUCGAGUCUUGUCUCUGUUUGUUUCUUUCGACAGCGCAGAAACAUUCGAACCUCAUCUGGCUGCAGCGUGUGUCUCUGUCCAUGGUGCUGAAAAAUUUAGGCCCAGCUGUCUUUUAAGUUCAAAUCCUCUCUUUUUCCAUCAUGCAUAAGCAUAUUCAGAUUAUCUCUUCUUUUUAUCACUCUCUCACUUUGGUUUUGAGGAUAUAACCGACUAAAUUCAUACUCUAUUUGUUCACAAAUAGCUUUGCAGAAUCUUUUUUGUGCACGGUACAAAACUCUGAAUUCCUCCUGCCUUGAACUGCUGCUUCUGUACAGGGUAUGUGGAAGCCUGUGGGAUUUGAAGAAAAUGUUUAAGCUCACAUGCCUCCAGGAAACCAAUGGAAGGAACAAAAAAUGUGCUUGGCAGCUUGUGCACUUCUUUGAACAAUAAAUAGCCGGCGUUUGCAGGCUUUUCCCACAAAGAGUCACUCAAACUACUCAUGUAUGACAGCAAACCUUGUUGUCUGGGUGCGGAGGGGGAACCUGUGUUUGUCAACAUUUAACAAUGAUGGAUCUGAACUUUGAUGGAGAAGUCUCUAUUUAAGUGACGGAUGAAUGAAAGAUAGUCUGUGAAAUAUGUUUCUCGCCCUCUUUUGGGGUUUAUUUUGAGGAUUGUGUGGCACACAUUUAUAAGGAUUUAGCAGGCCUCUAUUCUUCAAAUAUUACGACUUUCUUUGUACCGAUUUGUCUUUUUUAAAUACUCAGUUCAGAAGUCUGUUAAUUCUUUAAUGCCAAGGACACUCCUUCCUGUAAAAAAGACAAAUAAAUAAAGCUGCAUUCAUUUAAAGUGGUGGUUCCUUAAUGAAGUAAUGAACCACUUGACAGGCGCUGUAAGACAAAACACAAAGCAAUGCUUCUUCUUGAAUGGAUAUCUCCCUUUGAAACCCGUGUUUAAGGCGUCUCAGUGUCAGUUUGGACUCUCUUAAAUGGAAAAUAUUACAAACAUACAAAAGAGCUCCCUCAUGUAAAGACUUUAAUCAGAGCUGAGCAGAGGAAAGGCUCUCUAAAAAAAACACAAAUUAACUUUACGGCUAAUUUCCGACUGAAAUCUUGACAAAACAGUUGAUAUCAGGGGCAUUGCUGCAAGAGUGCUGAUGUGGCGUUUCCAUACUUGUGAGGUUUGGGGACCUGAGGUGAUAAAUGAAUAUGAUGACCCAUGCUGAAAUUAUUUGGACAUAAAAUAGAGUCAUUACCAGCGGCCUGUGUCUUAGAUGAAUGUCUAUAACAGGCCUAUGAAUGUGAAAGUCAAGGUUACAUUAGUUAUGAUUAACAGCCACUCUGAGGCACAGUGAUCUGUUGCCUUUGUGUAGCAUGUUAAUGCUCAUUAUAUACGACGACAUGACUCCUAUAUGAACGCACCAUUAAUUAUGUUGUGUAAGUUGAAGAAAGCCUCAUUAUAUUUUCCUUUGAUUUCCACAGAAAGGUUACACUAAUUAAGUGUGUCAUUCAAUUUCAAGGAAAUACUAAUAAUACAUUUUAUUCACAUGUAUCGAUAAAAACUGUGUUUCCACUGCAGGAACUAACCCCAGAGAGGAGGAACUGUUUCUCCACUGUAGGGAGAGGGGUCUAAAUGAACUCUACAUGGUCCCUGCUCGGAUUACGGUACUUUAUCAAGACACAGGAACAAUCACUACUUUUUAUUCACACCCUAAAAAGUCUCUGCCGCUGUGGUAGUACUUUUUAAAGGUCAGGGUACUUAUGAGUUAGCCCUGAAGUGCCAAAUAUGUCUGAUUGGAGAACCAGAUUUUUGGAGUAGCAUGUGUUUGCAGAAUCAAGACCAUAUUCCUGGGCCCAAAUCCUAACCCCCAAUUUUCACCACGUCUGGAAUGGCAGCCAUUUUCGCCGUACGCCAAUUCCUAUCGGAUUCGUUUGUGAGGUGAAUUUCAUGAUGGAUUAUGGACAGCAGGAAUCGCGAGAACUCAUGAGAACCCAUGAAUUCACGCACAAUUGCGCCAAAACAAGUUGUUUCUAACCACAGAGGUUAACCAUAUAAGCAGUAGAUCUUCUAGACUUCCAGAAUCAGCAUCUCCUCAUCCAUGUUGUCCAUCGGGAUGAAAUGUUGUCUAAAAACCUUUCACUUGUUCGUCUCUGCUGGUUUGCAUGGUGUGAAGUACGAUCUGCUGGAUGUUUUAUUUUGUGUCUGUGCCCGACUUCCUUUCCAGCAUGGAAAAAUCUGUGCUGAAUUUAUCCGGUACGCUCUUGCGUCCGGAAAAAAAUUGAACAAUUGGAAUCAGCUGCGGAGUCCUGCAAUCUGCAGAGGAAUGGAAAGAAGCUAGUGGAAAUUGACACAAUAACUUGAAUAGUUACAAUCAGCUGCGAUCGGAAGAUACAACUUUUUCGUAGCCGUGCCGGAUGCGGUGGAAAUUGGCAGUAAGAGGCUACAGAAUCAAGACCAAGUCCCUAAUCCCGACCCUUGCUGUUGCCAAGACACAGAGAUCCUCUAGAUUUACUCUCAGAUUAUUCCCCUGAAUUUGUAGCUUCUGUUUGGUUUAACAAGUACUGAUUUAAACUCUGUAGAAACCUCGACAGGAUAAGAAGCUCUACGGACUAAAAGUACCUCUUGUGGAACUGCGAGUGAUAAAGUGAUGGCCUUUUCCUGAUAUAAUUCAUAAUCAACCUUUUCCUGCUCUGAAAAUUUGACUUAAGGGACUCAGGGUGUACGUGACCACUCCAAGACAGAGAGUCUUUGUCAAUCUGAGUCAUUCCCAGCUCCAUGAUUGUCCCCUCUGGUCUUUGAGCAGUGAAAAUAUUUCCCACUUUAUUACUCAUAAAGCACUACAGAUUGUAUUACUCAUAUCUGGACAGAUUGGAUUACGGUUAAGCCCCUUUGACUCGAUCACUGUUGAUUUCCCUUGAGGCCGUAGAACGAGCUUUAAUGAAUCUCCAUUUUUACCAAAACCCCCGCCGUGAGGCGCUUUCAUUCGACACGCCACGGGCAAUAAAUGAGUCAAAGGCCCAGACAUCUCAAAUGACCAGAGGUGGCAGGUUCUGACCCGAGUCAGUGCGUUCUGAUUAAGAUCCAUCAAGACGGAUUCCUUCAUCAAAAAAAUUACAUGAAGGAAAUUCAACAUGUCCAGAAGUGACUCAGAGUAUCGAGCUCUGCUGGUUUGUUCCAGUUGGAGAUGGUUUAUUAACAUGUGUGAAAUCAGAUUCUGUUCAUUAGGUUAAUAAAUGAGGAGUUUAAGUGAUAAAUAAAAGUAAAUAAAAGUCAUGAACCUGAGAUAUGUAUUAUCUUUUUCAUAAUUAAUCCACACUCAGCAUCUUUUUUGUGGGGUAUAAACAAAAAAGAUUUUAAUAUCAGUCAAUAGCUAUUAGUAAUUGAUGAUAUUUGGGAAUAUAAGGAUAUCUCUGUGUUUUGUUACGUCUUGAAAGUCAACAUUUUAACAUUUUUGAGCGGUCCGUUCUUUCUGACUGUAAACAAAGCCGUUCUCCACCUCCCCCAACCUGAUUGGUUGUGAGGCAGACGCUGCUCCCCCGUGUCGUUCAGGAGCCCAAACAAAGUUAGCGUGCUACAAUAUCGGACAGUAGAAACCAACCAGAAAGUUCGGAAAAUUGUCUGAAUCCUCCUUUGGCCACGACUGCCGACACAAGCAAGAAAACAAAGUAAAUACCAGAGACUCUGGAGGAAUAACGGGCGCUUAAAACGGAGGUAGACCGGACAAGAGCUAAAAAGCCGGGUCAACAUAAACGAUGGGGGACGCUUGGGGAUCUUGGUGACCCUGUAACCUUUCUGCUGGACAGGUAAACCGCUUUAACAAAGUAAGACAAGUGUCUGUAACAGAAGUGUUUCUUGUCAAACGGACCUGCUGUAGCGUGUUGUAGCGCCAUCGCUAAACUGUCCUCCCUCGGGUCCUGGACUACGUCACUUUAUCCUCGUUGUAGAAGUCCUGCAAACAUUGUGUUUGCUGGUAGUCUGUUGGCAUCUACAGUAGCACCAAUGCUUUUGACUUUCACCUUGACUGGGCCCCAUUUGUAAUUAUCUGAAGUAAUAAUAAUCUGACCCAUAAUAAUCUCAAAAUUUCUCAAAAAAUGAUCAUGGUCAUUAAACAGAGACAAAAUCUGUGUCGACAUUUUAAAGUUUAAAUGGAGUCUCUCGGUGAAAGUAUGCAGAGCUGGUAGAUGUUUGAAAAACUCCAAUAAUUUCUCUUUUUUUAUGCGUUCCAUUGACUUCAAUGCAAAAUUUUUCAGAAGUUUUUCGCAAACCAUCAAGAUUGUACAUAAAAACUAAAGGUUUUGUAUCUAAAGGUCUGUGGAUGCAGGUUUCUAAAGGCUUUAAGAAGUGUGCAGAAUCUCGAUUAUUAAUGAUGAAGCUAUUUCUUCAGUAAAUGUCAGAACUUGGACAGUUUUGGGAAGGUGCCAGCCGUGUCUUAAAAGCGUUCCCUUUAAAAUAAAAGCCCCACUCUCGGUGAAAACUUCUACCUCAUUAACUCAGUAAGUCAGACUUUGAAGGCCAACCUCUCCCUCCCCCUCAGUCGAUUCCUACUUGUGUACCCGCCACAUAAUCCUUUCAUUGUAGGGAAAUUUAUUCCUCUUACUUAUUCCUCUCUAUGAUUUGCAUUUCUAGGCUGUUCUUAUUUCACAUGUCCUCAAACAAACGAGCGUUUGCUUUACUCCACAUGUUUGUAUCAUACAAUAUUUAUAUCUGGCACAAAGCUGCUGAUUGCUGCAGGAAAUUCCCAAGGUCCCUCGUAGCUAUUAUUCAUUUUAGAGCAUAUUUCUCUCACACUUCUUCAGAAAGGAGGAAUGUUUGUAACAUGUUUACACAGAAAUACAGAUUUUUUUUCUUUUUAUCUCGUUAAAGUUUCUUUUCGGUGAUCAGGGAGGCCAAUCUUUUUACACUCAGCUGCUUUGGUAAAGAGCAUCGACUUAAUUCUUUUAAUGUAAAAUGCAACUGUGGGAGACCAGCACUGAAAUCCAAACGAAUAGACGGGGUGAUCCGACAUUAUUCUUAAAAACUGAUGCAACUUGGUUGCAAUAAGAGUUAAAAUUCAGCAUGCCUGAUGCAGGGAUUAAGUCAGCACUGCGUGAACCAUCAAUAGCAACCCCUCCACUGACCUCCAUGAUGCCCGAUAAGGUUUAAUGGGACAGUGUUUGCUGCAAAAGUUGGACCAAAAUCCCAAAUCUUUCAACUCUCCAUUGACGGUGUCUUUACUCAACAUCUCUGGGUUAGUGCAUCAUCCUUUUGGACUCUAGACCCACUCUGCAUCAGCGCGCAAAGGACUGCAAAACCAAAUCCUAUUGGUAAAUUCUACGCUUCCCUAUAUAUUUAUAUAUAUAUAUAUAUAUAUGACUGUCACAGGCUUGAUGUUCCAGACAGCUUGUUUUUUCUUCCAAUAUUACAUUUUUGACAAGCCAUCUUCAACGGUGGAGAGGAGAAGCUUUCAGAACCAUCACUGUCACCGCCGAAGACCCCCGGGAACAAAUACGUUCAUGUAUAUAUUCAAUACAGUCUUUUCAUGUCGACAGAAAUCAUGUUAGCUAUGUUUCUUAAUGAUUGUGAGACAGGAAGGACAAAGCAUGUGGACACAUUUUUUAAUUUCUCUGCAAAAUGAAUGUAUCCAUAUUUAAUUUCCAAUCUUAGAUUUAUUUACAGUCCGCGGGGAUUACAGCUCUGUCGUUUUGACCUUGAAACAGCUUGAAGACAAACACACCAGAGAAAAAUAUCUAUCUCUAGAAAGAAGACUAAAAAAGAGACGCAUUUUAAUAAGAUCACAUAGUUAGUCUGCCUGUCUUUUGAUGCCCUGAUACGUGACACUCAAAGUGACCUCAGGGAAAAUGAAUAAAUGAUUUUGACCACUUUAACUCGUCAGGGCGACGCGCCGUCUCUCCGACACUCUACCCACACUCGCACCUGUGAAACCUCACCUUCUCAAGGGUCCGAGUUUUUCCUCCUUCGUUUUUCUUUCCAGGGUACUUACUUUUCAAUCUGAUAACUUCAUGGAAAAUAAUCAUUUUUACCAAGUUUCCAAGCCGAGUGUGCAGAAUUGAUUAUUCUUUUUUUAGGCGGCGCAUUUGUUUAUCUCAAUGGAGUGGGGCCCGGUUGUGGUGACAGCAUGUCAAUUUCAAGAUCAAUUGUUGCCUCCUUGCCUCUGGCCUUUGCAUUACAUUACCAUAGUAAUGACUUUUUGACCCUCCUUUUUAAAGCAGAGAUCUACAUUCCUAGUUGUGGAGACAAAUGACGCACCUGAAAGUCAUUUGUGGAGUGUAAUGAAUUAUUCUCCGCAGCGCCUUGAGUCGUCACACAUCGAGCAUCAUAAAGUGAUUGUCAGUAAAUGUGAGAGCUGCAGAGGAGGGGGGAAUAUCUCCCAUUAGAAACACACCGCAGAUAACUGUAUUUAUGCUUGAAAUAGACUUUGCACAAAGUUUAUUUGGACUAAAAGAACAACUGAACACUUAUAUUCAAGGAUUAUACGUGUGAAUUAUAUCUGAAGUACGGUGCUUCAGACUUUCUCAGUAUCAUUUCCUUUGUUUAUGGCGCAAUAACGGUUUUCUUAACGGUGAACUUCUGCAGGCUUCCCGACACAUUCUUGCACAAUUGUGUUUUUAAACAAAGCAAUAAAUACAGGUGUGGAUUUUUGUUCAUAUACUUGUGAAUUAUUUUAGUUUCUUCUUUUUUAUCCUUUGUCGUAGUGUUACAGCUCUUUGUUGUUUUUCCUCUCUCUGUCCUCCUCAGCACUGCCCAGGUAAUGUCGGUAAUCAGCUUCCUCUUCUCUGCCUGCAGCUCUUCUUUGUGUCGUAGUCGUCUUGUUAAUUUGUUCUUUAGUUAAUCUUCGGUAAAUGAAUCACACGUUAACCUUUUAGGGUGUUUUAUGUUACUUUAUUGGGUCAAAAUGUGGACAGUUGUUAGCCCCUUAGAGCAGCAACCCAAGCGUUUGAGAUAAAGUUUGCAUCUUGAACAAUUUAAGCUCAAAAGCCACGGUCCUACAAUCACAGAAUAUAUUCACUAAAAUUAAAUUCUGGCUGCUAAUUGCACAAAAUCAAAGAAUCUGAUUCCACUUCAGUGUUUUAAUGAGCUGUUAGCAUCUCCCACAGAGCUGCACUGUGCACUCUAAUCCUGACGACACUAAAUUGUUUCCACAGAUUUGGUGAGAAGAGGGAGAGUCCUCGCUAGUGCUGGACGAUAAUUCGAUAACAAUAUAUAUCGAUCGAUAGACGUGUGGUGCGAUAGAAAAAAAACGGGUCGAUAAAAAGUUCGAUAGAAAAACACAGUUUCCCUUUCUUUUUCAUCAUAGCCUAUCAUGUAGCUUUUACUACAGUCAUUACUUCCUCCCAACCAAUCACAAACGCAGACCCAGGUACGCUACGGCACCAAGCCCAGCCCCUCUCAAACCACAACAGACAGCACGUGUAUUAGAAAAAAUGUUACAGCAAGGAGAAGCGGAGGAAAUUGUCCCGAAAAAAGGUUUCAGUAGUUCACCAGCAUGGCAAUGUUUUGGUUUUUACAAGUCUGACAAAAAGCGAACAGCGGUCGUUUGCAAAAUUUGCAGAGAAUUAGUAAAAACCAAGUCUGGUAACACAACCAACUUGUUUUACCAUCUAAACCGAUCGCACCCGCAGGAGUACGAGCUGUGUCGGCCGCGCCGCGGCUCCACGUCGUCGGAGGAGGAAUCCUCUGGAACCGCUGCCAGCACCAGCACAAAGCAUGUGAAGCAGACCAAACUGGACUUCGUUUCUUGCCAAAAUACGACAAAGCGUCCAAGCGGCAUAAGGACAUCACCCAUGCAGUGACAUGCUGCCAAUAACUACCGUUGAAAAGCCUGGCUUCGACCAGCUUCUAGCCACUCUCGACCCGCGAUAUGAAGUGCCCGGCCGCAAGUAUUUCUCAAACACAGCGCUUCAGGCAUGAAAACGGUUCAGGGGUUGAAAAGCUGAGAAGGGUGCGGAGGAAAUACGUUCCGGUGUUGUGCUGUAGAAUGCACCCCUGCAUCCCGUCCACUCAUUAGCUUCUUAAAGUGGAAGAAAAUGAGCUCAUACGCGAGUAUUUGGAUCAUGGCUACUAGCAGGGGGUGCGUUCGGCAGGGGUGCAUUCUACGACACAACACCGGCGUGGAUAAAUCCUGCUUCUCGUGCUCAGUUUGCGUAUUAAGUCAAUCAUAUGAUAAUUAAAAAAAAGAAAUCUCCCGACCCCGGGAGACACCAGGCUGUGGGCAGUUUCCCACAAAACUGGUAGUAUGCUAUUCCCACCUAAAGCUAUUCUGUUUAUUUAUAUAUUUGUUUGUUUUGUUUAUUUUCAUCAAAAGACUAUUUAAAUAUUUAUUUAUCAGAUUUUCUGGUCACUUUAGUCUUUAUGUUUGUCAGUAUUUACUGACGUCACUCAGGCCACUUAAGUUGAUUUCUUUUCUUUUUUUUAAGUUCUUUUUUAAAAAACUUUCAGUUGUGGUAAAAAAAUAAAUAAAAAGGUGGUUGAAUAAAGGUUUGAAUUUGAUUUUAGUGCUUGUGUGUUCUUUAUUAAAAGUAGGUCAUUAAGCAAUAGCAUAAAACAUCCAGGGCUGCAAUUAAAAUAUAUGUUAAAUAAUUAUAGUAAUUAUAUCGAUAAUUAUCGAUAUCGAUCAAUAUGAUUUAUUUUUUAUCGAUAUGCUUUUUUUCUAUAUCGUCCAGGCCUAGUCCUCGCCAUCAUUUACCACCAAACACUAAAACUACACUCUUACUGCUGUCAGUGCUGCUCUGAGAGAAUUCAGUGUUUAUUGGAAUAAGGUUUGUUUGCAUCAAGAGAGGAAUAUUCACCCCAGUCUUAUUUCAAUCCAUGCAAAAGAUGCUAUUGGACACCUUUCAUGUGCUUUGUGAAUUAGACAGUAUUUUUGGUUUGUUUGCAACAGAUAGUGGGAGCAGAAGUUGCAUGGUUCUUUGUGAAUCAAGCCCUGAGUGUAAUGCUUAGGACCUCCUGGAUAGCUGUAGCUUACCACUGCUCAUGUUAAUUUCUUGAAGUAUAACCACUUUUCGUCAUAUUCAGACAAAUAAUCCCUAAAAAGAAACAUCACAAAGUUCUUCUUUUGACAAGAGCCGCAUCAGCCGCUGAUAUUUAGGGCACAAAGUCUUUCAAUAGAAGCUCCGUCCUUCCAUAACAAUGCUGCUGAUUGGCUUUUGUUAAAUGUAAAUGUCUGCCCCUGCAUGAUUGAAAUACAGGUCACUGCUGAACAGAACAUGCCUGCUCAGCAAGCGUUCCCCGGCUUUACAGAGCAGGUAGACUAUUCUAAUCAAGGGAUUUUGUGGAUUUAAUAUGUUCUGCAAGUGUGCGGCUUACACAUGCCGCCCGAGUGUUUCAUUUAUCCACUCAGAGGGGGAGUCGCAAACAUGCUGAUGGCUUUUAUAGAUCUAAACUGCCGAACGUCAGAGAGCCUAUAUAAUUUUGAAAAACAUUUAAAGUAGAAUGCUGAAGUGAUGAAAAAAAGGGGGUAAUUAUAUGGAAAAAUGCAGAGACUACGCCUUUCAUCAGGAUCAGGACAUGUGUGGAGUGACCGACUUAGGAGGCAACCUUGAGUACACACAGCAGGACAAGUCCACUUCAGAUAAUGACGAUAACGGCAGUGAAACCCUCCAGGGGGUCACAACAUACAGAUCAUGAUUCUAACCUUUAGUUUUAUAUAAACAAUUUCUUUUGUUUGCACAAUUUACCAGAAAAUCCAGGUGAGCUCCUAUUUAUCUCUUUGGUUAUUAAGUGUUAACAUCACUAGAGGAUCUCUGUUCCAAUUGGCUAUCCUGGCACGAGUUUAAAACCUUCACCUCUCAAAAAGUAAAAAGGCAAAUAAAACAGACGUGGUGCGAAAAUCGUCUCAUUCAUACGUAUACUCAACUCCAUUUGCACCACCUCCUCUGUGUAAUUUGUGUUGCGUGUGUCAUUGUGCGUGACAUUUCCCUGUUGUUGUCCAAUCAGUGAGCUGAUCUCCUUACAGGUCUCCAAUAUCCUCCUAAACCACACCGUGGAUCUUACUGUCAGCAGGAACUUCCUAAAAAUAUCACCUCUCUUUGUUCAUCUUUUAAACCUCAUCUCUGUGAUUAUGUCUGUUGUAUAUCGUGUACAUACUUGCACAUUAUCUCUUUAUUAUGUUACUUAUUUUAUCUAUUAUUUAUCUCCUCUUUCUACUUAAUUUGCACCAGAGUUUCUGUAACGAAAAGAAUUUUACCCCUGAUUCUGAUUCUGUUAAAGCUCCUGUCAGGGACUUUCUAUUUGUGUCGAUUUUGGCGCCCCCUGUGGACAAAUGAUUCCUCCCUUGGCUUUAAGGUCGUUUUCACACCUGACCAAGCGGACUCGGUUCGAUCGUGGAGCUGAAAGUCGCAACAUUGUUUCAUUUAUCACUUGUUUGGGUUCUGCUUUCACACUCUGAUUUCUAAAGCGCACCGAACUUUCCGAGCAGCAUCACGUAGUUGAAAGGGGCGCUCGUCGAUUGGACAAAGUAGGAGGGGUAUGCAACCUCAUGGAUUACAAACAGGGGGGGACUAGCCGUCUUGUAUCGUGCUUCGUCACAUUAUUUCAUGAAAUGCUACAACAUUAGUGAACGCAACUGUUCUUAUAAUGCUAUCGUAGCUUGUCAGGGAUUGAUCCUGCAACUUUGACGAUCGAACAUGUGACGACAUAUGAGCUCAGAGUUUAAGGACUGUGACUGUUGGUAGUUGCCAAAUUGUGAAUUUAUGGGUUAUUGUGGUUCAGACGAUUGAGCUAUGGCAACAAGUGAUGCAGUGCUUCCUCUACCCAAGAUUCACUGCGUAUAGUGUCAUAACGUACAUUUGGUCCUGUGUUUGGUCCGGUGAACUUUCACACUGCAUACAAACCGAACCAGGGUUCACUUGCAAGCGAACCGAGACCCACAUUUUCAGGCGGACCAGAGUUCGCCUGUUUGGUCCGCACCAGAGUUCGGACGAGCUUUCACACCUGCCCAAAUGAAGCGGACUAUCUGAGGAAACGAAAUCUGGUCCGUUUGAAGCGGACCAAACAGCUCUGGUGUCAAAGCGACCUAUUUGUGUCGAUUUUGGCGCCCCCUGUGGACAAAUGAUUCCUUCCUCGUCUUUAAAUCUUACUCCAUACAUUUAUCGGUUCUGUUUAUGUAAAGUUCUAGAAGUUGUUUUGGUUCUUAAAAGCAGCAGGUUCAACAGUUGAUAUGGGAAGCAUGUCUUCAAACUCACUUUAGUCUGUUUGGACUCUUGGUUUACAGAUUGCGUAGCUUCACUGUCCUUGUAUUGUCUGUUUCUUCACCCACUGAUGAUACUAGAACUGUUUUGUCUUUAACAGAAGGAAACACAUCCAUCAUGUCCUGUAAAAGAACAAUUAUAGCCUAAAGAUAUAUGUCAGGAUAGGAUUGGCCCACUUACCUCCUUUAUUGGGGUGUUGUUAAUGCUCCUAAUAUUUUGUCCGUCCUACCUUUACAUGCCUUUCAGUAACUCUGUUGAGCCUUUGUACCUUUUAAUUCUGCAUCUAUAGAGGAAGGCAGGGCAGUUGGUGGAGUUUGGACAGUUGAAAAAGUGCUGGCACACAACAGCGAAAAGUGGCCCUAAUUAAAUAAAUAACUAUAUAAGCGCAUCGCCUAUUCACAGAUGGCUGAAAGGCUGCCAUGCAAGAUGUCCCUUAGGAUAGAAACUUGUCUUCCCUGCCAGGCAGAUAUUUGGCAUUUUACAAACUGUCAGCAAGCCUCAUUUGCUCUCAAGCCAUCCUGCGCUCGCUUGUUUCCGCGGUCACAUAUCUGUGCAGCCCUGGCUGGCUUAAGGUAAGUCGUGCCUUAGCUGGGUGGGAAAAAAUAAGCACAAACAGUACUUUGUGCCAGAGAAUGUACUGAGAGCACAAAUAGCUGUGAUCAGAGCCUCAAAAGACAACAUCAUAGUAGAAAGCAAAGCCAUACUGUAUGUGAGGACUGAACAUGGACUACCUACACACAGCAGAUGGACGACGAUUAUUUCCAGUGAGGUAAAAGUGCAGCUUUUAGUGCUUUCAACAAGAAAAGGAGAAGAAGUUACUUCAUUACUUAGCAUCUUCUGAGCAGAUAACACUCUUCUUUCCUUAGACAGGCGUUUAUUCUGCUGAUUAACUGAACCUUGAAGCCAAAUGUUUCAUAACCGUGUCCAUGGAGACUCGCUUUGGUUCAGUUCAACCAGAUUUAUCCAGUCAGGCUGUCACAGACAACUAAGAAGAUAAUGCGAGCUUAAUGUAGUCCGACAGAUCUGAAUAUUCGACUUCUUCUGAGGCGAUGAAUCGGCAAAAUUGUUAACUUCACGACACUAUUGAUCCUUCUUAGACUCAGAUAUUCAGGGAGACUUUUUAACAUUGUCGUGCACCAAAAACAAAAAAGUUGCUAGCUAGUGUGAUCUAACACGUCCACCGGGUGGGGGAAGGUCCUACCUUCUUCACCACUAAUUGGCUAGAAGUGCUUGGCUCUGAUUGGUCCUUCCUUAUGGCUGUGAAACGUCAUCGUCUGUUGGGUUAGGUCAAGGAGAUUCAGAAUCGUGUUCGUUGUUCGAGGUACAGAGCCGACAGCCUGCGCUCGGCUUGAGCGUGUGAUGACGUUUCACAGCCAUAAGGAAUAACCAAUCAGAGCCCAGCUUUUCUAACCAAUCAGAGGUAAAGGAGGCAGGACCUUCCCCUACCAUCCCACCAAAAAAAAAAAAUCAUGUCCAGUGGAUUGAUUCACUCCAGUUAAGCCCCGCCCUCCAAAAAUUGUUACUCAUAUUCAAAAGGGUCCUAACGUAAAUACAGGGACUCCUGGGGAAAGCCUGGUUUCCCUCUUGCUUCUGAUUGGUCAGAUCUCCUUCUCUAAUGCUAACUGACACCUCAAACAUAGACAUACAUGAUCCUUUUCAAAGCAGCAUUUUUAGCCCGAGUGUAAACAUGAUCUGAGUGGAGAAUGACGGUGAUUUUCUCUUCUUUAACUGAUUACCUGUCUGCAUCUCUGCUCAGCCCGGCUCUAAUAUCCACCGCGCUGUUGUCGUGGACUGAAAGGUGACUGAGGCUGUAUUUUCCAGCUGUCCAAAGAUAUCACCUUGUGUCACCUUAAACCAGCGUGACUGGCUGAUUGAUUCCCCCCCCUGUUGAAUCGAUGCAUUCCUAUUCAUCCGGCCCUGGCAGACGUCGCAGAGCUGUUUUAAGGAACUGUUCACCUCGAAAUUGAAAUUCUGUCAUCACGUAUCCAGGCUCAGGUGAAGUUUGUAAGGGCCACCAAACACGUAGUUACAAGCAGAAUUGACAAAAGCAGAGGUGUGAUCUGAGAGGCCCUCUCUCUUAGAUACAGAGCGGUAUUAAAAACGGCAGGUUACAUGUUGAAAAGGUUAGAGAAAAGGUUAGGAGAAGUUUUAACUGCUCACCAAAAAGGCUUAAAUUUACAGUAAAGAUUUGUAACAAGCCAACAGGAGUUUUUGCAAAAAAAAAAAGGCUAAUAAUUUUUUAUAAUUUUACAUUAACAGAAAAGAUAAAUGUAUAUGAUAAGAUUUACAGACAAGGGAGGAAUCAUUUGUCCACAGGGGGCGCCAAAAUCGACUCAAAUAGAGAGUUCCUGACAGGAGCUUUAACAGAAUCAGAGAGACGAGGUUCAAAAGGUCAAAGGAAAGGGGAUAUUUGUGGUUACUCUGAAAAUGGACCUGUACACACUAGAGCAUGACACAGGAGCAGAUUUUCACUCCUGUCCCGUCCCACUCCCACUCAAAAUUACUCCCACUCAAAAUUACUCCCACUCCUGUCCUGCUCCUUUUUGAAAAAAACCAAACAUGUUGAAAAAACGUUAUAUUUUUUUAUUUUAGGUAAAAGUUGCAGCCGAGUCGGAGCGGCAGUAGAUCCCGGCGACAAUACGUGUGUCGCCGUCAGCCGCGUAGAGUCGCUUUUCACUUCGGGUGGUGACAGGAAGUCAAACCACUGUUGUAGUUCUUUUGUGUUGCUAGCGCAGUCAAGAGUGUUGGCUCUCACUGAGAGAUGACUACAAAAAUGGACGCAUCUGUUCAUCUGGUUGUUUAACACGGCUGAAAAUGAUCAUCCUAUAUUAUCACUGGGUUGUGCUGUAACAACUCUCUUGUUUUGUGUGUUAAUAAAGGGUAAACUCUGCAUGCACGUUGCUGUUUGAACUGCUACUUUGAUCCGCGCAUAUAUGAUGUAUUUGGGCGGCGGCGUUUGCACAAUGCUUAGCCUAAAGAUACUGAUAUGACAUUUAAAGUUCAAGUCUGAAAGCCCAUUGGUUUGUCAGGUUGGAUCAUGUGUCGCUUUAAACUUGAGAUGAAAAGUUUUUGCUUUACGAAGCAGAAGCCGUUCGUCUCUUAAGUCUCUGAUUUAUCCCGCCAACACUCGCUGCUGCUGCUGCAUCCAAAGAUCACUCCUUCGUCUAGCGGUGAGGUCAGGUGUGCUGCACCUUUCCUUUCUGAUUGUGCGAUCAUAUUAUGAAGGUUUUUGUCGGUGGUGAUCAUUUUGUGACAGUUCAGCUGCAAUUCAGAUCCUCUUUUAGGCUCUCUAGAAUAAAAUAAUAAAUAAGGAAACCCUGGCUGCUGCUGCUGCUGCUGCUGCUGCUGCUGGAAGCAUAAAACUGUUCAUUUCCUGUGCACCGGAGGAUUUCUCCUCCUGAAAGACCCAGCAGACAGUGGGUGGUUCGAGCAGUAAAUAAAAGCUUUUUGAAAGCUUUAAUUUACUCGGGCUGCGUGUUGAACUGUCCUUCCUGACAGUACACUGGCCUGAAACAGCCUUGCGCCUGCAAAUGCCUUUCUGCAUGUGUGCAACCAUGUGUACAAUCCACAUCAGUAACACUUUGCCUCAAAAGCCGGUGGCAAAUUUUAAGAUCCUCUCUGCUCCACCAUCUUUCUCUCUUUUUUUGUUUGAGAGGAUUAGGCUCACUGCCCCUUGAUAAAAGCUUAAAGUUAAGUCUUUGACCAUGAAGCUAGCCACGGUCAGAGCUAAAUGAAGCCCUGGUGGCGAUGUUUCAAUUCACUAAUCAAGCCGGUACAGUGAAUUUUAAUGAGCGUACCUCACAUUUUAGGAGCACUUCACCACCUCAGGCCUGUAUUUACUGUGUCAUGAUUGUGAGAAAACGCUACCCUCUUUGUUUGCAUGGAUUAUUGAGCUCUUUCAAUACCAAAAAGAAAAAGGAAAAGCAGCUCAAACUGGCACAGAGAUAUAGAUUGUUUCCAGCUGUGUCUUGAUAAAUAAGUAAUACACUCAAAUUGCCAUAAUAGCUCACUUUCUGCAAAACAAUUCUCUCUCAUUACAGCUAGCAUAAUAUCAUUAAUGAACAUUAUCUACGCCAUGUUAAUAUUCCAACAACCACACUACACUUUCACUUUGAAUUUUAAUCAUCGUUCAGUUUAUUACGACUCAACCUUGGAUUGAAAUAUAGAAACAUUGCCCAGGAACCCUUAACUAACAUGAUUUUUAUUUCAUUAGGUUAUAAAUAUGUGCUUUCUUUAAGUAGUUUUCAGGGCAGCGGUUCAGUCUGGGGUCUUGUAGAGAAAUGAUGUUGCAGUGUAAUGAGAAAAUAAGGAAAAGAAAUCCAACUCCGAGAGAGAGAGAGAGGGAGAGGGAGAGAGAGAGAGAGAGAGAGAGAGAGAGAGAGAGAGAGAGAGAGUGCCAAGGGCAAAGCCUCUGAAGUCUUCUAUGUAUAAACUGUGUUUUAUUUGAGCGUUUACAGAAUACAGACCCAUCCUCAUAUUUAAAUCUCUUUCAUAAACGACAUCUAAGACUUGUGAUUUUAUACACUUACAGCUAAUUCAAGGAGAAUGAACUAAAAACGGUCAGCUUGACCAUAAUCCAGAGCGCCAAAAUAUGACACUGAAGGUGCACCAGGAGAUGUCAAACAAUCAACAAGUGUUUUAAUUUUCUGAGUAAUCAAAGUUCACUUAAGUACGAGAGAAGAUUAGGGCAACAUGGAGAGAAAAAAAUUACAGGAACGAGACUAAAGUCGAAAUUUUGACAUUAAAAAAUAAAAAUUAUGUCAAUAAAGUUGAAAUUUUGAGAUUAAAAUCUUGAAAUUUUGACUGUAUUCAUUCAUGUAAUUUCAAAAUUAUGACCUAAAUCUCUAAAUCUUGAUUUUUUUUUUUCAUUUCGACUUUUUUAACUUUUGACUUUAAUCUCAAAAUUUUUUGCUUAAAUCUCAAAAUCUUGAUUUUUUUGGUGACUUUUUUAAAGUUUGACUUUAUCUCGACAUUUUUACUUAAAUCUCAAAAUCUUGAUUUAUUUUCAAAUCCCCUUUUAAAAUUUAGAUUUUAAUCUCAAAAUGGAAAUUUAAAAAAUCUCCCUCCUGUAAUUAUUAUUUUCUCUUCUUGUGACCCUAAUCCUCUUUCCUACUUCUGGGACUUUUCAGAAACCGAGGAUGUAUUUUUGGUAGUUUAGCGGCGCACGAUCCUGGUACUUAGUGAGGUUGGAUUGUGUCUCUCGAUUAUUCACAUGAAUCAGAGGAGGUGUGUUUUAAUUUGCAUGGCGGGUUUAAACUGCCUUAUACUUUCCUGGUGAAAUCAAAUUUGAAAAAAUAAAUAAAAUAUAAUCUAGUGCACAUGAUGGAGAGCUGAAUGUGACAGCCUCGGUGCAAAAAGUGAUCAUAGCUUUGCGUAUGUUGGGCGCUGGUUUGGCUUAGCUAGCAUAGCAGAUGCCACAUGUAAGAGGCCACGGUUCUGGUCCCCCUGGUGGUAGGAUUGGUUCUGGUUCAGUCCCCCACACUUCCUUACCUCACCUGUUUCAAAUCUGUCCUAUUGAAUAAAAGAAAAGAGCCUCCGUAUAAUGAUUCAAAUAAAUAAAUAAAUAUAUACACCUGAAUAUUGAUCGUGUUACCCUGGAGCUGAACUCAGAUUUACCCAGACUGUCGUAAUUAAAGAAGUGAGAUCAUCACUGAACAACAUUUUCAUCAAGCCGUUAACUUUGAUGUUUUUUAACACAAUCAGCUGAUUUAUUGGAAAGAUUUAACACCGAACAUCUACAGGAUUUGACUUUCAGGGCGAGAGUUAGAGUCAAAAAGUCUUUGUACUGAAUGUUUCAUUGGUUAUGAAUCAGACGGAGAUUAAUAUUGAUUGCUUUUUAAAUCUUUGAAAAGCAAAUGAGAUCAUCAGCCGAAGACCAAUUAUUUCUACAAAGUCAUAUUUAGCGCCUGUGCACCGCCACAGAGGAGAUGUCAGAGCGGAUGAUUUACCGUACGCCGAGGAAACAUUUUAUUCAGCAGUUGUUCUCUCUGAUAGAAAUCCAAGAGAAGAUGUUAAAGGUUUGAAAUGAUCACAACAACAAAAAGUGUCCACAGGGGGCGCCAAAAUCAAUACAAACUGAAAGAUCCACUCAGGAGAAAUUCAGAGAAAAACAUUUCAAACAUUUCAGUCUCCAUCUGUCCAUGAGGGUGUCGGUUUAAACAGCACAAAGGUAGCCUUUUACCGUCUCGAUAACGCAGAUGGAAACCGAGCCUCGACUAAAAACCUGAAGAAGUGAGCGGCGCAGCGCUUUCCUCAUAUUUAUUGAGACAGUGAGAUGAGCUCAAGAGUUCAUAACCCACAAUCCUCUGCUUGUUACACACUCUGAUGCACCGCGACGCCACAACUCAUAAUAAAUAUCAGUGUUCGUGCUGAUUCAGCAAAAGUUUGUAAGCGUGGACAAAGGAGAUACGAGUAUUUGUCCCUCAGACUCCGAACAUCAUUGCUGCUAUAGGGAAGAAACCUUGUAUCUCCAAUGUAAACAAAAAGAGGAUAGAUUAUGGAGAUACAAGGUUUCUGCAGAGGACGUUAGAUCCUGUUCAAUACUGUUAGUGUGUCCUAAGUUUUGUUACUGAGUCAACUGUCCAUGAAGAUACUCAUGCAGAGUUUGAAGAGCACUGUGUCGAAUCUAUAUUAAUCUAUGUCUAUGUCGGUCUUGCAUGCAGGUACAGCUGGCUCUGGUUUUAGUCAGGUUGAAGCUCCAGUGAGGAGUUUUUUUUCAUGUUGAUGAAAUAGACUGAAAUUCAUAUGGAAGUCUUAUUGUGAUAGACAAAAGCAAACAAAACCAUCAAUGACAAGAUCUAUGUUUUUUUAUGUCGUAACUUUUAAAGCCUGAAAUCGAUGCAAGGGAUGUCGGUGUUGGUGUCGGCCCAGUUUCAGCAAAAAAUAUUUAUAACAAAAGAUGCAUUUAACCGUCAAAAACUAGCAGGGUAAGGUAGAAAUAAGCUAAUGAGAUAAGUAAAGACAGGAACUUUAAGCCCAAAACACGCAUCUAAAUAAUCAUGAAGCUUAACCAUCCUCUUUUUGGUGUGCGCCGCCUAACUUGCAAAAUUCAGACUUAUUCGUUGUGCAUUUGCGCCUUUUUUAUCCCGUAUAAUUGAAAAAGAAGAAACAUCUUACGUAAUUUAUGCACAGCUAUAUAUUAAUCUACAUACAUGUGCUGUACCUGUCUUUGUUAUCACGCUGUUCUCAAUAAAAGAAAUCCUAUUUGUGGAAACGGCGUAUUUCAACAGGUUGCCAGAAGAAAGUGCUAAUUAGCGAGCAACUCUGUCAGAAUUGUCAGCACUGAAAUAUUACAAUAAUGUUUAAUGUAAAGACUGAAUUUCAGUCAGCAGACAUGAUGUAUACUUUAGAUAAACGAGGCUUAAUGUUUGCUUCAACUUGAUUACUGUUGAGGAAUAAAUUAGCUCUACAUCUAUCAAGUUUCUCCAUGAUACAUAAAUAUCUCUUUUUUUAAUUGCUGUUGAGCAAUAUUUCAUCACUCUGUCAGAAUAAGUAUUUAUAAUCACUUCUAGAGUGCAAAUAUGAAGAAUAUUCAGUGUUUUCUCUGUCAGGCCUUAUGACUCAUGAAUCACUUAAACAUUAUAGACAAGAAUAAAAAAACAAACGAGUUAAUAAUUUCAUAUACUCUCAGACUGAAACAAUGCUUUAUUAUUCCAUUGUGUCCACAUGUAUUUAUUGAGACUCAUAUUUAGUGUCCUCGCAGGACUCGAGUGGAGAAGCAGCUCGCAGAUUGUCAUCAGGCUGCCGGCCGGGGACACAGGAAAUGAAACAAACAUAAAGAAAGAGGAACAAAAAAGUCUGUAUUUGCAAAAACAAGAUGUGCUACUUCACAAGUUUGAAAAGUUAAAUGCGAUUUGUGUUUGAGGGAAAUACAAACUGUGAAGCAGCUCAAACUGUAGUGGAUGCAAACAUUCAAUUUAUCUUCAGUUCUUCUAAGCGGCAAUUCAGAAAAUAAUGUUUUCUCUUCCUUUCGCCUCCUCGUUGAACUUGUCGAGUGGACCCUGUUAUGAUUAUUUCAGGGUAACGGAUGAUUCAUGAUAAAUAGAGCUUUUUUCUCUUCCUCAGGACAAGGUUAUUUUUUUAAUGUUUGUCAAAGCCCCUCUUUUUUUGCAAAUGUUCUGGGUCUCUACGUGUGGCCUUAAGUUUCCCAUCCAGCCAAAUAAAACAUUAUCCUUUGAAAGCACAUAUAUGACAGACUGGAGGGGAAAUAUGAACCCAUAAAAAUGAUGAUCAUGGGCCAACGGGGACGAGUAAACCCAGAGUAAGAGUCUUAGUGAGGAAAAACUGAAGCUGAUCGAUGGUGGUCACCGUUGGGAACACGCUGACUCACCCACGGAGGAAAUGCUGAGUCAUCUCAGUCAACCGGGCAAAGACACCAAGUUUAGGUGCGCCUUUAAACUUCUUGCUAUCAGAUGAAGUAAACCUGCCUGUUAGUAAAGUUAGCCUCGGGCCUAUUUGUGCAAAACUGAUGACGAGAAAUAGUAACUUUUUAAAUAUGACCCUCUGUUGAAUACAACAAAGAAUAAGAAUAACUUUAUUAAUCUCUGAAGGGAAAUUCGACACGUGUGUGCAGAUGGAGGAAUGAUCUAUUUCAACCAUAAUCGUUUUUUAAACCAAGCUGCGAACAAUUUUAUUCUGCGUUUAAGCCUCAAGUGGACACUCUGGGAACUGCAGUCUUUAGCACGUCUGCAUUGGAUUUACACCGUAACACCGAGUUAGACACCCGCCCGAGAGUUGAAGGUUGCUCACCGCUUGCUUCUGUAGUUAUACCAGCUUUAGUAACGACCGCAUGAUAGCAAUACAGAGCGGUCUAAGGAGCCAUAAACAAACCUCAACCAAAACGCCACUCUAUAACCACAAAUAAUGCUCAGAACAGCACCUAACUUCAUCAACAGGACAUAUAGGGUCACAGCCAUAGUACUAGACACCAAACAUCUUUUUAACUUUGACUCAUUUCUUUAGCAAAUGGACUUAACACAACUCACCUACUCUCUUCCAGCAGCCGCUUGUUCGUAGCGAGACCUCGGGACAGUCUGUCACGGACUGCUGCGGGGUGACGCAGCUCAAGGAAGAACAUUUAUGUCUAACUCGGUGUUACAGUGUGUUUGACCCUAAAUUAAUUUUAACGCCGGAUUAUCCCUUUAACUUCCAAGACCAAAAGCUCUUCCUGGGCUAAAGCACAAUCGUACAGUGGUAUCCAGUCAUUCAAUCUGUUAUGAAAGCCGUGAUACAAACAACAGCCUGGGAGAACUGUUGUAUAAGUCUGUCUGUUUUUUGUUUUUUUUAUUGUCAGAAAUACACAUUCGUAGAGGACUGCAUUUAGACAAAGGCUUGAAAGAUGAGGUCAAAUACCAGACUUGGACUUAUUGCAUGUCUGGGUCUUGUGAGGACAGAACAACAAUCCAUGACCCGAUAGUAUCAUGAAUACUGUAGUUUCUAUAUUUGCUCUGAAUGGACUGUCAGCCGUAAUAAAGAACUUGUUCGGGCCGACUCAGUUUGACAAAUAAAGGCCUAUAGGGACACACCAAGACUUGUGCGGCAGAUUGUGUAACAACACGGCUGAUUCAGUCAGACAUGGACAAACUUUUGCGUCACUGGGCCUGCCAUGCUCUGGAGUUAUGUAGAGGGAAGGGUGAGACUUGUUUUCCAUACUUGGUCUGUAUUGGUACCAUGAAGCUCUUAUGAACUCCAGCAGCCAAGAAAAGUGUCGGACCAUCCUUGAGUGGGCUGCUACAGCGAGCUCACUGUCCUAACAUCACUGCUGCUUAGGGUUGGGCAUCAUUUGAGUUUGAACGAUUCCCAUUACUAACGAUUCUUGAUUUUGAUUCUUUGAAAAGGCAGGUUAAAAAAAUUGCAUGUUUUUUUACUUUUUUGAUGUCAUUUCUGAACUUCUCCAUUAAUUUUUUUGCAGCUAUGGGUUGCAAUGCAAACGCACGCAUUCUUUCUCUUUCUCUCUUGCUCUGUGGCUUCGUCUCAUACGCUUUGUCUUCGUUGGUGUUUGGCGGCUUUUUCCUCGUUGGUGUGCCACGGUUAUUUCUCCCGGUCGGCCGACUCCGGCAUCGAAACUUGGAUUAAAAAAUUUUAACAGUUCCUGGAGAAUCUGAAUGUCAUGGUGCAUUUGAGUUACCGCAGAAAUCAGAAAUCCGAGCUGAAAAUGACGUCACAACUGAGUUCCCAGCGCUUCAGUUACCAAGUCGGGAAAAAGGCAAAAUCAGAAGUGGAAACAAGAUGGCUACAUCUAUGAAAGGGGAUGUUAAAAUAACAUAAAAUAACUAAAAUAACAAGCUCUAAAAUAACUUUGGUAGAUGCAGCCAUCUUGUUUCAGGCCUUUGAUUUUGCUUUUUUCCGUCUUGAUAACUAAGAUGCUGGGAACUCGGUUGUGACGUCAUUUUCAACAUCUGACUUCUGAGGUUACUCGAACAUUAGUCCUGGUUUCCCACUAUGCUUGAGACUCGAUGCCCAACCUUACUGCUUCUUCUUCUUCCUUAUCUUCUCUUAGUUUUGCAGCAGGUGGCCCUUCACAUAAAGAACGACUCUCGCUCCCUACCAUCAAUCAAGAGCUACACUGCAAUUGCAAAUAUUAGACAUCGGAUGUCAGUCACAGGACUUGAAACACGUCAUGCUGAGACCACUUCCUCAUAGUCCAAGAUUAAUUAACGUCUAUUUUAAGAUUAGCCUUCUUAUCGUCUCCCUGAAGGAUGAGAAAAUAAUCAUCUUUAAAUAAACGCCUGUAUGUGGUGUGCCUUAAACCGAAACUAAAAACAAUUUCAGGAUAAAAUCUGCUCCUUCUCGGGGAAGAUUAUUAAUUCUAUUCCAGUGUUUCUGUUGUGUGUGUGUGUGUGUGUGUGUGCACCACCCUCGCUGCUCUCUGUGUCCACCUUCUAUUGUGCAAACCUCUUGUUGGACUCGCUGUAAUGUGCAGCCUUGCUUUUGUACUUGUUGUUAAGGGAACUAUAGAGUCUGAUUGUGCUUCACCCCGUGGUGGCACACACAUUAGUAAACUCCCACAGUGAGUUCCAAUGCCAUUGAUUUUCACCUGUGUGCAAACCUCGGCUUCUAAUAGGCAAUCUCAGCUGCCAUAAGGACAAGAACAUCAUAUUAACAGAAUGAUUUAUGUUCUUCCCACUGCUUUCACAAAGUGUUUUACACUCCGCGUUCCUUUGAAAUAUGUUCCCGCUGUUGUAAAUAUCAAACUCUUCAAAUUCUGAGUGCUGGUUUAACAAUUUGGUUGGUAGUUCAACUCAACAGAAAAACCACUUCUGACAGCCAAAUCCCCCUCAUGAGUUUUGUCUUUGAGCGCGAAAAUAAAGACAAUGACCCAGUUUUUAAGGAGUGUAAAUGCCUCCUCUGAAAGUGAAUCCGAAAUAUAUCUGCUCUGUUAUGGUCGGAGUCUGAAUCUGGAGAUUACAGUUUCAAAAAUUAAGCAUACCAGGAGACAACAAUCGAUAACACACUCUACAUUGUGCACGCCGUGAAUGACAGAAGAAAUAGUCAGCCAAUGCGCUCAAGGGAGAGAGGGAGGCACAUGUGGGGACAUGAGCAUGUUCAUCUCCAUGAAGAAUGAUCCUGUUUGUUGAUUCAAUUCACUCGGGACCUUCUUAACUGUUGGAUUCCAGUUUGUGAUGAGUGGCAAUCCCUCCAUCCACCAAUAUCUGCAUUUCCCAUGAGCUUUAACGGAGAGAAAGAAGAGAUAUACGGCUCAGUUUGACCAACAUAACAAGGAAAAUCUGAUCUUUACAUAGGAGACGUAGGGAUGGUGCAUACAUUUACACAACGCCCCUCUGUGCCAGCGGAUAACAAGGAGAGGGAAAAGUGUGUGAGCUGUGGUGAAGGAGUGUUCAACUCUUCAAUUAAAGAAUAUGGUGAUUGAAGGUGAAUCAGAUGAAUGCUUAAAUUCAUCAAAUCACUCAUUUGCUCUCUAAAAAUGAAAGAUGGCAGAAGUUUCAAGAUUUUAGUUCGAUUUUGUUUAAAAACACACGGACAAGAUUGAUUUGUAGUAACCUCCGUAAGAGAAAUGAGUACCAACGAACAGUACCCUGAACUUUUCGUACAAGACGCAACUUCUCUGGAAAGUUACCCUGAAUUUCUACCGAAUCCGGGCUACAAAAGGCCGUAUCUGCCCAUGGUAGCUGAUCGUAACCAUUCAAGUUAACGUGUCAAUUUCCACCGGCUUCUUUCUGUUCCGCUGUGGAUCGCCGGACUCCUCAGCUGAUCACAAGAGUUCAAUUUUUUUCAGACACCGGAGCAUGGCGGAUAAAUUCAGCACAGAUUAACCCGUGCUGGAAAAGAAGUCGGGCACGGACACAAAAUAAAACAUCCGGCUUCUUUCUCUUUCUUUUCUUUUAGCCUAUAGGGCUAAAGACAACUUGUUUUCGUACAAUUGCACGUGAAUCAGCGGGUUCUCGCGAUUCCUGCUUUCUGUAAUCUGACACGGAAUUCACCUCAGAAACAGAUCCGGUAGGAAUUGGCGUACGGCGAGUUAGGAGGAUGCUGGUAGCAACAGAAGCAGCGAUAUAACUACUAACCAAUCUGGUAGUUUAUUGCGUUCCAGUUGGACCAGAAGCCGGGAUUUCCGUGCUCUGAGUCGUGAAAUCAUCGGAAAGUUAGGCAAUCCUCACCAAACCCCCACUUGACGACAACGUCAUAAUCCAAGAUUGCAGUGCAGUGCGUCAACAGUAACAAUCAACAGGUGAACCUGAAGCCGGUGUUCCAGUCUGAAUGGUUACCCUCUCAACUGGCAGAUAAAUGCAUCUCUUUCAGACGCCUUUGGUUUGUCAUUAAAUACAUAUGUGAUGAUUGUAUCAUGACAUUUAACCAAGAUGAAUUUUCAAGUUUCAACAGCUGUUGUAACCACGACAACGGCUGACACACGGCGUUUGUUUAUCUACACGGUGAGAGAAGGAAGCUGUGAUACAACGAUAUAAAAGCAGCCUAAUAACAGCGAGUAUGUCAUCUGACCUGGAACAAAGCAAAUGAGCCGUAGGUGUGAAAACACCGAGUGUUUGUGUUAUUGUCUGCAUUUACAAAGAGGCCCAAAUAUAUACUACAAGGUGAGACAAUGAGAAGCAGCUGGUCGCCCAGCAGAGAUGUAAGUCACCAUAAGUCCAUCUGACAUAAACGCCGGGCCUCUCUCAGGACGCUCUCACACCUGUGACUUGUUGCUUUGUCCGGUUUCGGAUCAUAAAAUGAUUCAUUGUUUUAGCCUCAGUGCUUUGGCAUAUAUCUUUAUGAAAACAAAAAGACCUAACUAACCCAGGAAACUAGCUUUAAGAACCUGAUCGACCAAUAGGAUGAGACGCAGGGUGACUCAGAGUAGGACGGAGGUGAAACACCUCAUCGACAUUUGGACACGUGAGCAUAUAAGGAUUUUUAUAGACAACUCUCUCAAAAAUAAACUGGGUUAGAGGAGGAAAGGGUCGCUCAAAAGCUAAAAACUGUGACAGCAGUUUGUUGAAGAUUCAAGACCAGUCUGGUGAAGGUGGACCAAACUCUCCUGAUUCAAUGUUCUGCAUAAAGAAAAGCACACCGAUAUCUUUAAAUGAAAACGUUUUUUCCGUGCGUUAAUGUCUCGUCUCGGUGUCAAACAUUUCUUAUUUGGAUGGCCACUUGAUUUGAGAUAUUUGAGCUUUUCCUGCACAUUUCUGAAAGUUGUUGGUUAUUUACUUUUGAAUUUACCUGUCAGGUCUGUUUUAUCCCGGCUCUUGGUAUAAAAAAUCAAGGAUAUGUCAAAGCAGACUAAUCAAAACCAAAUAUAACCGUUCAGCUGCGGACAUUUAAAUAGUGGCUAAAAGGAAAUGACACAAAACUUUAAUUGGCUCCACGUCGUAUUUUGAAUGACCAGGACAAUAACUAAGUAGUUGAAGAAACUUAUUUAUUUCAUGGUAAUUAAUGAAAACAGAGAAGCACCUCAGUAAUUUCACAGAAAAGAAAGACAUCUGACCCGAAAAUCAACAGCUCGCUCUCUCUAAUAGCUCAAACUCAACAAGAUGCCGUACAAACAGCGAUAAGUCAAACCCCGUCAGGAACUUUCCCUGCGGGUCUCACCUUUUCCUGUGAUGGAUGUAGCAGCUGAGUUAUGAUCUGUCAGAGCCCAGAAAUUUUGAUUUUUCCUCAGCUGCAUCAGGUCGCGCCCUUCUGUCAGCGUCUAUGUGAAAUAUUGAUGGCAAUUAUCUGCUCUUGCUGGUGGCCACACGGAGAUCUCGGCCGUCUGGGUGACGGGGGGUGACAACUUGUUACAUCACACGCCGCAGCACAUAUUAAAGUGUUAAUAGGCCCGCGGUGACUCCUCGUUUCCUGCUCUGAUGCUUUGAACUUCAACCCUCAGAGACUCACUUGUCAAUUAAAACAGCGUGGGUUGAAGCGUUUUGUUUUUUCUUCCUUUUUCUCUGGAUGAAGUCUGAGAUUCUGUGGGCGGCAGCAUUUAUUUUCUUUGUGUAUUCAGACUCAACAAACACACCCUCUUAGGCUAAAUAUACUUAAUGUGCCUUUUCUAAUCAUAAACAGAGGGAAUUCUGGGGGUUUAACAGCUGUGUGAUUGGAUCAGAAAUACAGGAUGUCCUGUUGAAGCUGAAGGAACAUAUUUCCUGUAGAUUUCUCAUUUUAAACAACUAUUUUUGUAAAUUGUGGAGUGAAAAUUUAAUUGAGUGUAUGAGUGAAAUAUUGACUUAACAGAAAAAUCUAAUUAUUCGACUUUUACCUUUAAAAUAAUUUAUUGUGAAUAUUUAAUGCAGAAACUCUUACUUCAGCUGCUUGGCUGUUCCCUACCUUUAAGUUCUAGGCUUUAAAAAAUCACAUCCUUAAAAUCAUCAGUCUUGUUUGCUUUUGUAUAUUAGUUUAUGUUAUGAAUGUCAAAAACACUCUUCACUAGACCUAUUUCAGAAAACGUAGCAUAAAAAUACAGUUAUAAAUUACAAGAACUUAAUUAAUCCCCAAAGAGAAAUUAGUUUUUCUUAAUUUAAUCUUCUAUUUAAGGAAGAAUUAAACGGUCUGAUGGCUGCAGGUUUUUUUUUAACAGAAAGUUGAGUUUGUAUCCUCGUAGGGCUACAACUAAUGACUAUUUGAAUAGUUGACUAGUUGCGACUAUGUAAACGAUUAGUCAACUAAUCGGAUAAUAAUGGAUUUUUUUCUUAAAUUUAACAUAAGGUUGCUUUAACCUUGCAUGUUGGCAUUAAUUUUUUUGCCUUAUCUCGGCUAAAGUGCUCCCAAACUUUGGAGGUUUUUAAGCGUGUACUCUACCUGAAUACCCUACCGCUCGGUGGAGACACUAUUGCGCAUUUGUGACCCUGGGCAGAGAUCGUAAUGAAGUGAGAUGCUUCACUCCACUGGAAAAAACAAGUCUGGCAACAAUAGCCAACAAUGGAAUUCAUUGUCGACUUCUUGCAUUAUCGAUUUUUGUCGACAGCUUCGAUUAAUUGUUGCAGCCCUAUAUCCUAGCGAUUGUUUCAUGGAGAACAUCACAUGGAACUUCAGCCGUUGCCUCAUGAGAGUCAAAGCAGGUAGAUCCACACUGGAGAGGCCAGACUUCGUUGAGCUCAGGUUCCAUAAUAUUGUCUUGUUUGGAUUUAUAUCUUAUCAUAAUGCAUUCCAUUAUGUCGUAUCAUAAACUAUAAUUGCUAAUUAACCUUUUAUAGGCUUUUAUUUUGUAACGCACUAUAUAGUAUUCAAACUCCCAAAUUGUGUUAUUGCAUGUUGUGGUAUCAUGUCAUAUCAUUUGUUAUUGCAUGUUGUGGUAUCAUGUCAUAUCAUUUAGUUAUUUUCCCUGUAUGUGUAAACCGCCUGUGAAAAAAAUAUAAUCUAGACUUCCUCGUUUGCCCCAACAUAAUAAUCCUAUCAAUCAAAGUCUGAGAUUGAUGGAUCGGCCUUGAGAAACGGUUACGGAAACGGUUUCUUUCUUCUGUCUGGGAGAAGGAAAUAUGUUGUGUGGAUACGAAGAAUCCGUUCUCGUGUUGCCGUACAAUGAACAGAGAUAUCCACAGAUACAGCUUUUAUUUAGAGGGAAGGUCAAAUGCUAAGAAUAGGCACACCAACGCUGCUUCCCUUGUCUGUCCUGCCUCAUCCUGUGCCUUUAACCAAUGACCAUGAGAGCAAACCACACACACACGCACACACACUCACACACACACGCAGAGGCUGGAGGUCAAAACAAAGUAGUAACGCCAGAGGAAAAGAUUAGAAUGACAAAGGAGAAUGGCACUGAGUCGGCAGAGCUGUGGGGAGGAGGACAGCAGAGAUGGAGAUGCUGAAUAAUAGCUCUCUUGUGGGUAAAAUAUAACCUCUGCUGAAACAGGGGAAAGCAGUAGGAGAGGAGGAAGGAGGAGGAGGAGGAGGAGGAGGAGGUAACCACAACAUUUACAAGUCAGAAAAAAACACAUUUAUCUUUAAUCAACAUUUGAUUUCCUCUUGGAGACACGCCACUUUUUAAACGCCGCUCCUUAAUCACAUUUCCCGUCAACGUUAUUCUAUAUUCAUGCAAUCAUAAUACUCACUGUCGCUGUUUUAUGUAAACAUUUUAAGAUAAAUAAUAAUUAGGAGCCGUGCUAACAUAGAUGAAUACCCGGCAGCCUGCCUCUUCAUAAGCGAGCUCCUACAUUCAUGCCAGCAAUUAUUUUGUCAGAGCGAGAGUCACGCAUUUAUUUAAGAGGGAUUCAUCAUUUUGGAUUGAAUAUGCAGGUUUAACACUCCAGGCUGAGAGGAUCCAGCACCUUUCAUCAUCAUAAGCCCCAUAUUGCACCUUGUACUUAGGGAACACAAAUGAAUUGGUGCCCACACAAAAAGCGGGACUAUUUUUACGACUAGCUGGGGAUCUUGUAACAUUUACAGCGAGGCAAAAGUAAACGCGAGGGCCCCGCGUGCAUUGAAGCCCCUUUUUUAUAUUCAAUUAAUGGACAACCUCCACCCAUUGCUGACGACAGGUUAAAAGAAGGUCAGGCCUCUAUUUUAUGCAUGUCCAAUAUGAGUAAUAAGGUUAUUAAUCCUCUCACGUGACCCACCCCGAGUAAUGAGUGUUCGGUUGCUCUGCUUUCAAAUGAGAGGAGGAGUGUUGUGCUGUGAACCGCAAGUCCGCCGCUGCCGGCAGAGAGGAGAAGUCAAAGAGAGAGAGAGAAAGAGAGAAAGAGAGAGAGAGAGCGAAGAUAAGACGAGGAGGACAGAAUCCUGCAGUUGGAGAGAUGAAGCCAGAGACCGACAGGGAGUGGUCGGAGAGUAGAGCUUUGUUUAUUAUUCAUAAGUUAAAAGUGAUAUAUAUUUAUCAUAUAUGUGAAAGACUGCCGUUUUGCUGACAUGGUUAGACACCCCCUUGAGAGAUGAAUGUUGCCGACUUGUUUGUAGACGAGCCCUGAUGAGUCGAUCACAGAGUGCUGCGGAGUUCUGCAGCUCAAGGAAGAACAUUUAUGAUUGUUAGUUCAUGGAAAUGAUCUUUUGCACUCGGUGAUCGACUCGUCAGGGAUCCCCACAAACAAGCAGCUGCUGGAAGAGAGUGGAUGAGUUGUGUUUAGUCUCUUUGCUAAAGAAAUGAAUCAAAGCUAAAUAGAUGUUUGGUGUCUAGUACUAUGUCUGUGACCCUAUAUGUCCUGUUGAUGAAGUUAGGUGCUGUUCUGAGCAUUAUUCAUCUCUGGAGGGGGUGUCUAACUCUGUGUUAUGGUGUGUUUGACCUUAACCUAAAUGUGGGAAUAUCCCUUUAAGUAGCAUCCCGGUCAUUACCUUGCCCUGUUUGCUGCUGCCCAUUUACUAUCAUUAUGCACAAUAUCACAUGCUGGUCUAUUCUGAUUGGUUGCAGGUCUCUGCAUUUGCUUCCUGAAAGUUUCUAACACUUAAAAUGAAUUUAACAUUUUUAGACUCGUUCACUCGGGUCGUUGGGUCUGGUGAUGGCAGAGUAGUGAAGUAGUAAGAGGUUCUGGAAAGAUGAUUCAAAGAUGGAGAUUCUUGCAUUAAUUACUCGGGACAGUAAGGCACAGUUUGGGGUGUUACUUUUUACACAGCUCUGUGGGAAUAACCCAAAAGUUAUAACUUUACAGACAAGGACUGGGGCUGGUCUCCUUGUUAUAGCUCAGUGUUUACUACUUUUAAGUUACCCAGUGUUAUAAUGUUACUCACAGAUAGAACAGGCCCAGGUUUCAGUAACAGCUGAGACCCAAAUCCAGCUUGUACUGACCUCUGUUCUCAAAGGUGUCAUCAGUGACGUGGCGAACACAAGCAGCUUCAUUACAGCUGUUGUUGUCCCAAACUAAUUAACGCCCCCACCCUGCUGUCUUCUUCCACCUCUGUCUUUAAGAAUAGAACUUUCUUCCUAUAUUAUCUUCACAUAUUUAAAUAUUGAUCUCGUCUCCUUCUCAUAAACUGAUCAGAUUGCACGGUUUAUUUUUGGUUUAAUGUAAAUGUUGAAACUUUCUUUGAAGCACUUUGAGUCCCUGUUGGCUUCAAGGUUGUGCCGAAGGACGACGGAGUGGAAAUUUUUCCGUCAACUGUUGUUCACAAGGUCGGGAAUAAACUGUCAAACUUCAUCAUGCUUAUGAUUCGCUUUUUGGAGAAUUCCCAAUACUGGCAAUGUUAGGGCUCUACCGCAAGGUUAAAGUGUGACUUGAUAGGAUGUUGUCAUGGUAACAGGUGGUUGAAAUGACUCGGAAGUGUCUGGGGGUCUUCUUUGGGUAUCAUCAACAUUGCAUUUAUUAACCAUUUGCAUUAUAUUCAGUAUAUAACUUAGCAUGGAGAGUUCAUUAGCACUACUAGUUUAGUCUGAGACCAAAGACAGAAGGGGGGUGCAGCUCGCCCUUUAACGCCUGAAACCACAAAUUAUGACCAGAAAAUUCAAAACUUUUUGGAUCCAAAAUGUUUAUUUCACCUCCUACUAAAAAAAAAAAAUUAAAUCAAAAAAUCAAAAAAUCAAACUGUACUUACCCACCAAACAUCGGGCGUCGAAGAGACGUGCAGAUUAUGUCAGUAUUGGGUCGGUCCAUCAGAGACCACAUCUAGAUGUCACUGCGAUGUGCAAAAUAGGUUAGAAAUUUCAACAUCUAUGUUGUGUUUAGAACUUGGACGUCAUCUGAAGACCAAAUCUAGAUGUCGGUGUGACGUGCAGAAAGGAUCUAAGAUUUAGACGUCAUUAUUGGACCUCUGUUAGACGUUGAAAUGACGUCCACAUUUGUACCUCAUUGUUUAAAAAAUAUGUUAAAUAGAUGUCAUUUUGACGUCGCAAUGCACAGUGGGUAAAAUUUGACAAAUACAUAUAUUGAUCUGGUUUGAUACAUUAGAUGUUUUUGGAAACUGAUAAACCACAAGAGGACUUUUUUUUAUCAUUUAUUGGACUGUAUUCAGUUGUUUUAUUUAGUAAUUUAUUGAUCAUAUUGAUUUGAUAAAAGUAUCAUAAAAGUAUGUAUCAAUGGUUAAGGUUUUCAGAUCAUGAGCAGUUGUAUAGUCAAAGUCCAACUAAAAUCCUUAUUAUCACCAAAUUUAAGUGAAUUAUCUAUUAAUGAGGAAGAAUUGAAUGUGAAAAGUGAUAUUUCUUGACUUUAACUGUGACCCUUGAGUAUUUUUCUCCCCUCUUCUGUCCCCCUGUGAGAACUUGGUCACCUGGGAUCAUGCUGUUCCUGCACCACACCUCCUAAAUCCUCCCCCUCCGGUGUUGACAUAUCUGUCAGAGCCAAAGCAACAUGAUUACCCGAUGACCUAACACAUGACCUCCCAUAAUUGCCUGUAUUAGCCACCCGGGCAAAGGCUCUUGACACGGCCAUGUGGACAUCAUUGAGGGGGGGUGGGUUCACUACAAGCUCUGACCAGUGGGCGAAUUAAUAAUAUUUUAAUCAAGCGUCAAAAGUGUGACAUUAUGCAUGCACAGUGGGAGCCCAUCCCCUAUCAUGGCUGAGCAGCAUGUCAGCUCCUCCCUCAGAGGAGCUCCGCGGUGGGAACGGGAGCGGCUGCCUGUCAGGAUACAACAACAAGGUCAACUGCCGUUUAGCGGCACGGCGUUCCUCGAAUGCCAGUAAAGCAGAUCCCUCUGCCCGGGCCGCUGACCUUGUCUUGUUUAAUGAAAUGUAGUGACCAUGCGUAACUUUGCAGCCUGUUAAACAGCCUGUGGGCUCGCCUGCAUGGGAGCAAUACUGACUGUGAUUCCUGCCCACCGGUCUGUGAUACUGAACUGUAUCAUGGCGAGACCUGUGCAUGAGUAAUGUCCCUGAAUUACAGCGCCGGCUGAUUGGCAAGUUUUGAAAUGUGGUGUUGAUAAUAGAUGUUGAAAUAUUACCUAAAUGUGAGCGAUGCUUGCGGCGGCGAGAAGGGGCAAUUUCCAUUCUUCUGCAGCGCUAACCGACUUAAUCAGAUAUGCUGACGGUGUUAAAGGCCACCAAAACAUUGCUGCUUGGCUUGCAUAAUAACACAGAUAAGGGCCUGAUAAUAACAUAAUAACACACUGAAAUCUCCCGUCCCGCUGCCCUCUUACUCGUCUUACUCACUCACGUCGCAUCGACUCUUUUAACACCUCGCCGCACUUAAAACUGAACCGCCGCUGAAAACGAGUCGACUUUGGCUCUGAAGAGAAGGAGAGAAAAUGAGAGUGAUGACAGUCAGGUGAUUCAGGAGCCAUUUUAGACAAAAGAGCAAAUUAAUGCGCUGCUAUAGAGUGACUUUGAGUCUGUUCACUUCUUAAACCUGUGAUUUACAUCCAUUUUUAGUUUCAUCCUUUUUCUUAUUUUACUGUAAAAGCCAGAAUCACUCUGUGGUUUUAUAUUAAGCAGCUUUUAAAUGAGGUUUUUCCACGAUUUAUAAAUGGUUCUCACAGGAAUGGUCACAUAUUUUUUUAUUGUUUAAGGAGCUCACCCUGUUGAACCACAACUUGACCUUUUACGAGCGUAAAAUAUGUUGAAUUACGACCGAGGAGGUGUCUGUGCAGAUUUUUUUUUUUUACAUUUCUCACUCAGAUUUAAUCUUAAUCUGUCUUUUCAAACCUCCCAAUACUGACAUUUUACCUCAGCAGCCAGUACGAGGUGCCUUGUCCCUGGAGUUUGUCUACCUUCUGAAGGACGCUGUAAAGCUCCUAGAACUCUCUGGAAAUUCAGACGUCCUCGCUCGCUUACCUGCAGGUCCUGUCAGUAUGAUUACCUAAGGAUGACAUAGAAUAGAUCCCCCUCUAUAGAAGCUGCCGUGUUUCUACAGGAGCACAGAAAGGACAAAGUAGUAUUUUUUUAGUGGCAUUGUCAAAUACACUAAUUGAGGUUGUUGUGUGCAAAAGAGAGUCUGUUUUAUCAUGCAUUAUGGAAGCUUUUUGUCCUUAAAGGCCACCGUUGUGAGGGGUAAGCAGGGGAGCCUAGAUAUCCAAACAAAGUCCCAUUUAGCAACAUUUUGCAGCACAAAAUUGAAAGUAAUGGGACAUAAAAAUCUAAAGGAUGUUAACUUAAGCGUAUAAAAACGUACUUUUCUUGACUUAAAAUGGGCUUUUUAUGUCUUCAUAAGAUAUAGAUCCCCUUUUAUAUGAGUUGUUAUGUUUCUACAGGGGCACAGAAGGGACAAACUAGUAACAAAUCCAUUGUGUGGCAUUGCCAAAUACACUAAUUGAGGUUGUAUUGUGCAAAAGAGAGACGCUUGAGGCCCAAACUUAUCAUGCAUCUUGGGAGAUUUUUGUCCUUAAAGGCCACCAUUGUGAGGGGUGAGCAGGGGAGCCUAGAUAUUGGAACCAUAGACUGUUUAUACUAUGGACAACUUGGUUCCGCCUCCCGUCUGUAUACAGAUAUAAAGCCGAAAAGCUCUCGGUAAUUACUCAUUUUUUCUACACUUCCUGUGCAGUAGCAUUGUGCGCAUACGGUGGGAGAUUUGCUGAGAGUUGCUGUGAUGACGCUCGGCUCAAACUAUGCAAUGUUCAUACGCCAAUAGGCUGCAUCAAGUGUCAAUCAUAUAAAACAUGAACCCCAAAUAACUUUUAAAAACUGAGCUGCACAGAAAAAAGAGGACUUGAGCACAAACCAGUCUGACAGUAACUACAUGUCAACAUCGUAACCAGGGGGGAGAAACAUUUGUAUUCUGUGUAAUAAAUCCACAUAGGGCUCCAUAGGGAUUGCUGGAGGAGGCGGAUUUAUGACCUAUACUGCAGCCUGUCACCAGAGGGUGCUGUUCUCAGAGUGGCUUCAGGUCUAUGAUUGGAGCAUAGUCCAGUUUUUACACACGGUGCCUUUAACUCAUCUGGGUAAUAAUGAUCCUCGAUAAUAUCUGAUUAAUAAAUAUGAUUUGCUUCUUCUUACAGCAUGAUGCACUUUCAGAUUGUAUCAGUGUCAAAAUACUGUUUUACAGCAGUCUUCAUUUUCACGGUAUUACCACAUAAAUUAUAUUCCCGCUUGACCUUUGCUCAGUAAAAUGAGAUAAAUUUGCUUCUUUUUUCGAACCUCUCCGCUCCAUCUUUGCAUAAAACUUUGAAACAACUUAACUGAUCUUCUCAAGUUUGCUCCAUUUUAGUGUUUUUGAUCAUUAGAUGUGCGCUAUCUGAAUUUCUUAAUGGUGUUAGAGCUCAAAUGCACCCUGCGACGCAUCAAAACAAGCUGCCUUAAAUUCUUCUUCGAGAGAGACGGAGUCUGCGCUCACAGGGGGGCUAAUAUUCCCCGGGGUGAUCAGGUGUUUUGUAACAACACUGAGAGUUGAUAGAAAAUAAUCCCAUGAGGAGCUGCCAUGCUUGUAAUUUGUAAAUCCAGCAUGUUUGGUGUCGAGGACAGAUGUCUGCUGAUUAUUUUAAUCCCAUGCAAAUCAAGUCCUCCAUCAUCUGCUCCGUCUUUUUUGUUGUCCUUUUUCUUCUCGGUGCAUCUUAAUGCAUCUCAGCUGUAGGCAGGGGAGGGCUCUGUAUGAUAUUCUGUUUAAUACCGGCUUUUACUCUGUUGAGUCAGGAUGAGGCAAUAGUCCUGAGGCGAUUUCAUAACAUUUUUCUCUAUAGAUGUUUGUGUCAAAGAAAACUAGAAAACACUCUCUUAUAGCUGGACGAUAAUGCUGCAUUAUUGUACAUGAAUGUGAUAAACACGACACACAAGAAGCUGCUGAGUGACUGGUUGUAGAGACGCAGCGGUGCGAUGGUUUUACCACCCUCUAAUUGCAUGUUUUUUGAAAUUGCUAACCUCCACAUGAUGAAAGGUAGACAGCAGUCUUUGAUGCUCUCUUAUCUUUUUUUUUUUUAAAGCUGGUUUUUCUACUUGAAGUUGGAGGUUGGAGGGAAAAGUCGCAGACAUCACUCAGCGUUUCAGAUUCUUCUCUGAAAUGCCCCAACCUGCCUUUAUCUGAUGCUAAUGAGCCGCGCUAAUGAAAUAUGAUAAAAUCACCUCCCACUGAAUACCAGGCCGCUUAGCCGUUACCUAGCUUAAAUGUCAACAGUAAACAAAGCGCAAACAGACCUUUAUUUGCUGUUUCACUGAUAAGGGGACGCUCAAUCUGCCUUUGACACGUGACGUCCAAACUUAUGCGUCUUUGUGUAGGUUUCUUUUUUAAUCGCGUGUCGGUAUCAGUGCCGUUCCCGGUCAGAAAGAUGUCCCUCUGUUGGAAAUAAGCAGGGCAUGGUGUUCCCUGCCACUUUCACUCAGCCUCGUCUCCUCCUCCCCGCAAUGAUUUCAGACACCUGAGAGAGACAUUCACAAUUCAAGCAUCCUCCGGCAAAACCUUGAGGCUCGCUCUGAUGUAGCCUUUGUUGACAAUGAUGGAUGCAGCAGUCAAGGAGACUGACAUGCUGGGCUAAAUUACAUUACAUUCAAACUAUUUUUUAGUCCUUUUCAAGGCUAAUGUUGCAAUGAGAUGAGGCACAUGUCGUGGGAAUAGUCGCAUCUCGGAGACGGGAGGCGACAGCAGCUCCAGGAGAGGCACGCCGCAGUUUGUCAUUCAGCUCCGGGAAACUGAUUUAUUUGAUAAUUGACUGUUAAUAUUGUUGCUCCAGUUUCUGAUGGAGUUGAGGCCUGGAGCUGCUGAUAGCUGACAUUUUGUAUUCAAUCCCUCUGUGUCGUUGCCAAGAUGACAGAAAAUAUCCACUGACUCGCUCUGAUUUCCAGCUUUGCCUCCAAAGGUCAGACUUGUUCCGUUGUACAGUACAUGUAAUGCAUCUCUAUAUUGGAACAAUCCAGGGGUCAUAUUCAUCGGGUUCAUUUGGUGCAGUCACCAUCUUCUUUAAGCCAAGAAAAACAGCAUGAUUUAGUGAUGAUUUAAAAGGGUGGAUUAUAGCGAAGGCCAAAAGAGGCCGAAGCCCAGGGGUGUCUGACCUGAAGGUGAAACCUCAGGGGGAAAAAAACACCCCAGGAUAGACGGCGAGGAUGUUAAUGACGCAAAUAUGUCGAUUUACUAAAAUAAGUGAACUGCAGACUUGGUGGAAAUGGAUCGUAAAAUCCAUAAGUAUGUUGACAUCAGUGUAAAACAACAAUUAGUCUGUUUUCGUCAACUUAGAUUGAACCGUUAAAGCGAGGUCCUGCAUCGCCAUGUUAGUUCAGAAUAGACAAACCAAUAACAUGUUUAUUUUGUAUUUAAUGAGUCGCAGAGUGAGAAGUACUGCCUGAAAGAGAAAGAGGACGAGGUUGUGGGUGAAAGAAUUCCUACUGCCCUGCAAAAACUCGUCAUGGUAAAUGUUUUUGCAGAUUUCAAAGUCUAUUUUUCUCCUGACAAGUCCAGAAAAAAGCCAAUGCAUAAGAAAAAUGAUGCAUUCUGUUUUCUCAUAUCAUGGAUUAUCAUACUUAUCCUGCACCACAGGAGCUGUUUGUCCUUCACCAUAAACAGGGGUUACCAAGGGAUCAUAUCGAUCGAGAAGCUUAACGCCUCAUACUGCUGGAUGUUCCCAUUUUUUAAAGUUUUAUCCUAUUUUUCUUUUGAAGCAAUAUUAAAAAAUGUCCUUGAGGUUGUUAAAAUGUCCAACCCAAGAUAAUGUUUUGCCACAGUGUCAACAGGUAGAGUGAAACUUGGCUGUUUGGGGAAUUUUGUCCAAUCAUAAUCAAGUAUCAGGAUUGUGAACAGGCAGAGGGGAAACAUGUCAGACCCUCCAGCAACUUGUUAUCCUUGGAGAAUCUUGGUUGUCCCAGGGUGACUAUAUGUCCUCUUUUACCCAGACAUGUCCUCUUUUUUCGGGGCUUUUCGGCCUUGUCCAGGAGAGUUUAUAAAGUCCCCCAAAUGUCUGGGGUUUUGUAUGGAAGUUUUGAGAUUGUGUACCGUGGAUUAACUGAGUAAGAAACGUGUAAAAAACCCUCGACCUGACCCGAAAAACCGUCAAAAUUUACUAUGCGACUCUGCCCCACGUAGUGUCCUCUUCAGAGGGAUUCAGAGUUUGGUCACUCUAGUUGUCCUUUUGUGUCAUCGACCAAAACAAUCGACAAACACAUUAGCAAGAGGCUAUAAGCUUUGCAUCUUUCGUAUGUUUCAACAGCUGCGUGUUUUUUUAUUUAGGUUUUAUGCCUGCCUGCCUUCUUGAAUGCAUUUAUGCUGUGUGGUCAGAUUGAUAACCAAUUCCCGACAUGUCAGCCAAUAAUAAGAAAUGUUUGAUAAAGUGAGUUUCUGUCGGACCAGUUUGGUUCUUGGUAUUUCAAAAGUCUAGUUUCAGUCUAACUGAUCUAGUUUUUGAACAUCAUGUAAAUGUGCGGUGGAUUUGAACCCCGACAGAGUGGGCAGAACCAGCUGGAGCUCCACCUUUCUUUUCUCACCGUUGUCGUCCUCCCUUAAAGCUUAUUUGGGUCAUACCAUCUGCAGAUUCAUGAAUUCCACCGGCUUUGGUCUUAUACCGGUUCCUCCUUGAACUGGUUCCUCGGCCCACUCUAAGACAGCGGGGCAGAUUGACGCCACUCCUUUGAAAUCUCAGUCACUGAGCGUCAAGACACCAGGAAUAUAAAUCCACGGUUCGCCAUCUGUCACCACGUUGACUAAUAUCUGGGUCCUGAAUCUGGCCUUGAUUUUUACCCAAACUGAAGGGAGGAAGAACAUAGAGAGAUCAGAGCUGGCUGAUGUUAUCCCUCUGCUACAAGCGUGGCCAAUCUCAACAUAUCUGAUGGGUUGCUGCCUGAACUUUUAUUUAGAUGCUUCAAGUCAAAGAAAACAGAGUUCAACUAACCAGGAAGGAGGAGAUUCAAGUCAAGUCUUUUUACGUAAAGACAAGUCGAAUUAAUGCUCGAGUAGAGAGUGAUUCAAAGUCCAGAUUCCCUCUAAUACAUGAUGUUUGUUUCACUCGAAUCAAACAAAUGUAUUCAUAUGAAAUCAAUAAGCUCCAGGCAUAGGCUUGUUUUCCAGGAGAGUGUGUUCCUGAGAGACCGGAGGAUAUUAUUAGAUUCCCCAUUCCUAUAUUUGGCGAUGUAUAUGCAUUAAUGAUUCAAAUGAAUGUGUUCUGACUGGGGUGCUUCAUGACUAAUGCCAUUAAAGCGUAUUAAUUACCAUGAGAGACAUGGAGAACACUUUGCAGAUGGGCGCUCUUUCUGUUAAAUGCUAAAUGGAUGGUUUUCAGUUGUUCCACCAGCCACUGACCAUAUGGACGUUUUCAUGAAUAUCUGAAUGUUAAUAUUAAUUGCUGUAAUUUUACUCGUCUGACAUUGAAGCCUCAUCUUCAGGCUUUUAUCGAGAGAGAGUAUUUUCCAUCUUUGCUAUCCGGUUAAACUUCCACUCUUGUCUGACGUAACAUCGUGCCAGAACAAUAAUCCACGUGGCGGUUUCCUCCAAACUUGGCUGUGGUGGUGGCGCCUUUUUCCUUCAUCUUCCAAGUUGUGUAGAUAGAGGCUUCUGCAAAAUGCCGUCGGGAGGAUCUUGACAAACACAAAUAAUAUUCACUACCCUCUGUUGCAGACUGUCCCUUCCAAUCUGAAAACGGGUCCAUUCAAAAAAAAUUUUAGGGAUUAUUUGGAAAGAUGCAAGCGCCACAUGACUAAAAAAAUGAUUGAUUUCAUAUUCAUCUAAAUUAGGUACAUCAAAAACAGUGGGAUCAUCUUCUAUCCAAGGUCAACAUACUUGGAUGUCAGGGUUUGUUUACCAACAAACCUUUUGAGACAUCGUUCACAACUGCAGCAACAGGGGGAUAAAAGUUGGAGAGACACAGUGAUCAUCUGCAAAAGUCACAAACAGCUAAUUGGUGGAAAGAGUCGUUAGUUAUUCAAAAGUAAGGGGUUAUGACUGUCACAGAGGAUGAUCGAUAUCUGAGGGUGACAGAGACCUGCAAACAGUCAGAAAAUCUUACCGUAGUCCUUAUAACGGCUGCAGCAUCAACAGGAGAGUGAGUACAAGUCUGUCUUUGGAAACCAGAUCAAAUGUCUUGGAUUUCUUCGAUAUGUAGCAAUUUGAAUUUAUAAGAAAUGUCACCGUCAUUCUCUUCUGCUUAUCCGGGUCCGGGUUGUGGGGGCAGAAGCUUCAGGAGGGAAGCCCAAACGGCCCUCACCCCAGCCACUUCCACCAGCUCCUCCAGUGCCCCCAGGCCAGGGGAGAGAUAUAAUCCCUCCACCUGGUCCUGGGCCGGCCAUCAGGUCUCCUCCCGGUGGGACAUGUCUGGAACACCUCUAACGGGAGACGUCCAGAAGGCAUCCUAACCAGAUGCCCGAGCCACCUCAGCUGACUCCUCUCGACGUGUAGGAGCAGCGGACACCUUGCAAAGGAAACCCAUUUUGGCCGCUUGUAUCUGCGAUCUUGUUCUUUCAGUCAUUACUUAAAGUUCAUGACUAUAGAAAUGUCCGAAAUAUAUUAUUUGGUGCCCCGUGUGAGGCAUUUAUGAUUAUUUAGAUGGUCAGUGGUGGAGUCAGUUUGAAAGGUAAUAAAAACUCUGUCUCUGUUCUCCAAAUUGACCAAUCGUGAAAGGCCAGAGGUUUAGGUCAAUCUCCGGUCGGUAAACAAGUCUGUAAAGAUUUAUAUGAUCCUGUGUCCUGGGACCAGAUCAGGGAUCUUUCCUGUGAGGAAUGUGUGAGUUUCACACAUAGGGUUGUCUUGAUGCUACAGAUAACUGAACUUUUUUUUGGUCAUCUGAUCCAAAACACAGCGUCUGAUUGGACUAAGAUGGCAGCCUCCAUUUAGGAUAGUCAGCGAACAACAGAAAUGACACUCUCACUAAAGUUUAACAGCACGGUCUCACGAAGCGAGUGGAUUUUAAUGUCAGUUUCUAUUUCGACUGUUCUUUUCGAGCUCAUAAAUGACAGUGUGAGGGGAGUUCUCUGCUAAACUGUGAAUAUUUGAUGAUCCCAUUUCUUUCAGGUGUAUUUUAGACAGAAAACAACAUUAUACUCAGACUUUUGGUUCAUUUAUUUUGUCAGACCUGAGAGUGAAAUCUGUUGAAAAAGAAGACCUUGAAGAAGUUUAGACUGAAGUUGCACAAAAAUGCAUUAGCAAUCAUUUUUCUUAAGUUUCAGUUUAAUAAUUUCCAAUUUUCAGAGCGUCUCUGAGCUCAAUAACACAUCUCAAUGAAAUCAUUUAAAACUAAAUAAUAAAAAUGAAUUUUCUCUUCUAAUCAAACUCAAUACUGACAAGAGAACAUUCGCUCAGAAGGGCAACAACAGCAUGAGAAAUUACUUUUAUUUUAUUGAACGUUUGUUGCUCAACUUUUUAAAAUACUUUCUGCUCAUUUUAUUUAACAUAUUAAAUAAAUUUAGAACAAAAUGAAGAGGGUUUAAUUUAUCCUGGUUGACUGAAUAAGUUGAUAUAUUCAAGAUGAACUAUCCUUACAGCCUGCAGACCAAACUUUACUUUCACACUGACGUCUUUAUCGUGCUGCUUUAUUGGAUUACUCUAAUUUUAUUCAACCAUCCUUGUGUCAUUGAUUUCAGUUCCUAUAGUUGUUUGACUUUAAACUGCAGCCCUAUAAUUUAAUUUACUCUCAUCUCGCGGCCCGGUUUGCUCACAGUAAGUGUGUCUCAUAGAAUCUUCUACCUGUAAGGAGCAUGAGGCGCAUAGUGGUGGUUCUGCACCCUAAAUGCACUUGAUGGAUGGUGAUUGAGUAAGAAAGUGUUUAAAAAGUCCUACAUAUGUUUACUUUUUCUGCCAGCUGUCUGUUUCAUAAACAUGAUGAAAUGCAAAUUGAGGAAGUCACAAAUAAUCAACUGCAGCGGGGAGACAUCAGAGAGUUAUAUAAGGAAGGUGCUCUUGCCUCCAUAUGUUUCAGGAGCUUAAAAUGAGAGCAGAAUUUGUGUCCAGCUGCUUGCUUUGGUUACUUCCAAGAUGCAUGAUGAGAUCGCACUUACAGAGAGAGAGAGAGAGAGAGAGAGAGAGAGUGGGGGUCUUUAUUUCACUGCUGCGGAUACACAUUAGAAAGCAGAGGAAAGCCGGGCGCUGACAGUUUUAUGGCAUCAUGUGAAGGUUCCCUGCAGACCGAGGCAAAGGAAAGUUUAUUCUCCCUUUGAAAUCAACGUCCUUCUAAAACUGAGAUUUUCAGCCUGUGUACCGUGGCACACUAGGGUGCCGUGAGAGAUCGUCAGGUGUGCCGUGGGAAAUUCUCCAAUUUGCAAAUACAAUGUCAUUGUCGAGCGUCUGUGUGGUAAUAUAGUGAGCGUUGGAGCAGUACUCUUCUAUGUCAAUGGGGGGCAGCAGACGGCUAAUUGCCUGGAAAAAAACUAAAAACAGAGAGAGGCGGGAAGUUGUUGAGGAAGAGCUUAGUGUGUUUCUUUCUUCCAUUCCUGCCAGGAUAUCAGCUCUGUGUUCAUCUAAACGGCCAGGACUCACACUGAGUGAGUAUGAAUACAUUUAGAAACUAUAUUUUAGGGAUGCACCGAAAAGGCCCAAAAGUGCAUUUUCGUUUUUCGGUCGAAACACUUUUCUCGCCGAAACAAAUGUUGUGAUGAUGCAGGCAAAAACCGUGACCAUUACGAGCUUGUCUGGAUAAGAGCCAAGAUGUCUGUGAUGUGGACGUACUUCUAUGUAUCUGAGAACUACGAAUAGCGAUUAGCAUAGCGUGUAAUCCUAAAGUUUCAAAGAGGGGUGCAUCUGCAGAGUUUCUUUGCAUCGCGUUUAAUUUAUCAUCUGAUAUCCAAACAUCCCGAUCACCGUUCUGAAUAUGAGAUGAACGCGGCACGAAACAGGAAAAACAUUCUGACGCUACUUCUUCUUCUAGCCGCGUCUCUACCGUUUGAGUUGUUUUUGUCACUGACUCACUGGCGCCAUCUAAAGAUGUAAACCACUCAGACAUGCAGCAACAUGCUGACUCAAAAACUCUAAAAUCACACUGCAAUUGCAUAAAUUAAUAUCAAUUUAAUAUUUAACAUAAAUCAAUAUUGAUUUAUACAAUUACAACGCUUUGAGUUUAGUGAGAUUGGUAGACAGUUAUAACCAUAAAUGUAACGGUACUAAUAAUUGGCGUAAUCAUUUCUUUCAGGUUUCGGCCGUGGUUUCCUCAUUUUCAGUUUUAGCCAAGAAUUUUCAUUUCAGUGCAUCCCUGCAUUCUAUAACAUAUACUGUGUUAGGCUACAGAGUUUCAUUUUGGUUGGUGGUGUGCCCCAGGAUUUUGUAAAAAAUGUGCCGUUUAAAAAAAGGUUGAAAAACUUUGCUCUAAAACGUACGUGAUGUUUGUCUGGAAACAACUGAGACGCUUCUGAGCUCAAACCAGAGAGAAAGAAAACAUGUUACCCAGCUGUUUGUCAUACAUGAUAAAAACCCACACUGGUAUGGUAAUGUGUCAUAUGUGAUAAUGACUUUGCUGCAUGUGUGAGUGUGUGCGUUUGUCUGCGAAGAUGCACAAGCAUUUAGAGCGUCUUGCACACUCUCAUUUGCACACAGCUGGGGUGUUGUGGAGUAUUAUGUUGCAUGUGAUGUGGCUAUUUACGCAAACAAAUCCACACAUAUUACCCCUGCAAGGAGCAGAGCUUUUAAUUAUUAAAGAGGGAACAUUGAUUUCAUGAAUUGGCAAACAAAGGCGAGGCGUUAAAAGUAGCAGCGGUGUUAGGUUCCUGUGCUUGUCGAGGGCAGGAACUGACUGUAUAAAUAGUCAUAACACUACACCUGCGAGGUGUAGCUUUCCAGUAAGCUUUGUUAUCAGUUGGAGAGGUAUUAAAGGUAAUUAAAUGCCUCUCAAAAGCUCCCAAUGUUGCGCUGUUGAAAUGUAAACUCCUUUUUCUGGGCUUAUUUUGGGAGAAAUCGAUGCAGCAGUUCUUGUUUCUUGAGAUACUGUGAGAUUGCUCGCUAUCAGAAAGCUAUCAGAGCAAUUUUAGAUCCAGGAGUAAAAUUGAGCUCUUGGAGCCGUGUGCCUGUGUCAGACCUGAUUUAAAGUAACCCUGCCCACACAUUCAGAGCUGCCUUUUCAUACAAACACAUCAGAAUCUGCUGUAGGAGUUAUAAUUCUUUAAUAAGCCCUGCUGUUUUUAAGCACUUAAUGCAUAGAUAAAGCCUCGAGUGUCUCUAUGGAGAGUCCUCCCACUGAACAAAUGGUGCAAAAAGUACCAGCAGAAAAAAAAGUGCAUGAAUAAAUACCCGCCAACAUGUCAGCGCACGCUUAAGCCCUAAAAACUCCAGCUCUUGUAGGUUUAGAGAGACAUUAGCGAGCAUACUAUGACAGGCUCAGGAAUUACAUGAGUGAUUACAGAGACUUUAUUUAGUCAAAUUUCACACAUGUGAGUAUUUCUGAAGUGUCGUCUCAAAGUAGCCUCGGGGACCAGAUGGUGAACACCAUUUUAAGUUUGUGGAGAAAAGGAAAAUAAGCUCGCAGCGGUCCUGGUUUGCUGUAAUUUAAUUUGGAGUGUCGCGCGAAUCGCCUUUAGUUCCGUAGUCGAGCUGGUUAAUGGAAACAGGGGGACGUUUUUGGACACUGUUUGUUUCAAAUCAAAUGUAUGAAAUUAAAAUAAAAGUGCCAUGGCGUUUGUUUUUGAGGAUGAAGCUUCUGCAAUUAUUGGUAAAUACGACAUCGAGCCGAGUGUGAAAUCCACAUCAGUGGGAUGGAUCAGGGAAAAUGAAAGUCAGAGUCUCCUUUUCUGCAGGUUUAAUGUUUCAGUGGGUGAGUCUGGACCGCAGUCAGGCCAGUUUGGCACGGGGACUCUUCUACUUCAGAGCCAUGAUGUUGUCAUACAUGUGGUUAUGAGGGUUUCCCCAGUAGAGGGCGCUCUCUUAUUAGCAGCAUAUGUUUCUCCAAACCUGUAGAUUGUUUAGCAUGAAUGGAGCCUUCCAGACGUGAAGGAUGUGAUGUGCAUGACUUCCAGUAGGGGUGUCCCGAUAAAACUUUUUUUACCUCCAAUACUAUACCGAUAUUGUCGCCUUCAGUAUCGUCCAAUACCGAUAUUAAUCCGAUUUUACCGACAUCACUCCUGCUCUUUGCUACUUUGUUGGUACCUUAGUACACACUGUUGUUGUGAUCACAUGGGCUCUACAUACUGGAUCCGGGUACUGCUGGAUAGAGGUGCCAGAGUGGGGUCUGGAAUGGACUGCUUGUAUCGGAGAGCUGAUAUCGAUGAGUUUAGGUACAGGAUAUUUGUUUUUUGUUGAUAUCGGACCAAUAUCACUAACGUAUCGGGACACCACUAAUCUCAUGUUGAUAUGAUUUUGACCUGGAUUUGUGAAUUGGCCGGACGAUCGAUCUGCACCGAUUUCCUCAAAUUCGGGGGUGAUCAGCUGAUCCUUACAUAUGAAACCAAUUUUUUCCACCAAUCUUAUUUACCUCAGCAAAGGUCUGAAAGUCAGCUGUUUUAGCUUUUGGCUUUGCCAGAAUAACAGGCCAGCCCACCAGGUCGUGUGCCAAGAUCAGUGAUCGGCUAGAAAAUUGUGAUCGGUGCACCCCAAGUCAUAAUCCAAGAUGGCAGCACAGUGCAUCAACAGUACAGAGUAACAGUGAAAGCUCUUGUAAUGUUUUACUUAUUAGCACUUCUGUUUUGUUUUAGUGAAAUUAACUAAGUGUUUUUUGUCGUACUGCCCAACGUCUAACUCUGAACACGGUGCUAUGGUGUUUGUUGGAGUAAAAUACUGUGUUAUGCAUUGUUUACGACAGGUAUAGCUAACAACUGCUAACAACACGUAAAAGUAGACGUCCAUCUUGGUUUUCCGACUUGUUUACUGGAACGCCGUCAACUCAGGUGUGAUGUCAUUCCCAGCUCCGACAUCCAACUUCCGAGGUAACUGGAUCGCAGCAUUAGUCCAGCGCCAGGAGGAGAUCAUGGUCAUCCAGUUAAUAAUUAUCAGUAUUUCCAUUAUUUUGUUCACAUGCGUCUGCAGAAAAUGUCACUUCACAAUGAUAAACUGAUCCUCCUCCCAUCUUUACGGCUGAGGGACCUGGCCUUAGUUGUGAGAUGUUCCUCGAGGUCUUUCCUUUUAGCAUCACACAAAUCUGACAGUGCACAUUUGCUCUUUAUUUGUUACCUUUAAACUUUUAUUUCAAAGUCGAUUCUCGAUGUUUUAGCUGGCAGAUAAUAUUCAGCUGUCUUUUUUUGUCAAGAUUUAGAGACUUUAGCUCAGUGGGACCUUUUUUGUUGCUACUAAAAGUCGUCAAUAACAGCUUUUCUACUUUGUCACAUAAACUCACGAACAGGCCCACAUUGGCGUACAACCAUAUGGGUUAUAUGACUUAUGGUGCCGCUAUUUUCGUCAAUGAGGAAAUUCUCAUCUUGGUUUUACAAUUCCCUAAAGUAAUGUUGUAAAAUGAGAAGUUUCUUAAGUGAUUAAACUCACACAGCAGUCUCCAGAUGUCACAUAUCCUACAGCCUCAUAACUGUUUCCUGCAGGGUCGUCUAUGACACUCGGGUGUAUAAACACCUAAUGAGUUAACGCAGGUGAGAGGAUGUUGGCGUUCGAGACAUAAGCUCAGAUAAAUCCAAGGACGACUUUGCAAUCAAGCGCCGAGAGGCAAUUUACCAUAUGUACGCUGCGUGAAUGAUAGCGCUUGAUCCCCAUAUGUAAUAUCACAGGUAUGUCAGAUUUCGACUGUUACGCACCUGAGAAAUUGGAUCCAUGGCAGUUGGAUUUGACAUUAACAGAUGGCGGCGUUAUUUAAUACUCGACUUCUUUUUUCUAUUUACAUGCAAAGACAAAGGAAAGUCACUUUGGUUGUCAAAUGGAGCCACUUUGAAUUUCAAAAGGAUGCAUGAGGACAUCUGCAAUUACUCUAAUGUCCGCGUUUAAGGAAUUGUGAAUUCUACCUGUCCAUAAACUCAACCGGAUUAAUCUUGUCUGACAUGCAGCAGGAGGUAUUUUUGCACCAUUUUCCACCUGCCCAUGUGAUGGCCUGCUGACUCAAAGCCUUCCCCCGCGACACCAUUCAUCAUCCGCGGGUGUGAAGGUUAAGGACCUGCUUACCUGACCACCACGUUUCAUUGAUUGCACUGUGACGCGGUGAGACCGUGUGAGAAUGCAUGUCACUCCCCGGCCUCACACCGCUGGUUGGGUCGGCGUUGUGUGAAAACAUUUACAGUCUGAGGGGCCAGCUGGAGCCUGGCUUUACAGUGCUGGCUUCAUUUCCUCCUUAUUUUGAAUAGAACAGGAGGACUUGUUGUCGCUUUGCAAAAGAGAGAGACAGAGAGAGCGAGAUUCUCAGACUGCGAGCAAAUGCAAUUUGUUUUGUGGAAUGUGAUAUUUAUGGAUGACUAUCCACAUUGUGUUUUACAAGUGACCAGAUUGGGUUUGCGUGUUCCAACAGUAUAUUUUGCUGUCGUUGUCACAAUAACAAUGCAAAUGUGCAGAUACAUUAAGAGUUUGACAGUCUGCUCUGCCUGCAAAAUAACAGCAACAACAGAGCGGUGCUAUAGCUGCUGUUUUGGAGGUUUUUAUGAUUCUAUUUCCUGGUUUUGAAAGUGAGGAAAAACUCAUAAUAAUCAUAUUGACUGUCCGUAAGUGUCCUUUCAUUUUGUUCUCCUGACAUCAAAUAAACUCAGCUGACAGUUUAACAGGUACGCAUUAAGGCUUUAAUGGGAAAGUGCUGUUAGACGUCAUCUCAGAUGCACCAAUCUGACGAGUCCACAAAAGUGUCUUAACCAAUAAAACACUGCCUAUCAGACACAAAACAUGGGAAAUGAACCAACUCCCUUCAGCUCAAUUAUGACGAACCAGGUCCAAAUCAUUCAAUAAAACCCCCCAAACCUCUCUCAUGCCAACCUCCAACAUCAAGUAAAUAAAAAUAAACAUACAGAAAUAGAAUAUAUUAUUUUUUAUGAAACAAGACCUUUAUCUGGGUUUGUCCGGUCCUGGUGGUUUAGAUUAAGUCUUAUUUGACUUUUUUUUCUACCUGAAGAGAAGAUAAAACAUCUACGUAGUUUUAAUUUUUGCUGUGCAGAUGUAGAAAUAUGUCACAAAUCCAUUCGACCUCCCAAAUCAGCUCGUAAUCAUUUCACAAAGAGGAAAACAGGCAUGAGUCGGUUUUCCUUCUUGUUUAGACUCUGCACCCCAAACUCCAGCUCACGCUUCUGGAGAAGAGUGCCUGCUAGCGCUUGACCUGCCUCUAACCUUCGCUGCUAGAGGCUGUAACUUCAGCGUUAGCCAAAACUCUGCUACGAUUCCCUGUUUGGUUCCACCCCGCUUAAGCCUCAUAACCCCCAACCCCCUUGGCAGAAAGCUCUUGUACAAAUUGGAGGUGCAAACACAGACUCUCUUCGGGACUGAGACCUUCCAGUGUGCGAAGAGUAAACUAACAGGCCUGCAGGCUGAGAGGCUCACUGAGCGAGUCUUCACAAACAGACCAGCAGAGGCUCCUUUUGCAAACUUAUCUCCAACCGUGUCUCCAUGAAAUAUGAUCCAAUUAAACCACAUGAGCAAAAGUCCUGACACCACAUGACCUCUGCGGAGACUUUGAGGUCAUCAAGUGUGAAUAAAGAUCACGAGAGCUCUGCUGAAGUUGGGCUCAGUGUUGUUUGAUCUCAGGUAGUGUUGGGCGGUAUGAGUAAAAUCUUAUAUCAUGAGUAAUUUCAUAUCACAGUAACAGUUUAUAUCACGGUGUGUUUUACCCACUUUAAAUUCAAUUAAUGUCUUGAAAAUAAUCAAACUGUCAAAUUUGUUCAUUUUACUUUUAUUUUUAACCUUGGAUUUGUUUCUAUCAUAUGGCGUACCUUUGGCGAAAGACUCUGCCGAGCUCUUUUAUAUGAGAGGAGCUGCUGCAGUUUUAGUUUUCGGCGCAGGUGCGUCGCGUCAUUUGGCGCUCAUAAUAGAGCUUGGCGUGUUUCAUCUUUAGGUGGUGGAGGAGGUUCCUGGUGUUUCCUCCUUCUGUAACGACAGCUACACCACACUCUUUGAAUAGUUUUGUUUUUUGAUCUUUGACAGAUUUUCUAAAUCUGAAGAAUCUCCAGAAAACUGAUGUUGCGACCCGCGCCUUUUUUCGGGCUGCCUCCAUUUGCUCGGUACCGCCACUAAUCUCUGUGUCUACCAUGAAGCUGUUUCUUCUUUGUCUAAACUUUGCUAAGCAGUCUGCUGGACAUGCUGCUGGUAAUACAGAGCGCACCCAAACCUGACCAAUCAAACGGUGCAACAAACUUCACACAACACGCUGGUGAACAUACGGAAACGCACCCAAAUGAAUGCACUCCGGCUUUCCUGUUAGCGAGCGCAGACAACUACACACUGACUCAGAGAGAUGCAACAGACAUCCUCUCUCUCUCUCCGGUAUAAACGAUAGAGCAAAAUUUCUACCAGUGGACACUUUUAUACCGUCAUACCACCCAACACUUGUCUCAGGUGGUCUUAAAACACGAUCAGGACUUGUUCAGGGGCAGUCUUUUCCUUUUUCCAGUCUCACUGAUGUAUCUGCAGAGUCUUCGCCUUGGUGUUGCUAAAACAACUCUUUAACAUUUCCAAAACAUUCCUGUAAACACACUCCUCAAUCAUCCGCUCAUGUGUACCAAAAAUCCUCUGAGUCAAGUCGAGUUAAGUGCUUUUAAUGUUGUCAGCAAUCAUUGGCACCCUUCAGUAAAACUGGAGCAAACGGAGUUUGUGAUGAUUUCCAGAACAAACACUCAGAGUUUGAGUCUUUGUCGAAAUCUUUCAGAGGGUUAUUUUUAAAGUUAUCCUUUCUAGUGUGGUUGACUUCUUCAGUUGUUUGAAAUAUUCUCUAAUUAUAUUCUCAUUUAAAUCGAUGAAAGGACGACAAAAAAAGUGUCUUGAAUUUUAAUGCUGCAUUGAGCUCCCGGACUUGUUUUAUUCAUGAACUCCAUUUCCUCUGUCUCAACAUCUGGAUGAAGAAUCUUUCUUCACGAAGCAACAACAUCAGAGCCACCUGUCUUAACAUACGAAGGAGUGUCAGUCAUCCCUCGGAGCUGAGCAUGACUGAUGAAUUAAGUGUCAUAUACCGGGAGAUGAAACAAGGGAGAAUCUCAAAUAUUAGUUAAAGUGCGGCAUACUUCACAUUGGAUCCUUAGGGUCGCUUAGCAACAACCAGAGCCAUCAGCAGCAGCACUUCCCGCAUAUAACCUAUCAGCACCGCCGUCUAAAAAGUGGCACCCCGUGAACACAGCUGUUCCAGGAGUGGCUAGUAUAGGUCAAGGCCAUAUUUAGCAGUGCAAUUAAUAUGGAUCCUCUAAACUGUGUGAAAAUGAAAGGGUGAGGGAGAGGAGAGAGUGGGAGGGGGGAGAGCAGACGGAUGGUUUUCAUGGUUUGCCGUGUGCUCUGUAUUAUCCUCUUCAUCAUCAUGCUUUUCAUUCAGCGCCACAUUACCAUGGCACACACCCUACAGGCUGUCUGAUUUCUCAAAGGGCCUUUGCAUAUUGAAUCAAAUCAAGUGAAACAGAGCCAGCACCAACCUAAUGGGAAAUGUUGCUCCUCCCGACAGGCAGAAAGACGCCGUCAUCACUUUUUUAGCACACCGCCGCCGUCUUUCCGUGUGACCACAGAAUUCAUUCAAUCACUCGUCUCCAAAUUGACUAAACAUGCGGACAAAUGUUCCCGCUGAUUUGAAUAUAAAAGCAGGAAAAUUGAUUAUGAAAUGGUAUUCAUAGCAGCCUUUUUAUAACCCGGGUAUUAGAGUUAUCAGUAUCCUUCAGAUUCUUUGUGAUCUUCGUUAGAUGUUGCUGCAAAUACUGAGAGGGAGGAGUGGAUAUGAAGGCCAAACUGGGACAAGAGCAGCUUUGUUCUACUUUCUCCAACUAUUGUUAUCUAACUAUGGGGUCAUUGGAAUAACAAACCGUCGGCUGCCAACUCUUGUUUUUAUUACCUCUUGAUUGUGAUCUCCUACAUUUCCCAGAAUAACUUGAUUAAUAACAGCCCCUUGUGAUUUUUUUUCCCCAGUAGAGCACCACCAUAGAAAUAGAAGGCAGAGCACACCGGCCAAACCAAGCAGCAUCCUCUAUUGUUCAAAUAUGAGGUUAUUCCAGAACUGCAGUUCCUCAAGUGUCCUCUAGGGGACUGUCUGAAAGCUCAGGAGGCCUCAUUAACACCAGUGUUACAAGUGCCUAAUCAAAGAUGUUUGGACUAUUUCUCUGUUUUGGUCAUUUGAAGGUAAAUAAUGAUGUCUCUUCACUCUCUGGCUGAACUUGGUUCAUUAAACUGGUGUUCCUCAGGGUUACGUCCUCGGUCCCCUUCUGUUUAUCCUCUAUCUACUUCCUUUUAGCUAUAUGCUCCAUAAAUUUAACAUCUAAUUCCAUUGAUGACAACCAGAGCUAAAUGUCCAUCAAAUCUACCUACUUUCAGUCACGGCCACCGUGAGUUAGCCCAAAAAAAGACGUUGAAAACUGGGCUUUAUCUAGACGUUGUUUAGACGUAUGGUGAUGACAUCUCUUUAAUGUCUUUUUAACCACUUUUUGCCGAGAUGGUUAACCUUAUCAACUAAAACCAAGCUUCACCUCACUGGCGCAAAAUCUACUUCAACAAACUCACUUUUUCCCUCUCUGUUUAUGACUCCUUAGUUUCUCUCUUCCCCUAAGUUAAGAGUCAAGGUGUCAACAUGUCGGGUACCUCUCUCGGUCCCUCACUCCUAAAAGUACCACCCUUCCUCUCCUCUGUGAACUACCUCAAGGACUUUAGGUCUUCCGCCUAAAAGGUUAAGGGUUAAGGUCAUUACACAUCGGCGAAUUAUCAAAGUGACCCAAAAAAGCGAUGCAAAAAUGUAAAAUGUUCGUCUUACGCCUUUUCCUAUACACACCUGGUGCGAAAAUUAGCGUACCGUGUUUUUGGCACUAUAAGGCGCACCAUCAAUGAACGCGUGUACUCAUGUCUAUUUUCAUACAUAAGGUGCACCAGAUUAAGGGGCGCAUUAAGCCAAACAAAACAGUCAGAUAAGUCAAACUUCAAAUUUUUCGCUUCGCCAAUUGACCCCGGUGUGUAACGACCUUUAGGGUCAGAAUUAGGAGGUUAGGGUUCAAAUCUGAGGAAAUGGUGGUCAGGGGAUCGGUCAAAGACAGGAGCCUCAUGUGGUUUACUUCUUUGCCUCCUAAAAACAACAAUGUAAAAUAACAAUCAGAGCACAGAUGGAUUUGAGUGUCUGAGGAAAAAGAAAAUCACUCAGACCUCUUUGACUGACACGCAUUCAGCUCUUGUCAGAGAACGAGUUUUGUUGUUUUCAGGCGUUGUGUGGAGGAUUUUGACACAAUGACAAGAGAACAUAAUUGACGUGAAGAUUGAAUCUCAUUCACUCAAUAUGUUCCAGCUCCUCUGAUAUGCAUAUUCGUAUUAUACAGAGAAUGUAUGGAUUACCACAGUCUUGUCGCAAAGCCCAGUUUUUAGGACAUGAAUACAAAUCAGUGCGAUAUGAAAUAAGCAGUUUCUGUUUAUUCUGAUAUUUUCUCUUCACAGUCAAUACUCAUGUUGCUUUCCAAACAGAAAAAAAGACAAGCACGCAGAAGCUGUGACCAUAAUUGUUCGGCUGAAAUCAAAUUAAUCAAGCAAUUAAUCAAGUAACUGAAUCAUUUUGUGGGUAGAGUAAUAACAUUAAAUCGACACAGCGAGAAAGAUGGUAAUUUUGUAGUAAACAGCGCUACAAAAUCAAUGUGAGGGAGGCGUUUAAUGUGGGUAAGACUGCUCAAAUUAUUAGUAUCUCAUUUAGUAAUACCAGAUCAAUAUUUGAAAUUAAAGAAUAAACAGAUAAUCUUCAAUACAUAAAACGCCAGUUAGAAAAAUAAAAGUUGAGAGAAAACACUGUUUGAUCCUGAGACUGUUAAAGACAGACUGAAUAUUGACCACGGCGUACAACAAGAAGAGGUCUACGUUUAUCUUCAGGAGGACGGGGAUGUUUAGAUACCACUCCAGGGAGUUACAUACCAUAAUAAUACAGCUGAAAAUGUUCCAUAACAGUAAAUACGCUGUCAUUACCGAGGGCCAUUAGCAUCGCAGUGAUCACUCCAGAAUAAACAAGCAAACAUGUCGUGACGCGGGGCAAUUAUACGUUAUAAUAAUGUGACUUCCUCCUGUAACUCAGAACACACCGUCCUGAAACGACAUCCGAACACACUCCAACUUCAGUCACGCAGAUAUCAACUAAUCAUGGUCUACCAGGGCGCUGAACCUUCAUUUUUAUUCCUGGUAUUUAGUUUUGACUCUUUCACAGUCAAUGUGUUUACAUGCACAGUUGAAUCGGACUAAGCUCAUAAUUUGAUUUUUCUACUGAAUCAGACUUCUCUUCUUGUCCGCGUAUACACGCAGCUGAGAAAAUCGAAUUAGUGAUGCGAACGUGUCCUCCUCCCCAAAGCUAGGGGGCGAUAUGGGUCUGUUUCUGGACCUUUUUUAAAGACAUAUCCGUUCCUCGUUUUGCGAUCAUCCAUAUAUUUUAAAAUGCCAAUUUCUGUCAGGUCAGAAAGCAUAAUGGCGCUCUCCUUGUUGUUUUAAAAGUGGACAUUCUUUCGUGCUUCAGCCAUGAUGCAGUUACUUCUGAGUCAAAAGUUCUUAAAAUGAUAGCGCCACUUCUUCUCUGGUGUUUUUGUUCCAGGGUUACGAAGGCGUGGUGCACAUGCAUUGUCCGAUCAUACUCCGACUACGCUGGUUACAUGGUAGAGAAAAUCGAAUUCCAAUCGCAUUUCGGAGUUCUCUGAAAACUCCUCAAACUCCGAUUAUAGUCAGACGAAGGUGUUAACAUGCACUUCAGUUGUCCAGUCUUCGGCAAUAAUUCAGUUUUCUCGAGUUUCAUGUAAACGUACUGACUAUUUCAAGUUUUUAAAGCGUCUAUUCUCACUGACAAACCAGAGUCGAACAUAUUUCAUGUAAAAUACUUUAAAUGUCUGUCAGCUGCUGUUCUAUUGGGGAGUAUUUCGAUGAUUCUUCAUGCAUGCUCGAGUUUCUUUCUCCGUGACUCACCUGCAACUUCUUUUUCACUCACUGAAAUUAAACAUACAGUAUGUUUGCAUGUGGGGGAGUCAGUGCAGCUUUCAUUUUGUAUGAAAAGGUUAAAUCCCGUAUGACCUUUCCUGUGUUUGAGCUACUAUAGCGGUAAAAGUUUGGUCUUUUUGGAGGUUUCUCUCUCCCUCUCUGUUUGAAGUGACUGCUGUCUCUUUCUAAAUUCAAAUUCUGCAGAGAGAGAAUUAAAAGUUCGCUCUCCUUGUGUCCUCUCUUUAACUCUUUGGCUGUAGUUUAUACCCCUCCCCCCCUCCGUCCUGCUCCCUGCUGUGUUCUUAAACGUGGGCAUCUGUGUCUCUGCAGCAGGCCGGGUGGAUCGGCUCUGGCCGCCGCGGUGGCGGUCACGGCAAAGCUGCGUGCUCCAUGUCAAUAAGACCUCAGCUCGGUUUCGAGGCCCCGGGCGGUCAGAGCGCGAGCCUCAUCAGACCACACUGGGGCCAGAGAAAACCUCAGCAGCUCAUGCAAAUGUGGCCUGGUUUGGAUUCCCUCUGCAGGCAUGUGGUUUCAGAAGAUUCUCAAUUCUCAGAGCAUCAGGGUGGUCCUGCAGAAAGAGAUUAUUUCACACUGUAAGAAGAUUUACAGGGUUGUUGUUUCUCGACAAUAAUCAGAAACACACAGUCUUCUUUCUUGUUUUUACCUUACAGACCUGUUCAUGGUGCACACACGGCUCAGAAAGGAGCAAAUCGAUGCAGAGCUACUCAGCGACUCCUAUUACCCUAACAGGAGAAUGAUGAUGGGGAUCAUCUACUGUGCCACACAACCCCGGUGAGGGUCGCGCUCGCAGGCCACUCCGGUCACUCAUUUUCUCAUUUUUCACUCAGCAUCUCAUGGGCUCCAAAUUGCUAUGGAAGCUGAGUAAUCCUACCUCUCCAGUGUGAGGCAGACCGCUGUGGCCUGAGCCGAUAUGCAAACAGAAGCUGUUUCUCUUGUUUGGCUGGUUUGAGUUUGUUGUGCAUAAAAAGAGUGUUUGGAAACAAAACGGCCACAAAUCCAUGAAAAAUAUGACUGUUUCGAAGUGUAAGCUAACUCUUAGGAUCUGAGGAAGUUCCAGUUUUUAGGAGAAAUCUUGAAUGCAAACUCGACCCCUCCCAACCAGUUUUCCCCUCAGCUCCUCCCUCUCUGCUCCAGCAAGCCCCGCCCACAAACAGACGCUCCUGCUCGCUCAUAUCGUUUCAAUAAAUUCAGAUAUAAUGCAGAUAAAUACUUCAGAUCAUUACUUCUGUUAGAGACACUUAGCUUACUUUGUUAAAGUGGUUUACCUGUCCAACAGAAAGGCUGUAGGGUCCGUAAGAUCCUGAAGCGUCUCCUAACGUUUUAUGUUGACCCGACAUUUUAGCUCUUGUCCGGUCUACCUCCAUCUUUAGCGCCCGUUAUCCCGCCAGAGUCUCCUUCUCUCUCUAAGUCGUCCUCAGACGAGCCUUCCAUCGUUGUUUCCAGUCAUCCCGAUUCUCCAUACAUCUCUCCAGUUCGUUGGUACUCUGAGCUCCUGCGUCCUUCUUGAGUAAGUCCACGUAUGUUAGUGUAGGACGUCCUCUUGACCGAUACCCAUGUGUUGGUUCCCACAGCACCAAUUUGCUGGCUUUCAGUUCCCGUUGUCUCUGGUAUUUACUUUGUUUUCUUGCUUGUGUCGUCAGUCGUGGCCAAAGGAGGAUUCAGACAGUUUUCCGAACUUUCUGGUUGGUUUCUACUGUCUGAUAUUGUAGCAGGCUAACUUUGUUUGGACUUGUGAUAGUUAUUGGAGGAAGUAGAGCGUGCCUCACAACAAGAGGGAGCAGCGUUCGCCGGGGUUGGGGAGGUUUAACUGAUUCCUGCCUACCCCACCUUUGAUAGCUGCACAUCUUUUGGUCCAUCUAUUCUUGUUUCAGUUUCUGCUCGGCUCUCCUUCUGUGUUUUUCAGGACAUCCAAUCGUGUCACCCAUUGGUUUCUAAAGGGUUAAUAGUUCAUAUAACAAUGUGUGUAAUUUUGAAUCAAUGCUGCCGAUCAGAUACCUCGCACCACAAUGAAGUCAGGCGAGAUAAUCUCCAGCAGCAUCAGCGAAUCAACACUCUGCUAACUUUUGUCAUAAUGGGCCCAAACUUGGACUAAUUAUCAUGUCGGCUGUACACGACUCUCGAGUCGUGAUGAGCUUUUCCUCCCAAAGUUUUUGUCACAUUUAAGGAGAAAAGAGUGAUUGUUUUAAUCCUCAGUUGCAGCCCUGUGGCAGAAAACGAAGUGCAGCGAAAACGAUAACCCAGCUAACUCUUUUUUGUUUACAUUGCAAAGACAUAAUGAAGGUACCUCUAAGCUCAGAUGUGACUUAAAAAGGUGACUUUUAGAUGUCGGAUCGUAUACUGCUGUCAUACAAAGCUUUGAUUUUGAUCGAGCACGAAACAAUGCCUCUAAUAACGUCUUACAAAGCUUUCCUUUUCCCCCGACUGAUAACAACAGAAGAGUCACCCUGCAAAGACAAAACACGACUAUGAUACCAGCCUUCAAACUCAGCGAAAGCAAGAAAAUCAGACUGGAGUUCAAAGGUUUAGUCUGAAAAACACAAAGUCUUAAACGUCCUUUUUCUGUGGACGUCUUUAAAGCCGCAGAAGGAGAAGAGGGACGGAUCUUGAGACCGGGUAACAGUAAAGCCAUUAGCGGGGCUGGAGUGGGACUGGAGCCUCUUUUAGUGAGGAGACCUCUUGAUUGAACAAACUGUAAACACAGCAGCUGGUGGCGUCUGUGUUGUGGCAUGAGAUGACAUCUAUCAGUAGGAGAUGAAUUAAUGGAACAAUCCCAAAGCGCAACUGCUCUCAUUUAGAGCCGCCCUACUGGGUUCAUAGCAUGCAUCUCUGCAGCACAAAACAAUCCCCCAAAACCCUUGUUCUCCCUCACACACACACUCACACUUACACACACACACUCACACUUACACACACACACUCACAAUUACACUCUCACAUACAAGCAAACAGUAAUUUUCUGAGUGCUAGCUCUGUCGUAGGUCCCGGGGCUAAGAAGCUUUCUGAUUUACUUUGGUAAUCCCAGCUGUAAGUCCCCUUAUGACUGUCAGUGUGCUCUGCUGAUGCUAAAUAAGAGAACGGAGCGGUACAAACGUAAUUACUCUGAAUCAUUAUUUCGUUUGGAGGUAAUUAGUGGUGUUACUUUGCAACCUGAGGAAGAUUUGUGUUUAUGUCACCGAUCCAGAGAGGAGAAAUAUUUACUGUACGCUAAAGACGUCGCUGCUGUAAGAGAUCAUCUUCGCCUUUAGAGACGCUGAAUAGAAAAAAGAAGAGAGAGAUGGUGCCCUGAACACAUUUGAAGGUGUGGAGUAUCAUCAAAUACCUGUAUGCCUAUUAAAACCUCAUCCAUAUCAUGGGUCAUGGAUAAUGUAGUUUUUUUUAGAUCAAUUAUGUCACAGACUAUCUUGAGAUGAGAAAUCACGAUAAGCAUCAAUAUGCUUUUUAAUUUACAGCUAUCAAAUAACUGCUUCAUCAUGAUAUUAAAAUGAUCACCAGUAAUAAGGAUUAAAUACAGUAUUAUACUGUAUUCAUUGUAUUAUAUCGUAUCCUGUCCAGUCAUACUGUUUUGUAUCAUACUGUAUUGCUUCAUAUCCUACUGUAUGCAGUGUGUUAUAUAGAUACGUAUUGUGUCCUAAAGUACAAUAGCAUAUCAUUUAAUAUCAUAUCACAUAAUAUCAUUUCAUAACAUACAUCAAAUGAUAUAUCAUAUCAAAUCAAAUUAUAUCACAUCCUAUAUCAUAUCAUAUACAUCAUAUCGUACAAAAUAUUAUAUCAUAUAUAAUAUCUCAUAUCACAUCAAAUCAUGUCAUAUCAUCACAUCACAUCGCAGCACAUUGUAUCAUAUCAAAAUAUUUCAUAUCAUAUCGUAUGUACAAUACAGUGUCAUAUCCAGUUGUUAUGUAUUGCAUUAUAUCCUAUCCUACUGCAUUAUAUUGUGUUGUUACGUAUUAUAUAAUAUCAUAAUGUGCCCUAUCACAUAUGAUAUGAUAUCCUAUUGUAUGGUAUUGUAUCAUAUUGUCAUAUCAUAUCAUUUAAUAUUAAAUCGCAUAAUAUCAUAUAUAAAAUCAAAUCAUAUAUCAUAUCAAAUAAUACAUCAGAUCAUAUCAUAUGAUAUAUAUCUCAUAUCACAUCGCGUCACAUGACUUGCAUCGUAUAGUAUCAUAUCAUAUCAUAUCAUAUGUACAAUACAGUGUCAUAUCCAGUUGUAGUGUAUUGCAUUAUAUCCUAUCCUACUGUUUCAUUCGUAUUGUUAUGUAUUGUGUAAUAUCCUAAUGUGCCCUGUCACAUAUGAUAUGAUAUGAUAUAAUAUGAUAUGAUAUCCUUUGGUAUUGUAUCAUCAUAUCACAUCAUAUUAUGUCAUAUCAUAUCAUAUAUCAUAUUAUAUUUAAUAUCAUAUCAUGUCAUAAUAUCUCAUAUUAUAUUAAAUCAUAUCAUGGCAUAUCACAUCAUUUGUACAAUAUAGUGUCCUAUCUAGUUGUAGUGUAUUGCAUUAUAUUCUAUCCAUAUCAUAUCAUAUCAUAUCAUAUCAUAUCAUAUCAUAUCAUAUCAUAUGUCAUGUCAUGUCAUGUCAUGUCAUGUCAUGUCAUGUGUUAUUCCAUCAGAUCAUGAGUCCCCCUGUAUCUUUUACAGAAGUCUUGGUUUUUGUGGACAGUGAAUAAAACAGAGUUUAACACUCAGAAGACAGUAAGUUUGUCUUUAAUUACAGUUUCCUGUCACAAGGCUUAUAAAGCAGCUGAAAUAUAACUUUGAACAUCAUUAGUCUCCCAUCCAAGAACUCACCAGGCUUCACAUCAUUAGUAAUGGAUGGUGACUGGUAAUUGUAUGCAGUAGAAAAGUUAAAUAAUCUACUACCAAACACAACUCUUACAUUAUUAUAAAUUUUUAAGAAUGUUUCAUUUUGGUUCCAUUUUAUCGAGGUCUGGACUCGGGUCUAUUUUCAUAAGUGGAAUCAGAAAUGAUCAUGUUUUUUUGUGUGUUUGGAUCACAAAGAGAAGUCCACUGUCUCACAGAUCAUGUAUACCAGGAGGCGAUGUGCUACUCUGAAGAAAAGUACACUCUGUUUCUCACUGAGUGGCUGCUCCCACCUGAAGGAGACAGCCAUGCUUUCAUGCGGAAAAAUAUGCUUUCAAGAUUACAUUGAACAUAACGCUCAAGAGUUAAACGCUGCGCCGUACGGCAAAGGAGAAAAAAUUCACUUUCAUUAGCUUACACUGAAGUUUAUACAUCAUUGAUGAUAAGCUCUCAGAGGGGACAGCCGUCUCUCCAGCUGCAGGACUGAAGUGUCCCAUCUGCAGCCAUGCGGGGAAGAAAUGAAAUAUUCCAUUCAUUUUCUGCAGAUGCAUGAUGAGAGAGAUGGGGAAAGGUGAGGAUGUGCAGAGUUGAAAGAAGCAACGAGCGUGUAUCAUGCAGUACAGAGAUAUGUAACAGCAGUAUUGCAGGUGCAUGAACAGUCUGCCAAUCCCUGUGCAGUGGGGCUUAAUAAUAAGCGUUAUUACAAAGACCAGAUGCUCGGCUUGUAAUCCAUCCUCUAAUUUGAUUAGUCAAUUGUCAACACAAAGUCAGGCUCUUUAGGGAGGCUGGACCCAGUUGAAUUUAGGUCUAAUUUAGCCGUCUGCUUACCAACACGGCGGGAGCAGCAGGUCACUUGAAUCCCCCAGCUCGCUCGCCCCUUUUACUGCAAAUUUCAAACAUAUGCCAACCAGCAGCGCGCUUGUCAUGCAAAUGUUAGACGAGAGGUGUCAUUACCUCUGUGUUCAGCAUGCAAGGGAUUACCCAGAAUGCACGUGACGGGGGGACUGUCCCACGAUCAAUUUAAUCGCUAUUGAGAGGAAGAAAUGCCGCAAUUAGAUCCGGCGCCGCCAUGAGAUGCAGGUUCCUCAGUUAAUUCUUCAGCAAUUAAAUCCAAUUGACUUUGCUUUGGUUUGAUUGUCAGCUACACAGCCUGCAUCGGAUCUUCAUCAGCAUUAAUUGCACUUCGAAGAAAAGGUGGAGGAGUGACGGACAGGAGGAGCGGACAUGUAUCCAAACAAACAUGGAAGCAAGAUGAGGCUCGAAAUCUGCUUCUACUCACCCUCAAAUUUAUAUCGGAGAAGAAAUAAGCAACGUAUGACGGUGGUUAAAGUAAUCUUGAGAAGGCAGGCUUGAGGAAAACGACACCAGAAGAUGAGGAGAAGAUGGAUGGCUGCAUCCUAAAGCUUUACGACCGAGGUUUUUGCAGUGUGUAAAGGGAUGACAAUGGAGUUCUUUGCCUGUCAGGAAAACAAACUCUUUCCAAGUUUGUUGUUCCCAUAGCUACACAUAAACCACGCCUGACUGGCGAAGGCUGAGCGGGAAAUUGAUAAAGCCAAUGGUAUUCACCUGUCACGAUUCACGACCUGCCAUCAGUAGAUCACCUCUCAGGGUGACGGUGUUGUCACUUUGUCUGGACCGGGCUGCUUUAAUUUACACAGCAUGGGGAUCCGCUGUGGUGCAGAAGGAAAAUGUGACCAAUAAUCCAGAGGCGCCGUAAAUCCUGAAGGUUCCUGAAGUGCGUGGUCUUCAAGGCCGUAACAAUGCGACAUAAAUCAAAACUUAACCUGACCAAAAAAUAUAAAUAAAACCACGUUAGGGCUACUGGCUCUCCAGUGAUUAAGGUUUCGAUAAACAGGAUGUGCCGAUUAGCCUUAACCCAGGCAUUAAAGGUAGGGCUGGUAAUCACGGCAAACUAGCAUGAAUUUGAAUGUAGCGUCUCCUCAGGACUUUGUCUGGGACUUUUCAGAAAAUGGGGUUCAUCCCAUUUCAGCAGCAGACACGACUCUUGGCCUUUGUUAUGUGUGUCUGAUAGAGAUGAAUUUACGCCACCUUUAUCUUAGACCAAGGGUUAGCUAAAAGCUAAUGAGCUGGCGGUAUUAUUUGUGUCGUUUGCUUGAUUCACGUGGACAAACUCGACGAGCUGUUCUUCAUGUAUACUGACCUUUGUAUAAGGGACACUAGGAUUGCCCACCUGCCCGCCCGCCCUAUACAAUACCAGAGCAAAAUGAUGAAGUACAUCCGAGUAACCAGAGGAGUCAUCUCAGGUAUCAGUAAAGGGAUUAUAGCGAGCAGCGUGGGGACCAUACUGAAGCCAUCAAGAUUGACCCAAGGUUUGCAGUUUGAUUCCCCCUAUCCUUAGUCUGUCCGUUGUGUCCUUGGGUAAGACACUUAACCCACCUUGCUCCCAGUGUGUGUCCUCCACUGGUGUAUGAUUGUGAGUGUUGUGUGGUGGUGGUUGAAGAGGCUGUAGGCGCAAACUGGGCAGCCAUGUUUCCAUCAGCUGUGACUACUAAAGUAGUUUACCACCACCAGGUUGUGACUGUGGGAGCGGAUGAAUGAUGUAUCCUGUGUAAAGCACCAAAUGAAAUCUGAUGCAUUAUUAUUAUUCUUAUUAGCCCCUCCCCCUCCCCAUGGAGUUCGCCCCCGCUCACAUGCACGAGCGCUGCUGUCCGCUGAUUCAGAACCACAGACUCCAAACUUUGGGACUUUAGAUUGGGAAGUCUUUGCACAGCAGGGACAAAGACAGUAACGUUAGCAUCAGGAUGACCACAUAACUAGCAACAUGGCUAAGUACUUGAUCAAGAUUAAAAAUCGCCAUCAAACAAACCUUUAACGUACCUUUCCAACAGAAAAUGAGUGACCAUGGCAUCACUUUUAAAUCCCUUGACCUCUUUCAGUUCUCUCCCUCGCAGGAAAGCUGUCCCAAUGUUGACUUUCGUUUUCACCUUUGCUUUCUCUAAACCCUGUCAUGCUUCGGCCUUCUCUGCCUCCGUCAGCACUUGAUUUGAUUGGUUUAAAAAUGUGGGGUCCACACGAUGUGAUUGGUUGGUGUUUUUCCAGUUUUACUCCUGCUGUAGAUCGUGGCUAUGUUUCGCUCUUUUUUAAGAACACACCAUGUAUUGAUCAGGACAUAAAGAUCAUUUUAACCAGAAUAACAUAAAAGUGUAUCUAAAUCAGAUUAUUUAAAUCCACAUUUUAAUCCUAAUUAACCCAGAAUGGCUGUUUGGUCAGUAGCUCCAUGUUUCCAAAGUUGACAGUCCAGGUCCAGUCCUGGUUUCAGUCUACUCUUCAAGUGUCAUCUCGUGUUAGCGAACGCGACUGACAGCAUCAUGAGCAUGAUCGGUAAUAGUCCGAGUCGAUGAUAUCUCCAGAGAGCUCAGGACGUGUGCAACUACCGUCCAGAUUUGGGAGAUACAAACAAGAGAGAUGACAGGACUCACUGGGGUUAUGUUAACUCUGAGUUUAGUUGGCCUGCUAAGUGACAGAUUCUUGAUUUCCAGACAUCUCAGCCUCAGACUUGUUCGGUUUCUACCGUGACAAGUUUGUGUUAUUUCGACAGGCAUGUUGCAUAGAUGUGGAUUACUGUGGACUUCACGUUGUCAUUUUGAUAAACAACGUCCGAACGGUGUCCAGACUCUACACACUCUACCUCUACGUCAAACUAAUACGUCUACAUCAAGAAAUAACGCUUCAUAGCUUCCAGAAAAAUGGCCGCUGCUGAAAAAUAAGACAGCAAACACAGAAUGUGACUCUUCAAACAUCCGUCCUGGUGUCGGCUGAGCUCAUACCUGUAAUGUACCAGUUUGAGGAGGGAUUAGUUUACCGUGCGCCAAUAUUUGAUAACGUGCAAGAGUUCACAAAGGGGGUAAUUUAUUUUUCAGGGAAUCCAUAAGAAAGGCUUCAUAUGGGAUUGAGUGAAUAUGGAUUAGAAAAAUCUUUAUUCCCAUUUACCUAGCAGGCUGGAAAAGACUGUUAAUGUGGGAAAUGACUUUGUUGAGCUUGACAGCUCUGAUCACUAAUGAGCAUUUGGCUUUGUUCUGGUUCAGCCGCCCCCCUUUCAGAUUCAAACAAUCGCAGAUCAAAUGCGGGAUGUUGUUUGCAUUUGUCGCUUUCCUUGAUGAGGGGGCAGGAGGAACAACAGGCUCUGUUUGUGUCGGAGUUUAUUAAAAGCCAAUUAGUCUUUUAGUUUUAGCACGAUUCAAACGGACAAUAUCAGAGCUCACCGUCCUCCAUGACAGGAGGCCUUAAUGAGCGCUCUGACUUCUUAGGCUAAAACAACAUCCGCAUAAUCAGUCGUAUACAUACUGAAACCAGCAUGGCUGUCAGUCGACUGUAGGAUGAUCAGUUUGCCGUCAUUUAUCAGGCCGUCUCUGAUUCAGUUUCUAUUUCAGAGUAAACGUGGCACGACUUAGACUCCGUCGUCAUCUCCGUGCAGGGAUUACAUGCUAUGGCUGUCACAGCAAUUUGCUGCUCCGUAGAGAGAAAAGAAACAUGAGCAACGCUGAGACGAUAGAGAGAAAUUACUCAGUUCAACUCGCUCCUCUGGCAGGAACAGUCUUUGUACAACUUAAGAUGACGUUGCUCAAACAGCUGCAUCUGUUUACCCGGCCGCCUGACGCUGAGAGCAGGAAAUUCAACAAACAUGAGCAAACAUAGAUGCAUGUGAAGGGCUGGAGUUGGGAUAUUUGACAACAGUUUGGGAACAAACGGUUCUACAAAAAGUACAAUUGGAUUUUUAGAUUUUUGAUUUUUUAAUGUUUCUGUUGUUUUGUUAGAGCCAAGAGAGCAGGCGACUUUUCUGACUGUGACAAGUUAAAGGGAUAUUUUGCAUAGAUCUUCAUGUGUUCUUGAUAAUUUUAUACAGCAACCCAUCCAUCCAUCCAUCCAUCUUCAGCUGCUUAUCCAGGGUCGGGUCAUGGGGGCAGCAGCGUUAGCAGAGAGCCUGAGCUCUUCCCGGGGGACCCUGAGGUGUUCCCAGGCCCGCUCGGAGACAUAGUCUCUCCAGUGUGUCUAGGGUCUUCCCCAUGGUCUCCUACCAGUGGGACUUGCCCUGAAUGCCGCAGCAGCGAGGCGUCCAGGAGGCAUCCUGAUUCGAUGCCAAAGCCACCUCAUCUGACUCCUCUAAACGCGGAGGAGCAGUGGAUCUACUCCGAGCCCCUCCUGAAUGACCGAGCUUCUCACCCUUUCUCUAAGGGGGAGCCCAGCCACCCUCAUUUCGGCCGUUUGUACUCACGAUCUUGUUCUUUCGGUCACUGCCCACAGUUCGUGACCAUUGGUGAGGGUAGGAACGUAGAUGGACCGGUAUAUUGAGAGCUUUGCCUUUCAGCUCCCUCUUCACCAUGAAAGAUCUGUGCAGCGUCCAUAUCCCUGCUGACGCCACACCGAUCCGCCUGUCGAUCUCCCGCUCCAUUCUUCCCUCACUCAUGAACAAAACCCCGAGAUACUUGAACUCCUCCAUCUCCGACCUCGGGAGGGCACUCCACCUUCUUCUGGUGCCGAUUCUCAUCCCAGCUGCUUCACACUCAGCUGCGAACCAAUCCAGCUAGAGCGAUCAUUAUUUUAAAUUCAUUUUUAACUUUGUGCCUUUUUACAGCAGCCUACUGUUUUUGUGAACCUCUUAUUUUGCCCUAAAACGCACCUUUGUCGCGGACUAAUCCUCAAUGAGAGACAAAAUUGAAUAAAUUUAAGAACAUCGUUAGGAAAGUGGUGGCAGAGAUGAGAUUGUUAUUCCGCCGUAAAGCUGCACACCUUCUUUAGGGUUGUUGUGAUUUCCCAUGCUGAGUUGUUAUUUUUUACGUCUUGGCCUGGUCCCUCUUCUAAGUGACAGCUUUAAUCUCUGCAGGGUCUUGUGGUUGGAUUAAGGCUGAAUAAAAUAAUACAAAAUAAAGCAUAUUUGAUUCUGCCUCCUCGCCGUCCCUAACACCACUUGACAGUUGUUAAUAUGAAGCUGAAAAGCGUGCUACAGCGGCCGUAGUGGAUGAUGACGCCGAUCAUUGUUUUUAUCAUUACUCACUUUUUUUUUGCGACACAGAUGUUCGCAGGGGAAGCGAAAGGGUGAGUGCGAAUCCUUCUGAGUGUGAUUCAACGCCGCUCCAUAAUUGCAAGGCCAAACACAGGGGCCGUUCAGAGGUAACCUUGGUGUAAUGUGCAGUAAUUUUACAGCCCCCCUCUCUGUGACAUCCUGGCGCAAAGUUCCUGCUUUCAUUAAAAAUGCUGCCAUUUUCAUCACAGCAGAUGCCCCUGCGCUCAGCAUAUGUGCAAGGUCAUAAAUCCAGAUUACCUACUUCUUGUGUCGCUUCUUGAGCCAUCUGGUGUGAUUUAAGCAGUGGGCGAUUUUUUUUUUUUUUACAACAGCGGCUCCUCCCCGACCGCUGAAAAGGAUGGCAACAGCUCAGGGACGACUUGGCCAACACUAUAGUCAAUUAAAAAAGAGCAAAACACCAUUAGUCACUUAAUAUGCUCCCUUGAUUUUUCCUUUUAUUACUGUUUGGAGUGUGCAUUGUGGAUUGCAACCCAAAAAAAAAAUGCUCCAAGGCUGUUUUCAAAGCUCUUCAGAUUUUCUCCUUUUUUCCCAGUUUUUAAUAAGAUUCAUGAUUUUUAAUGUUUUCGCUGCAGUUGAUCUGCUGUGUUUUUACUGUUCCACAUGCGCUCAUUAAACAAAGGUGGGGCUUUGCUUUGGCUCUGGUGAGAUCCAGUUUCCCAGAUUUUUUCAUUAUAACAUCCAACUCGGUCAAAUUAAAUCUCCACCUGCUGUGACUCUUUUUGCCUGUAGAUGGCGGGGUUUCGAGGUGUGUAGCCUGCCGAGAUUAAAGGAGGGGGUUUAAUUCACAGAAGAUUGACUAUAUUUACUUCAUAAAGCACAUGCUGGGGUGAAAUGCCUCAGCUGUCCUGUAUUGGCUUCAGAAUCAAGUGGUAAAUUCAAUCACAUAUCUGAGGAUAUAACAUCAGGAUUAGAGUGCACAGCGCAGCUCUGCACUGAAAACCAUCCAGUUUAUUUGGACCACAGUUUAAUGCAAAACUGAUAUAAGACGCUCAGAGCUUUAAAAGCCUUUUCCUUCUGAAUAUUAUUACACACCAGCAAAUUUGCGAAGCGAAUAAUUUGCUUUUUUUAAAAACCUCAUAAAGUCAAUGCAAGCUUCCACACUGCCUAUGAACUUCUGCGGUGCAAAAAAACGACGGUAAUUUUUUCGCCCCUGCAGCGAAUUUUGUGAACAUCUGCAGGUGAACUUCUAUAUAAAUCUAUAGCCUGGAUUUAUAUAUAAAUCAAAUGCAUUUCAACCUCACUUAAAUGCAAAACUGAGUUAAGAUGCUCAGACCUGCAGAACUUUAUCGGCCUUUUCCUCCUGAAUUUUAUUGACUUAAGUAGCCUUGUGAAUAAAGGUCGUUACAGAUCGGCGAAAUAGCGAAGCGAAUCAUUUUCUUUUUUUAAACCCUCAUAAAAUCAACACAAGCUUCCACACCGCCUAUGAACUCCCGCAGCACGAAAAUUUAUUCAUUACAUUAUUUAUCAUUUUUUAUUAUUUAUUACAUUUAUUUACUGUAAAUUUUUCGCCCCUGUAGCGAAUUUUGCGAACAUUCGCAGGUGAACUUCUAUGUAAAUUAACAGCCUGAUAUAAAUCUCACCUCGCACAUGUGGCGAGUCGUUGCUCUUGAUCAAUCAAUAUAAUUUGGCCUCUCCUUCUGCAAGCGUGGAGUCAGCUGAUUUUCACAUUUCACGUCACGUUUUUUGCGUCACUUUUUCAUGUUGCUUUGCUAAUUCACCGGUGUGUAACAACCUUAAGACCUCAAGCAGAUAUCUGGAUAAAUGGUGCAAAACUCUUAGUGUUAUUAGCGGCUAUAAUCUAGAAGAACCUCUCCAUAAGUUUGCUCAUUUACAACUUGGUAUCAAAACCAAAGGAUUUGCUCCAGUGAAGUUUAACCUCUAACCUCAAAGUCAAACCUCCAUGUAAACUUAGUGCUGGGCUUUAAUCACAGGCAAAUAAAAAUGUGAGCUUGAGGUAAAAUCCCUCAAAUCUCUUAAACUUUAAUGAGCAUAUGCUCCGUCCCUCAUGAGAUGGACCAACUUUUCCUUUUAAAGUUUAUUUCAGGGGUUGUUUGUGCCUUUAUUUAGAGGAUCGGACCGGAGCGGACCAGGAAACUGGAGGGGAAAAAGAGAGAGGAAAAUGGGAUGCAGUUAAGGGGCAGCAGGUUGGACUCAAUGAUCUAACCACCAGGCCAGGCCGGCACCCCAGGAUCAACUAAAUUUGACGCUCUGUUGGCGUUUGGCGAGGGUUUCUGCUCAUGCGUUGAAUCUGACAUUUGAAACUUUUUGAUUCUGGGUCACACUGGGACAGGUCUGUCACUUAUCCUCUCGUGACUCCCCCCCUCUCCUAACGUGAGGCUUGUUUCCCAUCCAGAUUCAGAGGAGACAGAAGAUUAAACAGCAGUUUGUGUGGAGCCAGCAUUACAGCGCUGUUUGAUUUAGAGCCAUUGUUUCUCUUUUUGAAAUCACUGGCUCAAUAUCAGACCAAGUGUACCACAGCCAGGGGCCACAUUUCAAUACAGGCACGACUGCAACUUUUCCCAACCUCGCCUUUGAAAUACUCCCCUUCAAGAUUGUCCUAAUUGAACACAAUGACAGCGGACAAGAGGUAAUCGUGACAUCUUUGUGAGUAAAACAACAGCACAGUGUCCCGAGACCAUCAGGACGCAAUAUCAGGAAGUCAAUUACAGUAAAUCCUUCCCUCUGUCAUUUCUGUUAGUACAGCAAACAUCUUUUUAACUUUGACUCAUUUCUUUAGCAAAAAGACUAAACACAACUCACCUACUCUCUUCCAGCAGCCGCUUGUUUAAUAACAAUAAUAAUAAUUAUACAUUUUAUUUAUAAUGCACUUUUACAGGCGCUCAAAGACACCUUACGAAGAAAAAAAUAUAUAAUAAAAUACAAAAACGCAGUUUAGAAUACAGAAAAUUUUGAGAAAUAAAACCAACAAUGCAAAAGGUUGAAAAAGACACAAAAUGAAAAGAGCAGUUCACAGGUAAAAAGCCAAGCCAGACCUCAGGCCAGUCCAUUACAGACCACAGCGGGGUGCCGCAGCUCAAGGAAGAACAUUUAUGAUCAUUUCUUUAUCAUUUCCUUGAAGUAAUAAUCACCAUAUUAAUCAUUUUGCAGACGCGGUAGUUCUUUUGUCUUAGCAUCUCGGUCUGAUUGUAUUUCCAUGAAGAAAUGAUCAUAAAUGUUCUUCCUUGAGCUGUGAAACUCCGCUGACUCAUCAGUGCUCCCCCACAAACAAGCUGGAAGAGAGUAGGUGAGUUGUGUUUAGUCUCUUUGCUAAAGAAAUGAGUCAAAGUUAAAAAGAUGUUUGGUGUCUAGUACUAUGUCUGUGACCCUAUAUGUACUGUUGAUGAAGUUAGGUGCUGUUCUGAGCAUUAUUUGUGGCUAUAGAGUGGCGUUUUGGUUGAGGUUUGAUUAUGCUAUCAUACAGUCGUUACUACAGUUGGUGUAACUAGAGAAGCAAGUGGUCAGCAACAUUAAUCUCUCGAGGGGCUGUCUACCUCAGUGUUUGACCCUAAAUGAAUUUUAUGCCGGAAUAUCCCUUUAAUGUAAAAUGUGAUUGGUGAAUUUCCAACCAGGACAUAAAUAGAUUCAACACCCUCGCUCAAAAAUAUCCACUCCUGGAGUCCUCAAACUACAAAACUCAAGGCUCCAACAGAGUAUCCACACAUGGUAACUGAUUCCACGGUGAACAGAUCCACUCGGUUUGUACUCUCUAAAGUCCAGACUUGGUAUUUUUUCAGUCCACAAGCACUGCAGCUCUCUUGGGUCUACUUUCAGGUGCUUCACAUCGUGACACCCCGUCCUUGUUACAUAACAUUCUCGCUGAGUGCAGCUUUAAUUUUAGACACCGAGUUUAGUAUAAAAUCAGACGUUGCAGCCAGCAGAGACGGCGUUUAUGCCAGGAGGUCUUCUGUAUCUGCCAGGGACCAUUGAGGAUAUGGCUCUUCUUCAAUGCAGCACACCGGGAGAGCUACUGACACCUCUGUAACCCAGGGCCCCGUGAUGGAGCAUCUCGCCUUGCCAGGUGGACGUGCUCAUUGUCCGGCUGCCUUAUCUCUUCAGGGCCAUUCCUCCUGAAGAUCACUGAGACUGACAGAGCAGAAGCGUAGGCAUUUCUACAGGAAUUUCUGGAGCAGGCGAAGCCCCCUGGGGAAAAGCGUUGGCGAUGCAAGCGGGGAAAAAUCUGAGGCAGUCUUGAGCACUCUAAACAGUCUCUGAGAUUCAGAACCUGGUUUUUAAUUACCAUCAGAGGGGUGUAUUAACGAUGCGCCGCAGAUAAGGACAGUGAAUGGACUCAGUCUCUCACUCUCGCUGCUGGAACAGCUAUAAUGUAUAGAGGUAGAGGAGCAAUUUAAAGCACCCUUGGGACUCGAUCGAUGAGACGGCCCGUUUGUGUCCUAAUGCAUUAUAUUUGACAGGUGAUUCCAUAUCUCAGGAUGGAUGGUUAUUGUACAACUAACGCAGAACUGGAGUUUGAUGGGAUGGGAGAAUCUUUCUGUUCAGGAGGGGAAAAAACGUCUUAAAUGACUCCUGACAUUGUGGCAUCCUCGGGGAAUUUGGCACAAUGUCAGAUGUAAAAACUAUAACGUGAGGAUGCAGAUACAUGGAGUCGACUGUGUGGACUAUAAAUACUUAAAAAGCCAAAAUGAUAAUAAACAAAUCAAUCAGAAUAAAGUGCGUCAAGUGAUCGAAAUCUAAAGUGGUUAUAGAAGACAGAAGUGGGUUCUCCAAUGUGCAUGUGUUUAAAAUAACGCAUAAAAACAUUAUAAUCGAAGAAAAUGCAUGCACGUAUGUUCCUGUGCUGGAGAAACAUCUUAAAUGCAGCCCUGUUAAGUGCAGCUGCAGCAAGUAUGUUAUUUAUGCGGAUCAAUACUGUCAGGAGCGAGUGAUUGAAAACAUGGGAGAAAAGGCAGCGUUUGGCUGAGAAAAAACUUCAGUUAUCGGAAACACUUUGACUUCAGAUUGACGGAGGUCGAGCAAAAGGAAAUUGUUAGCAAAGUUUGUCACGCUGUCGUGUCUGUCGUGACCAACUUCCAGGUUUUCCCCAAUGUGCAAUGGACCGUGGUGCACUGCCACGGUUAAAUGAAAGCCGCCGCAUGUUAAAAAAGAUUUUUUUUUUAUUUACGUGUCUCUAACUCAUACUUAUAUGUACAAGUAAGAGUACACGCAUGGGCGCUGCACCUUGGAGAGCUGAUGAUUUCUUAUUUUUUUACUUGUUACUAAUUUAUUUCUGCCUGUUGUUUUGAGUAAUAUUUAAAGUUAGGUUUUGUUUGUUCAAUAAGUACUCAAUUUUUGAAACCAAUAAAUAAUCGUGUAUAUUGAUCGUGAUUUCAAUAUCAGUCAAAAUGGGGACAGUCCCUGAUUCGAUGAGCUGUCCUCAGAAAUGUCCCCCGUUUUAAGCGUUUCAUGAUGUUUCUAGAACAACGGUUUUUACGGUAGCCGAGUAGGUCGGCAGCACGAGUAAGCAUGUUGAGCACAGUCCUGAACAACAGUUUUUAUGGGGGGUUAUGAUGAGGGGGGCGAUAUUUUUUAGGGGAAAGUCCCUCCUCCUUCGCCUCUGAUUGGCUAGAAAAGCUUGAAACGUCAUCACACACUCAAGCCGAACGCAGGCUGUCGGCUCUGUACAUCGAACAGAACAUUAGAGAACAUUAUCACACUCCUGAAUCUCCUAACCUGACAGACGAUGACGUUUCACAGCCAAAAGGAAUAACCAAUUGGAGACCAGCACUUCUAGCCAAUCAGAGGUGGAGGGCGGGACCUAUCCCUACCACCUACAAAAUUCGCUUACAGGGGGCACUUGCUGCUACUAAGUAGUACCGAGUUGUUGUCUGAGGAUGUCCCUGGAUUUCAUGACAGAAAUCAUGUCACCCUAAAAUAAUCCUGAUUAUUAUUUUUGUCAUCAUCGUCCAGCUCUGGUUUAAAGUGUCUGAUUUAUUUUACAUCUUUUAGCAGCUCCAUGAUUUAACACUUUACAUUAUGCAUUUUCUUAAACACUCAACGUGCGUGUUGCAAACUGCAGGUGAAGUUUGUCCCAGUUAAGAGGGUCAGUCCUUGUGUUAUUAAUGAGAAACAUAUAAGAGAAAAGUAAUCUCCUCAAGUGUUUAUCCCCCGGCAUCGAUAAGGAGGGAUUAUUCAGGAAUUACCAUAAAGUUCUGGUUAAAAAUGCAUCAUCUUUUACAGUCGGGAUGUCUGUUUUUCACAUAACAAGCCUGCUGCCGCUCAUGUGGGAUUUUACUAUCACUGAUUCUGGCAGCAGACGAACACUGGACUCUGAAGUCAACACUCUCCUCUUCUGUGCCAGGCAUGAGUCUUUUUAUUGCAUAUUACACAGCUUAAUGAGGUAAGAGAUUAAGAUGUUGCCCUCACAUUGCGAAGGCUUUAUUAGCACAUUGGAUUGAGAAUGACUCGGCUCCGCUCGGCGGCUGCCUCUCCUGGCAUUGUUUGGGGUGAGAGUGAUGGAGUGCUUGAUGAGUAUUCUGCAAAUCUUUAAUUCGGAUGUAAUUUCUAACCGUGGAAUUUGCAGUUAGCACACGGGGAUUUCAUACGGCCUUGAAGGUUGGCCAGACGGUUUUUCAUUUGAUUUAAGUCAGAGGUUAUUGCCUGUUGUAAUUAUACCAUGAUGAUGCGCCUCGGCUUUAAAAAGAAACCAUAUUUAACAUUCCUGCUAAACCCUGCCGGGGAAAACGCGUGAACUCAAAACCUGCUCUUGUUAAUAUUUGUGGUCAAAUCAUCUGCAAUAGCCGUUUAACGUGUGUACAUGCAACGAUUACCGCUCAGUUUAUUAGAAGUGGUGGCGUUUGCAGUUUCCCACAUGAUUCCCAUCACCUGUACGUAUAGGAUGAGUCACUUUUGGUGCAGUUACCAAGUACCAGCUCAUGAGUAUUAAAUAACCUCACUGUUAUUAUUCAUUAUUAAGUAUUUCUCAGCUCGAGAAACUCUUGAACCACUUUAAAAGUCCUCCUCGCGCCUCAUAAGGGUUUUUCUCACCUUUAGAGCUCUCUUAAGGGCUGAAAUGCUUCAUGAAUAACUCUAGUUUUGCAAAGAUCUUGUCUGAACUUGCAGGAAAUCUUGCAGGAAACACAAUCAUACAUCAACACUGGACCUCAAACUGCUUUUGGGCAUUCAAAGGUGGAAAAGGCCGUAUUUGAGGAGUAAACGUUGCAUAUUUCCUUUGUAAUUUUGUAAUUUCCCAGCAGACAAACAUGUUGCUCGGGUUUUGAAACAAUCGUAAUGCUUCUAAUGCUUCUAUUACAGACAUGACUGACUCUGGGACGGCACCAGCAGGGAGGGCGCUGACAUUAUGAGGCUGGAAUGAAGGAGCUGCAUGGUGCGCAAGGUAGGAAAGAGGCUUUACAUGAGGACGGUGUAAAGAUACAGAUAUUUUACAUUUGAAUGCAUGGUUAAAACAGCAGAUUUUUGCAAAUUUAGUGGUGUGAAAGCGAGAUAUGAAGGCUGUGUUUGCAUUUACAGUCCGAGCAUGAGUCUCUAAAAUCAACCUUGGUUUGAAAUUGGAGCAUUUUAUUAUGCAAAUCAUACUGAAUACCAACUUCAGUAAUGGUGCUACAUCUUUCUUUAUAUAUAUAUAUUUAGCCUUUUGGAUUAAAAGGUACACUUGCAGGACUCAGAGGAGUCAGGAUGAGCAGAGAAGACAUUUCUCCGAGCUAAAGAAAAGGAUUGACUUCAGCUUCUAUAUUAACCCAGGAGGUGAAGGCCUCUGCCUCCUCAGGUCAGGAUGCUCCCUGGUAUCUGUGGUGCAUCACAGCCCUGCAGGGCCGCUAUGGGUGGGUAGUAUCGAUCGGGUGGGGUGUAAAGGCAACUGGCAUGGGAGUUCACAACCGAGAUAGUGUAAUUCUCCAAUCUUGAUCUGGAUGCUUCCUGUCGUGAGCCACACUUUUUUUUUUUUGAGGUGUGAUGUCUGGAGUUUAGCGGAUGGGGAGUAGAGCGUGACUCUUCCACUACAUCCCGGGGUGAGAAGUGGACCCACCGUGACAGACAGCGUGACCUUAUAGCUUUAUUGGAACCAGCGUUUAAAGGAGCAGCUCUGUGGGGAGACGGAGCAGCAGGGCCGACGUUUGACCUCAUAAACUCUGGCAUUGAUUACAUGUUAUUAAAUCUUUACGGCUCUUGUGAGGCGAACACUUACGCUGGGAUUUAUGAAAUUCCCAAAGGCCUGAGUGAAAAUGUAAAGGUUUGCAGAGGAGAGCGCUAUAAGGGGGGCACAUUGUGUUUGCUUUGGAUCAGGGGACACCCUUAACGCCCCGUGGUUUUUGCCUAAAGGUUAAGACUUUUCUUUUUCUUUGCUGUGGUUGAAUAAGAAUAUUUUCCUCUUAUUUAUGAGGAAAAAAACAGCAGCAACAGCUAAGGCCGAAAAAGAAAAUUGCCAGAGCAGAAUCUGAGUCAAACGGCCCUGGUGAGAAUACAGCAGAUGUUAGCGUAAUUGGUGGCGCCAUGGUUGCUAACAGCAACAGAGAUAAAGCUGCACCGGCUCCUGUUGACCACCUUUUACUGAUGAAACAUGAACAAAUCAGACCACCAGCAGGCACUCACAGCUACUCUGCAUACUUUAUUUCAAGUUUGUUUGACAUCAGUGUGUUCGACACAAACUUCAGUUAUUUAUCUGAAAGUUUUGCAAAGUUAUGAAGUUGGAAAUGCAACUUAGAUUUAAGUCAAAACCACAGAAACAGCAGCCCUUCAAAUACAGAGAAUAACGUCCUGUCUGCGGUAGUUAGGUCGAUUUAUGAACCAAUAACCCCAAACAAACAAUAAUCAUCAUUUAGGAGUCCUGAGAAAGGCUAUAAUGUGACUCUUAGAGGUCAAAUAUUAAAAUAAAUAAAGUCAUGAUAAAGUUUUUUUAAUUGGUUGAAGUUUAUUUUGAGCAUAUAAAAAAUAAAAAUAAUACAAAAGUAAAGAACAAAACAACAAAUGAUAAAAAGUUAUUUAUGUUCAAAAAGGGAAUGGGAAGGAGUCAAAACUUAUCUAGUCCCUCCUCUUCUUCUACACUAUUGAUUUAUAUGAUAUUAUAUAAUAAUAGUAAUAACCAUAAUCAUCAUAAUAAUAGCAAUAAGAAUAAAAACCAUAAUGAAAGUUAUAAUCAAACAAAAAUAAUGCCGUCUUGUUGUGAGGUUAUGAUGUUGUGAUAAUUUCCAGCUGUCUUGUGAAAUUGUCCCUAAUGUUUUGGCCUCUCAGCACCACACUGUAAUAAGUCUGUGACGUGACGCUCAAAACAGCGCUAUGCUAAUAACUGAUUCAAUUAACAACUUUAAAAAGGAUUUAACUUUAUUCAGGUGAGGAUAAUUUUUAUAAUAAUUCACCUUUUUUGUCUUUUCGUGUGGCUCUGAUACUCUAGUGUUCAAACCAACAUUCGUAUCUCGACCUAAAAUCCUUCUGGGAAGACAGAAGGUCAAAAAUACAUACAUAUAUUUUAAAUCAUCAUAACUUUAGUCAGAUUCUAUCACAACAAAUUAAAGGAUAAACUGCUGCUGUCUGCUAAUAAAGCAGUAUAAGUGGUGCGUGCCCGCUCUGUUUAUAUGUGGUUUUGCUGUCCAUGUGUUACAUGCCGUUUCCAUGGUGACUCUCACAGUGACUCUGGCAUCAUUGGACAUAUUAGUCAUGAAGUAUUAGUCAUAUUAGAUAUAGAAAAGUACCUGCUGCUGCUCUAAUUAUGAUUCAGUUUGUUAGAUUUCAAACUUCACGUAUAGAUGCUUCAGGACGUCUUCAAACUUGGUGUUCUGUGCGAGUGGAUUGACUCAUAAACGCCGCUCGCUUCGUCCGGUGAGAAGCUUAUCUCGACGGCCUCUCGCCGUCAUUCUGCAGAACUCCGGCUGGACGCCACAUUUAGCAGCAGACGCUGACACGCUUGACCUCUGCCAGUGAGACACACAAGCUGGAUUACCUGGUUAUACGUUCCUGAUUCUCUAAUCCCUGAUCUGUCUCGCAAAGAUUAGCACUCAGGAAAUCAACCACAUGCAAGGCGGAGAAGUGACACGCCUUAACUCCCCGGCACCUCCCACCAAACUGUCCAACUAUCAUCUAUUCCUCGAACGGCACUGAGGCUAACUGUUAGUAAGCAGCUGUGUGAGCCGGUGGCUUUAAAAUAUUCAGUGAGCUAUUUCCAGCUUCUCCAAACAUUGCUCUCAUUAGAUAAUGAUUUUCCCACCAGCAUGCUAAGGAGAGCGGUUGUUUGCUGGGCUUCAUAAGAGCGAAAACACCACGGACGUGCUCUUUGUGUUCAGAUUUAUACACUCCUCCAAUCCUUUAGGACUCUGACUGUGAGUUUCAUGAUUUUAUUGGACAGGAAGCAUGCAGCUGCACAUUAGAAAUCUACAUCUACACACUCAGACUGCACGUUUGUUUUUCUUACAGACUCUUAUUACAGAAACAAAUAAUUCCUUUAUCAUCCUGAUGAAAAUAAAAACACGCGUCCCCUGAAAAACCUUGGAUGCACGCUGCAGGUGUAUCCAGGACACAGUAGCUCAGUGUAAUCAGCUGACAGACCGCUGAUUGACUCAUUGAUUCUCAUCAGUCGGACACCAAUCAGAGCCCAUUCCAACAACAAGGCCGCCGCAGGUCCCUCUGGGCUGAUCCCUGCUAGCAUGCUUCUGCUGGGAUAAUCCGGGGAGCACCUUCAGAGCAGAGCCGGCGCAGCAGCGGGCGCGAUGACUGGAGUAUUACUAAAUAAAUAUUUUUAUUGCAUCACGGGUCCUUAUCUUGUUUUUGUAGUAAACAUCCUUCCGGACUUUCAUGAGGUGGUCCUGGGCCAUGAGAUCUCCAUGUAUAAACAGGAGGAAUACAUCAGCAUAUCAACAUGUUUACUUCAGCAGCCUUGGAGAGCUUAUAGAGGAUGAGGGGAUGUUCAAGAUUACCCCUUUAAUGAGAAGAAACCACUUUAUUUAUUUAUCUGCAUACAUAAAAACAUCGCUCCACCAUCCUGACUUGACUCAUGUGAUAUACAUCUCUCUAUAGGCCGGUGCUUCUAACUCUGUUUCCUCGUUUUUGCUCAAACACAGUCUCAUAAAAUUACUGAGAUGAACCGAGACGCUGAUGACUCAGAUUGGGACUAAAGUAUUGACUGCAACCAGAUCUGCAAAAUAAUAGGGGUGGGAGAAGAAAUGGAUUCACAGAAGAAUUGCGAUUUUUUUGUUUUACAAUUUUUAAAUUUUUACUUUUUUUUUUUUUAGGUAUAAAUCUUAAAAACUGACGUACAUGUGAUGUUUAUUUUGGGGGAAAUUUGGUUCCUGGAAUAGUCAAUAGUCAAUCAUGAUCAUGUAACUGUUUCACUCAGGUAAAAAAAUGGAGACUGAAAAUCGAGAAAAUCCACAAUAUCGUAGAAUUUAAAUCGAAUCGACAUCCAAAAAAAUGUAGAAGAAUCGAAUUUAGGAGAAAAGCACAUGGUCCCAGCCUGACAAAACAGAGAAGAGGACAUGAACUUGUUGAUUGAGAAAGACUGUUUUAUUAAUGCAGGUGCAAAAAGAAUUGCAGUUCCCUUAGUGUCCACUUGAGGCUGGUCCCAAAAGCCAAGGGAUCUCCAUUAGGUUUCAUGUUUAACAAUGAUUUGGAGGAUUUAGUUCAUUUAAUUAUCUAUAACCACGAACUGGUCCAAUCAGCAGUCCAAAGGGUUAACUAUGUCAGCGAACUUUUAUAGUUUUAAACUUUUAGAGUUAAAUGAAGCCAAUGCUGAAGUGCAAAAAGAAUUACAGUUCCUGUAGUGUCCACUUGAG